rnacentral:lncRNA from 1 species
AGAUACUCACUUUCUACCUUGUAAUCUUCAUCGUAUUUACAAUUUUCUAAGUUGUCAUUGAAUAUCUCCUUUUACAAUUUUAAUAUUACUAUACUCAACUUCCCCUUUGCAAUUGAAGUGGUAAGUUGGUUCAUGUAGACUCCUAUGAAUUUUUCAUUCGUAUUCUCGAAUACAUAAAAAAGACUCUAGAACAAAGGUUGUUAUACAAAGAUAAGGGAAAUACUCAUAUACUUUGAUUUUGUGAUAUUGAUUGGGUAAAAUCUCGAACAAACAAAUGUUCCAUUAUUAUAUAUUAUGUUUUCAUUGGAGACAAUAUUAUUUUUGGAAGAAAGAGAAAAAAAAUAUGGUUACUCGAUCUAGUUGUUGAAAUCAAAUAUAAAGAAAAGGUAUCACACUCGUAAACUUCUUUCGACAAAAUAAUUUCUUCGAAAAAUAAAAUUUUAUGAAAUUCAACAUAUGAACAUGUAUGUCAUAAUUAGACAGUUAUUCAUAUUGUUUUCAAUAUGAUAUUUCAUGAAAAACCUACCAUAAAAAAAUUAAUUGUUAUUUUGUUUGAGAAAAAUGAUUGACUAAGAAAAAUUAUAUGAGAUUAGUCAGCUUCAAAUAUCUACUUGAAAUUGUUUUCAACUAAAUCUUUGAAAAGACUUUAAAUUUAGUUUAUCUGUUUACAAAACUUGAUUGAUAUAACUUGACAAAGAGUAUUAGAAUUGUUAGAAUGGAUUAACUUUUUAAAAUAAGGUAAUUUGUCCAUAUUAAUAAAAAAGUUGUUUUCGCACUAUUCACCCUCUAAACUAGAUUUUCUUGGACAAAAUGGUGUUUUAAGAAUAAUAAUUGAUUAUGCGUGAAUGAUCAUAUAUAAAUGGAUUUUAGUCUAUAUAUUUUUAACUAUUUUAUUAUUAUUUUUAAACCAUACAUCUCUAUUUCUAUCCUAUUUUUCACUAAAUUCUUGUAUCUAUUAUAAAAUAGAAAAGGAAUAUACAGUAAAUACGCAUAAUCUCAUCACUGUUACGUGUUCCGGGUACCCUUGAAAUAACUUAUUUAAAAUUGUGAUAUUUGAGUAUACAAUUUAUGUUUAGAGAAUAUAUCCCUUAUUUUAUUUGCAACAGACAUUCUUGCACAAUCAAUCAGUACACAAGUUUAUACCAAACCGUAUUUAAAAAAUUUAAAUAACAAAAUUAUUUUAAGAUCAGUAAUGUAAAGUCCAUAUUUUAAACAUAUAGAUACAUUGAAUUCAUAAGAAAACAAUUUACUAUUUAGGGAACCACAAAAAGUGUCGAACAACUUAACAGCAAAUGAUCACCAUAAGUGAUUGAAACAGAAAAAAAAGCAGAUGUUAUUUCCCUAUUUUACAGAGAAUGUAUCAGCUUCCAUUAUACAUUUUCAGUUCAUACUACUGAAAGUUACUUCUAGCAGUGUACAUUGAAAACCCUCACUACGAAAUUAGGUCAAAAUCCCCAAGCCCACAGAGGAAAGACGCCAAAAAGAAUGAAAACAGACAAAUAUUUUGGAAUCUCAAUAAUUGAUACAAAUCAAAUGGGCUUAAAAUUUCUCCAAGAUUGCAUCAUUUAAGUGAAUUUACCCAGAUAGCUACUCAGAACAUUACAUAUGAUUAAUGGCAACCAAGUAACUUCUCAUGAGGUUAGACUCUCAAUAACAACCAUUCUCUGACAAGGCAGAGGGAAGCAGUCAGCAGCACUGGGUCCUUGUCCCAAAUGACCUUGACCUUCUUCACCUGCGAGGAUCUACAGAAUCAACAAAAGCUAAAGAAAGUCGGGCAUGGAAAAUGAUUGCAGCAUCAUUGCCUUCUCUCAUGUGAAUUUUGAGUUUCUUUAUUCGAGAAGAUCUUGAGAAUCAAACAAGAAAGUCUAGCAUUAGAGAGGGGAGAAACAAUAUCUGUACUUGACAUGGUUAAACAGAUUUAAUAAUAUCAACAUGUGGCAAAAAAAUCCAACCAAGCCAUAUUGAGUCAUUCCUGCUUGAAGACGGAUGCUUCAUAUAGUCUGGACAGAGAACACUGGGAUGUUUCCUGCCACAGAAAGACAGUAAUAAAGUAAUAAAAUGAAAGGAUAUCAAAAGAGUUGUAAUCGAGUAACGCUAAUAAAUGGCAGGGAUAGGUAAAUGAAAUGCGCACACACUACCUACCUUUCAGCAUCAGGAAGAUCUUAUAUCUUUGUCAAUCUUUUUUGCAAUUAUAGCCACAUUUCUUGGCGAUAUGUUUGGAUCAAAUAUCGGCAACAAGCAGGCUUCUAGAGCACUGCCUUGCUCUUGAAGAAACAAUAACCUAUCAAGUAGAAUAAGAGUUUCCAAAAGAGGUCCUAAAGCGGCUCUCAGAGACCAAUAAGGUCCUACAAGGUCCUGUACAUAAUCGGUAAGUAAGUACUACAUGUUUUUUACUUUAAUUAUAGCAUAAAUAUAACUAACCAACAAAACAUGUGAAAUUUUGUUUUUAUUAAUAGCAGACAUCUCUGUAAAUGCUCUUCAAACAUUAUUUUAAUUUUACAGAAAACUUUAUUUUUUAAGCAAAAUUAUAUGGCCAUGAUGGUACCAAGAAAACACAAUCAAUGAACACAUAUUAUAACUUAAAACAUGUUCUACAGUCUGUCUAUUUAGAGAUUGUGUUUAAAUUUCUCGUUAUUGAUUCUUUUAGAAUAUUAGAGUAUCUUGGAAGAUAAUCUUGUGAAUUUUUUUCAUAUUUCAUGAUUUGUUUUCUUAUUUGAUUGGGAUUAGGAGUCUGGAAUUAGUAUGAACAGAAGUUAAGAUUUUGCAUCUUGUAUCACAUCAGUAUGCAGAAGAUAAUAUUGUUAGUCUUUAUUGUCUCUCUUUUCCUCCUCUUCAACCAAAGUUCACAUACUUUAAACAUGAAAAUUUUUCGCGCCUGUGCUGAUCCCUAUUCCAUCCACCUUUUCUGUCAUUUUCCUCACCUAUGUUUGCCACCACCUUCCCAUGGCUGUUUAGUUCCUUGGAAAGUGGGUUCUGUUUAGUGGUAAAAUCUGACUCCCCUCCGUGAGGUUUGAUGUAUGUAAGCAGUUUCUCGGGGGUUCUUUGUGGUAGCUGUCUGUAGUUUGUCGUUUUUAUCACUGACUAUUUUUCAAUGCUAUCAUGACUUUGAGGAGGUCAGAAGAAUCAGAAAGUUACAUCUUUUUCAGCUGAUGACGAGUGUAAUACAGUAAUACUAGUGAUGACUUUUUGCCCAUCACAACUGGGUUGACUUGUAUUAGCUGCAACUUCCCUAGCCUGCCUUAAUCCCAAAUGCAAUGUGCCCAUAUCUUGCUUCUCCAAUAGAUGCUGUGGCAUCACUGUAGUGUAAUUUUAAUUCAUUUUCUGUUCAUGUGUAUAGUUGUAACAAAUUUAAAGCUCAGAAAGCUUUAUCGCGAGCAAGAGAGUAAGAAUAUCAGUAAAGUAUCUUCAUUGUAUCUAGAAUAUUUUGAUGUAUCUUUGAUGAUCUUAAGAAUGGUUUCAUAUUUCAUUAUGUUCCAUGAUUUGAUUUCAUGCAAUUGAAAAUAGUACUUUAUAUUUUGUAUCUCAUCAUAUCACAUCAAUGUACACAAUUGAACGACAUUCAUAGUCCCUUUUAUAUCUCUUCUCUUCCCCCUCCAUGUAAAUCUCUAAAAUUUUAACAAAUGAGGAUCUGUCAGGUUGUGUAGCCUUUAAAAGGUUUUUCCCCUCUUUGAACUAAAUAUUCAACAAUGUGCAGCAAUUAGAUUUUUUCCUAACAAGUCCAACCUUAUUAACUAAUCCUACUACUUAGGUGAUGGCACCAUAAUCCACUUUUGGACUGAUAUAUGGUUGGAAAGACUUUUGGUGGAAUUGUUGCAUAUUUCACAGCAUUUUUAUUUCAUUGUUAAUGGGCAGUGGUGUAAUCUACUAGUUAUAGCGGCUAGACAUGCAGUUGCGGCUCAAACUAUUCGUGAUGAAAUCAUUCCUCAAGAUUAUUUCCUUUAUAUGUAUAUAAUUAUAGAAAUAAGGAGCUAAUCAUAUACAAUCAGGAAUAUUGGAAUAAGGGGCUGAUCUAUAUUGGAAUAAGGAGCUAAUCAUAUAUAGUCAAGGAUAUCUAGAUUAUAUACGUAUUAUUAGGAACAUCUUUAUUUACUCUAGUAUGUAUCGUAUCUUUGUUAUUAAAAGCUAUCAAAUCUCUUCAAUUUAUUAUAUUGACUCAUUUUUCUCAAUAUAAAUAAAGCACCUGUUGUAACAUCAAAAAUUUUGUUUAGGAUAUUAGAUAGGAGAUUAAAUUAGCCUCUUUUAAACAUAGUUUCAGAGUACCUUCACUUGGAAAAAUCCACUCAGCGGAUUCAGUUCCGCUUAGCAAAAUUAUGCAAAAGAGAGUUUUGGAAGUUUUUCUGCUAAUUUCGCCUAGUCAUAUUUCAAUUCUCUCUGCGCAGGCCAGUUUGGCUAAGCCAAUGUUCAGCACCGCACCAAAAUUGCCUCUAGAGCAAAUCCGCUCAGCACAUGAAGGUUGAGCCCAACGAAUUUUCCCUGGUGAAUACCCUUUUUCCAACCUUGCUCUAAGGAGUAAAUCCACUCAGCGCACAGGGGCUAUGCUUGGUGAAUUUUCCCUAUUAAAUGCCUUUUUUUUCCAUUUUCGCUCUUGAAGAGUGAAUCAGUUCAGUGCACGAGGGCUGCGCCAGCAGAUUUAAGUUAGUGGCAAUGUAAUUUUUUAACAAUCUACUCAGCAGUUUAGAUUCACUCAGCAGAUUGACCCCUGCUACUUGAGUAUAAAUACCCUAAGUUGUCAUCUUUGGAUUUUUUGACACAGUAGAUUUGAGAAAUGAGAGAGAGAAGGUCUCUUUAUCACCUAAGGCACAAGGAAUCAAGAGAUUCAUCUUUCAUCCCUCUUUCCUUGCUUCUCCAUUUCUUCUCUUUUUCUUCAAGUUCUAGCAAUUAGUUUUCUCCAGAUGAGUGGUUCUCCUAUUUCCAUCCUUUUCUUUAUUUUAUGGUGAGAAAUGUGACAGAGAAAUAUAGGGUUAUGGGUUAUGGAACCCUAACCCCAUAUCUCUUUAGAUAAUCACUUUCUAAAGAGAUAUGUUGUCUUUUGAACCUUUCCUAUGAAAUAUUUCUAGAAUCAUCAUUGUUCUUUCAUAUAAAGAUCUGAGUAUAGUAUUAUGUCUUAUGAAAUGCUUUAUGAGAAUUGUUGAAAGUUAUCUUUGCCUUGAACUUGAAACAUAGCUUCUAAUGUAAUAAAGUUUAAGUAUAGUUCAUAAUUCACAAGUUCUUAGAAAAGAAAUUGUAAAGUACGCUUGUAAAAAACAUAUCUCUCAAAAAGCAUUUAGAUGUCCAUCUCUAAAUAACUCUAAGAGGAUAUGAGAACCCCCUAGGUUCAAAUUCUCCACUCCGGGGGGUAUAAAUAUCAGGAAUUCAUGGCAGAGGAGAGAGAUGCCUCUCGGUAUGUUUGCUCAACAUUAUGCCAACAGGACGGAAAACAAAAAGUCAAAGAGAUUUUUUGAGUCAAGCAAACCUUACUAUUUCUUGAGUCAGAUUUAAUUAUCUUUGAGAUAUAACUUCUUUUAUUUCUUUUGAAAAACCAACUUAUGAAAUGUUUAAUGAUAGCUUAUUUGAGUUAUGUUAUUUUACCACUUGCCGACUUAAUCUGACAGUUUUUUAUUUUCAGAAUGAACGGGUUCAGAAGUAAACUAUAAGUAUGAAUUAUGAAGUAGCUUUUAAGUUUCAUGCAACUUACAAGUUGCUUAGUUAGCUUUUUGUAAAGAUCUUUGUAUUGUUUUCCCUUUAGUAAAUUUAUACAUAUAGUUAUAUAGAUUAGCAUUUAGUUUUGUUUUGUACCAUUAGUUCAGGAACAUCAAUGUAUAAGGAAUAUUAUGUUAUUUAAUAUUCCUUUUGUAAAUUUUACUAUUCACAUUUGUUAUUAUUUAUGUUAUGCUCAAAUCCUCUCUCUAGUGUUACACCCAUAUUGUUUCAAAUACACAUUUUCAGCUCAGUUAUUCAUUCUUAUAAUUUAAUAUGGUAUCUAGAGCCUUUAUCAAAAAUUGUGUUGGCACAAUAGACUCACAAUAUCCAAAGGAUUUUUUUCUUUCUUUUUUGAGAACUAUUCUCCCAAGUUCGCUUUCACUGUUUCGACACCCUCUCUAAGCAGUCUUCUUUUAUCUUUUUCCUCUACCUUUUCAUAAAAAAAAGUCUUCCAACACUGCAUCAACCUUCAGAAUAGAUUCUCCUAUCUUUUCUAGCCAUAUUGUUAGUAUUGAGAGGAUGAAUGGGUCUAACUAUUCCACUUCCACUAUUGAGACACUUGUCGCUCCUAUAUUCCUGACUGAUCCAUCUCCAACAACAUUUGAAGAGUGUAUCAAAUGGUGUGCGACACGUUAAUCCAUUAGUAACACUACGUAAGUGGCACACACUAAAGAAUAGUGAUAUAGUAGAAGUCAUGUCCAAUCCUUCCUUGACACUAUCUUUCCUACUGGUCCGCUCUUUCCUGAAAAUGACUGGCCUAUUGUUAUCGGAAAGACACAUGUUCUACCCCUAACCCAUAUCCCCACAAUACUAACCUCGAUUAUCAUUGGUUCUCCACCAUACACUACACUUCUUUGUCCUUGUUAUCUUCUUUUCCCAUUCCUAAGUAAUCAGGUGAAGUUUUAUCUCACCCAUAGUAGCAACAAAUGAUGAUUGAUGAGGUGUGUGAAAGAAAUGGUUAGUUCUAGAAAAGAGGGGCUUGAAUAGAUUUUCAAAAAUGCUUCGGAAAACUUUCAUAAGCUUGGUCAAAUGAUGUAAAGGUUUUGAAACCUUUUUACAAACUUUUGUAAAGGCCUUUAAAAAAGGACGACUAAGAGUAGACGACACAAGUAAAAGAAAAAGCAUUUAACACUUGGUUUAUUUAUAUUAGUUUACCACAAUAUGAGCUACAUCCAAUUCUCCUUUGCAACCUGCAAAGGGUUCCUCUAAUCACAAUGAAUUACAAGUAUUGUUCUUUGCCACUUUUGGCUUACCUGGGUACACAAAGUCACUCCUAGUGUUAUCAAAGUUAAUCUCCCCCUAAGAUUAAUGCCUCUCCAGGCUAAGUACAUAAAGUUUCUCUAGGUUACACGUCUAUAAAGUUGUUUUACAAGGAAAUAUCUCGCUUGAGAGGAUAUUACAAAAGUACACUCCUUGAUUCUAGAAUCUUAACUUCUAGAUCAUGAAGGAUUUACAAGUAAAACUCACUCCAGAUGUUUAUUAGACACAACAAUAUCUAAAGCAAUUAGAAGCUUGAAGAAAUAUUUUGCAUGCAACUUUCAUGUGAGAUGUAAAUGUAUACUCGUUCAUUAACUUUAUCUCCUUGGAGAAAUUUUCUUGUAUAGACGUCCUAAAUUGGACUGUUGAAACUUGCAUGUUGUGAUUUGUCCUUGUGUCAACGUCCUUUCAAAGUCAUGUUUGACUUUAUUCUGACAACUUUAGUUAUUGCACUCAAAGUGUUGUAGAAAGGACAACAUUUUUCUCUGUUAUUUCUUUGUACCUCUGACAACAUCAGUUUGAGCAUACAAAAAUUGAUGGUUUAUGUGUCAAAAUCAUUUUUGUGCACGUCUUGCUCAAAAACUUAGCCCAGUGUUGAUAUCUGUCUAGCACUUUUGACCAAUAUUCAAAGUCAUUGUCAGAUACUUGCUUAGCACUUAAGUAAACUAUUAGACGCACCAAAACAUAUUAUUUGUUAUUUUCAAAACAUGGGUGUCUUGGCCAUGCCAUUUAGAUUGAGACUUGUGUAUUAUCAUAUAAACUCAUUUAUUCCUUAAUAGUACCCUUCAAAGUAAUGGUACUUAGGAGUUGGUUCUUCUUCCAACUAGCAAAUCAAUUGUUAGGAGACAAUGGUUGUACACUUUUAAAACAGGAUCUAAUAAUAAAAUUGAUCACUAUAAAUCUCAUCUAAUUGCCGAAGGAUACACACAAAUCUAUGAUCAAGAUUAUACAUGUUGCUGAAAUAACAUUUAUUCCACUUCUCUUUUCCACUGCAAUUAUUCACCACUAGACAUUGUUUCAACUUAACAUCAAGAAUGCAUUUCUACAUGAUGACCUUGAUGAGGAUGUCUACACGGAGCAACCACCAGGAUUUAUUGCUUAGAAGGAGUCAUCUGAUAUGGUAUGUUGUCUAUGCAGGUUCCUAUAUGGCCUCAAGCAAUUAACCCUUGCAUGGUUUAAGCGUUUUCAUUUUUCCAUCCAACAAUUUGGAAUUAUAAAAAUGAUGUUGAUCAUUUUCUGCUCUAUCAUCAUUCCCCCCAAGGAUGUAUCUGUUUCAUUGUAUAUGUGAACAACAUUGUUAUCACAUACUCUCAUUAAGGAGGGUAUAUCCAAUUAAAAAUAUUUUACUUGAAAGUUUCAAACAAAUGAUCUUGAAUACUUGAGUUAUUUCCUUGGUACAAAAGUUGUAGAGCCCAAGGAGGAUUUCUCAGAGAAAAUGUUAGAAAGUAGACUUUAAAUCUAACUCAACCUCACAAAACCAACUUCCAAGAUAAGGUUUACACUCAUUAAUAUACUAUAAUUUGAUCAUAUCUCUAGUCGAUCUCUAACAUGAUCCAUGAGGAUAAGGAAAUGGACACAAUCACUCAAAAUAUGUCUCUCUUCUAACAAUUCUCUACAUUGUAAAUGUCUUCCUGCACCAAGCCUUAUUCCUCCAUUGGGGCUUUACCAGAUUCCUCCUUAAACAUCCAAACCAUCACAAUCUGCCACCAUAAUAUACCAUUCACCACAUGAAAUAUGAAUUAAGUUUAAAAAAGACAUAAUAUUUGAAACCUAACUUAAGUAAUAUUGAAGUAAAAACAAUGAACAAUAUGUAAUAUAAGUUAUUAAAUUGUGCAAUGAUGCACUCAACAUUUUUGCCUUUCAUCAAAAGUUAGGCAUUCUCUACCCUUCAUUUCAAUCACAGAGACAACCAAAUUAAAAUCCUAAUGAUUAUAACAACAUUUUAAAGUAGCAAAAAAUAAAUCAUAUACAAGCAACAACAAGAAAACAGCUAAAAGGAAAAUACAGUGCUAGACAGAGUAAAGAAAAGAUUUGCUAUCAUUAAAAUGACAAUAGUUUGAAUAACAGAAUAAAUGAAAUUGACAUACAGCAAAUGGUUCUGCUUCCUUCCAUAUGCCUUGAAGGUUUAUAUCUUGUGAAUGUUUAAUUCCAAGAUGAGACAAUCCAGACCGACAGAAAUUCUCAAAAUGUAAAAAUGUGUCAUCAGAUUUAGUCCCUUCAUAUCCAGCCCUUUCACUAUAAGGAAUUUCACUAGGUAAUGUCUGUAUCUCUGAUAUCGAGCCCAAAGUCCAGUCUGUAACACAUUGAAAACACACAGUACUAGAUCACAUUAUUUUACUUGAAUAAGUGUAAGAACACCUUAGACUGGUUUUGCAGUUUCAGACAAGGUUUACCAAGUUUUAUUUAUUGAAGAAUUAAAAGUUAUUUAAGAUGAGAGAAACAACUACAAAGAACAAACUAAUGAUAUCCGCCAUUAAGAGAACCAUAAAAAUAUGAGAACUAAACAGCCAAGACAAACUAAUGAACUAAGUAAAGAUGUAGCUGGGAUGCUUCAAAAGGGGUUUCCAAUCAUAACAGCCUUAAAUCGUUAAAAAGGAUACAAUUCAAAAUUUCAAAUACCAGUUUCUGAUACUGAAGGAACUUCAGGAGGGCACUUUUGUCUUGAGUGACAAGUACUUCCUUUAAGAUGCAGCUGGGAUUCUGCAGAUCUCCUCUGAUGUCGCCGACGAAGAGCCUUCCCUUUACGCCCAAUUGAAGGAGUACUUGUGACAAUUUCCGGAUAAUAUUUAGAAAGAACCUUCAGGAACAAUAUAUAUUCAUAAUUAACGAGAUGUUGUGAAUUAGGGGUAGAUCAACUAUUAAUAAAGAAUCAUUGAAAAAACAGGUGUUAUAUCCACUGACUGCACUAGAAUGCAUUAGUAGAAUGAAGAUUACUCUUAGAAAGUGGACUUAGUCUAACUCAACCUCACAAAACAGACUUUUAAGGUGAUAUUUUCACAAACUUAUAUAUUAUAAUUUGGUCAUAUCUCUAGUUGUAGUGGGAUUUCCGACACACUCUCUCACACAAAAAACUAGACAUCUUGAGCGUUGAAAUAGAGGAGGAGCCUGAUAAACAACCCUAGUUAGGAUAGACUCUAUUACCAUCUUAAAAUGUGGACUUUAAGUCUAACUCAACUACCCAAAAGUAGUUUGAAAGUGAGAUUUGCACUCAUUUAUAUACUAUAAUUUAGCCAUAUCUCUUGUCAAUGUGGGUUUUCCAACAAGUAUAAUAUAUAUAAAACUAUUUUUAUGCAUGUUUUUGUAUGUGCAUAAACAAGCUACUCAUGAGACCUUAAUGUUAAGCUUUAAAGCUUGGCUUCAACUCAUUUAAAUAAUCUAAGCCUAAUUGAAAGUUAGGGUUAGUUUAUUUAACUAACAAAUGACCUUGAACGAGACAUUAACAAAUCAAACCCAAGUAGUUCACGAAUAGGUUGCUCAUUUGCAGCUCUAUGCAAGACCUAAUGAAAACUAGAAUGAAUACAGAAUUCAUGCCUCUGCAUGAUUCCAUCAAUGUACAUUAACGAAGGUACAGUAGCUAUCUACAUUUUUUGCUCAAUUUUUAUAUUAAAAAGUAACAUUAAGAUGAUUGAAAGGGGAAGUUACAAUUUAAAAAUACCAUAUAACAAAACAAAGUUAUAAUUUGGUACCAUUUGAAAAGCAGCCCGAAAGGCAUGCAACUCAAAGUUGUGAAUGCCAGCAUGCAUGUCCAAGCUCCUCCACCUCUCUGCACUCUACAGGAUAAACAUAGACAGUGCGAUAAAUUUCUCCCACAUUACUUUAUCAAGAAAACUUUAAUGUCACAAAUACAAUUAUCAACAUAGUAAAUUCAUAAAACACAGAUUGCCGGUAAAAGUUGUCACCAAUUUACAUGCAAGUUGCCUUUUUGUUUCUAAAUGAGCUACAAUGGAAGGUUAAAUAUAUAAUUUAAAGAUAAUGACAUAUUUUCUAUUGCAGUGUUUUACAGAUGGCCCAAGAAUUCCUAACGGCAUUAUGUUCCAAAUGAAGUAUCUAAUUUAGUUGCUUACAUGUAAGUUCUUUCUUGUAAGCCAUACCUAGGUUGUUUAGUUGAAUAAAUGUAUUUUAGAAGCCCUGUGAGUGUACAACUCAAUCAUAUCAAAUAAAACUGUUACUGUUGGUAUAGUAGUUGGUUAAUAUUUUGCUCUAACUGUUUUAGUUAGUUAGUUAGUUGUCUGUUACAACAGUUCUGGUUAGUUGUUACAACAGACAAAGUACACAAGGAGGGGUUUAAUUGUUUUAUCAUUGAGUCUCUGAGAAUAGACAGAAUACAUAAGGGAGAGUUGAAUUGUGUGCUGAAAUUUUUCAAAGAUUUUCACAUCAGGUCUGAUGAAAUAUGGUUAGACAUAGUUUUAACUAGACAGCAGUACUGUCACAGGGUUUUUGUACAUCUUGUUUAAAAAUACUCUCCUUUGAUUAGAUGCAGUUUAAUAAUAUGCAAUUAGAAAUAGAUUAAGGUAGAGACAUUUAUUCUUGGUAUUUAAACGUUAGUUCUUCUGUUAAUGAAGACUACAUCUAGUUCUUGAUCAACUUGAUCAAGUUCCACUAUGCAAACUACCGCUGCAAAAAAUACAACUGAUUAUUCUUUGGACCUCAGCCACUCCUGGCUAAACAUCCAAGUAUUUUUGGACCUCAACUACUUCAGGCUAAACACAAGUAUUGUUUGGAACUCAGUCACUCCUGAGUACACAAUUUUGUUUAUACAGAGGGUGUGAUCUAAAUGAUCACAUGUUUGCUAAUUUAAAGAGGGUAAUGUCCUAAGACAAAUACAAAAUCAAGAAUACUCUUUUAGGUUGCUAAUGAACACAACGACGCCUUCCUCACAAACUAAGGCUUGAGGAUUGCUUAAAGAUUACAAAAGCGUUAAGAGCGUUAUUGUAGUUGUUGUCAAUCAUCAACCUUUCUUUUUCGAGGGAACUUCUACACAUAAGAGGUUGAGAAGAAAGAGUUGUUGUGAGUGUUGGGAGAAGUUCUUCUUCUUCAUGUUGCGUUUGCCCCUGUACAGACAUAGAGAUGCAUUAAAUGAUGUUUAUUAUGCAGCAUUAAUUGCAUAUCUCUUCUUCAAGCAACAUUAUAAUAUAAGACAUUGAAUCUAUUAAGAAGUGGAUUAUAAGUCUAAUUCAACCUUAUAAAAUCGGCUUAUAAGGUGGGGUUUGCACACACUUAUAUACUAUGAAAUGUUCUUAUCUUUAGUCGAUAUGGAAUCUCCAACACACACACCCCUCACACCGAGACCCACAACUCGUGCGUGAGACUAUACAUUUAUGGAUUGUCCAAUAGCGGAUGACCUGAUAAGGCCAACAAACUAUUGUUAGGAUAGGCUCUAAAUGACUCUGAUACCAUAUUAAGAAGUGCACUUUAAGCCUAACUCAACCUUACAAAACCGGCUUGUGAGGGCGAGUACGACCAUUAUGCUGAGUGACUAAAGCAGAAGAGUCAUCAACACAAGGCAUUAUAUCAGUGGCGUGUUUACAUGACACAUGUAGAAGGGUAGAACAAGUGAAAGUAAAAUUGGGCACGAUAAGAGAUCACAAAAUUUGAUCACAGACAUGAGAAUAAUCAUCAGGAAGGCCAUGUAAGCCCAAUAACAUGAAGAACUUGGAUCUUUGCUCUAGUUCUUGAGAAGGAGUGGAGGCAAUAACUCAUUAAAAUCAUGAAGAGCAUGAAGUUUACCCAAAUAUUCUGCCAUUAUACCAUCAAAAUGUUUGGGAGCAACAACUGUGAGGAGAUUUUGACACACACCAUAAAGACGUUGAGUAUCAUUGGUGUAUAAUAAUUUUGCAUGUUCCAAAACUUCUAAACAUGUCUCAUAGGUUUGAAAAUUUUGUUUUAAAGAUGAGUGAAUGGUAGAUUUGAUAACGAUGCAUAAUUGAGCAUCAAUUUUCAACCAAGGGAAACCUCAUUUUCAGUAACAUUGGGACAAGUAAGAUGAUCAACAUAACCUUGCGAUAUGACCCAACUUUACAAGAAGCUGGCCACAAACCCAAAAGACUAUUCAAGGCUAGGUCAAACAUCUCAGGCAAAGACAAAGGGCCCCACCAUCCAUCAGAAGAUCCUCAGAAGAGGAACAACCGAGCAUGGGCCAGAGUAUCAAUUAUUUUUCCUUCUAGUCUUUUUAAGACAAGUUUAAUUUGUAAUCAAUUGGGCUCACACUGACCCAAUUAAAAGAAGAAUAAGCUAGCUUAGGCUUCUACUAACCCUAGUUUCUAAAAGAUCACCCAUGUGCUCACCUUUGACCUAGAUUCUAGAAUAAUCCCCCAUGUGCCACACAUUUGACCUAGUUUAUAGAAGCUUGUAGUCAUUUACACCCCUACCCUUCCUCUCUUCCUCUCCAAGGCACGUAUCUAUAAUAAGAUGUCUCCCCUCUUGUAAACCAGAGUGUAAUAUGUAAUUAAAAAAAAAGGUAUGCUCAAACUUAAAUGAAAAGUUUACUGCAUAGCUAUAAACCAGAGUGUGAUAAAUAAGAUGUCUCCCCUCUUGUAAACCAGAGUGUGAUAUGUAAUUAAAAAAAAAGGUAUACCCAAACUUAAAUGAAAAGUUUACUGCAUAGCUAUAAGGCCUGUUAUAUUGUGUUAAUAACAGAACUGAAUGUUGGGCAGUAAAAAAACAAGAGAAUAAACUCAGUGUAGUAGAGAUCAAUUGUUCGUUAGAUGAACUGAUGAUUAUAUUUGGCAAGAUAGGAUUAGGUCAAAUAUAUUACCUAUUGUAGAAUAGAUGGUAAAGUCUUGCCUUAGGUGUUUUCAGCCAUGUGCGGAGAUGACUGAUGGAGGGGGACUACAGUAAGUGGCACAAUAGGUAAAGGUAGAGGGAAACCAAGAAUAACUAUAGAAGAAACAAUUAAAAAGGAUUUAGACCAGAAAUCAAUAACUUGUUUAUAGACAUGAUUUAUGACAAUAUUCAGUGUCAUUUGAUCUAUGUAGCUGACCUCACCUAAUAAGGAAGCUUGGUUGUAUUGUAUUUUUUAUAAGAAAAACAUACAUCCAUAAUAAAAAAAACAGUAUGUUCAAUUUUGACCAUUUACCAGCACCCCCCACCCCCCAAAGAGGGAUUACUAAGAUCAUGUACCUGGCAAGCCAGAUCACGUGCCCUUUUUCCAAGUGAUAAGCUAGUGGAUCUUACAGCAUGACUCAUUGGAAAUCCACACUGAGAUUCACCAUCCUCAAUCCUUUCUUCAGAUAAUAAAUUGUAACAGCAACCGAGACUAACAACAGCUUUAACAUCUUUACACUCUAAGAAAGUCCUAAUAAAAAAAUGAAUCCAAGAAUUACAUGUCUACAGAAUACGGAUUAUAUACAUUAUAUAUACAAUAAAGUAAGAUACGAAAACACUGGCAAUGUCAUAAAACAAUUGGUUAAUCGUUAAUUUUUUACAUGGAGUAAUACCAAUAAUAAAGUUAACAAAGUAAUUAAAUGUGAAAAAAAAAAAUCAGAUGUCAGUCAACUAUGACAGCAUAUGCCUAUUUUGAGACAACCCUCCAUUCCAAUUAAAGAAACUAGAAACAAUGGAGUUAAAAGUAGGUUGAAAGAAAACAUUUUGAAACUCACUUUAGCAUAGUCACCGAAAGGUCCCCACAGGCAUGAAGCCCAGCAAGAACAAUUGAAGACUUUUUGUUUGCAUUGCUAAGCCAAUGUGGUUUCCCUAGAUCUUGUUGAUUUUCUGCCUUUAACCUGGAUUGCUCAACAUCAUCUCCAGUCAAAGAUAUUUCAACCAAGGUUUUUAAUGAGUCAGUGGACAAUAUGCGACAUGUGAUUGUCUUCGGCACAUUUAAACUCCGCAUGCCUGAUCUAGAGCAAAACAAAUAAACACAAACAAAUUCUCAUAAUGAUAAUAAUUAACUGCUGGCGUUGAAAUAAAAAUCACAAUGAGGUAAACUUUAAACAACUACAAAAGGCAUAUCUGAACUGCUAUUGUCAUCCCCAGCAUAUACUAACAUCCCGACAUUGAUUUCUUUUACUUCAAAUAAUAAAUUCAUAAUAUUAACAUUAAAACUUACACUAGAAAACUCUGACCUGCAAAAUGUUCACUUCUUGUCUUACCAUAUAGUCAGACAUUUCAAGCAUCUUUAAGGAUAGUAAAUACUUUCUAAUGUAAGGUCACAUUUCAGUCAAUAAGAUGAAGAUUGAAGAACAUACCCAGAUUUUAUCAUCUGUGAUGUAUAGUAUUUUUUUAUUUUUUCAGCCCGUGCAUCAGUAACCCUCCCAUGAUGAGAACAUGCAUCAAUUGCAAUGACGGGAUGUUGAUACUGAAAGGCAAGUACUUGUGCAACAUAACCCUAAGAACGUAAAGUAAUAUGCAUAACAUUAAUAAAAGUAAAAAAAAUAUAUAUAGAGCUUAAAUAAGUAAACAAAAAGAAACAAACUCAGGCAACAAAAUUGUCCCUAGUGCAAGAAAAAUUUACAACACUUCUCAAUCAAUAUACAGAAUUUCAUCUCUGGUAAGGACGGAUCUGACGGAGACAGUAGAGCAGAUAAAAACUAUCACUAAAUGAAGUCACAAAUUGAGCUUGUUGCAAAAAAAUAGAUUUCCAUUUUCAACACUAAAGGAUCUGAUGCAGACCACCAAGCACAAAGUACAUAUGCCCAUCGAAUCACUUAAUGAAGAGAUAAUUUAUGGUCACUAUUCAACCAAUAUUCCAACUUCAAUUUCUGACAUUGAGGCAACUAGCACUGCCUCCGUGGAAUUUAAAAGAAAACAAUUACUCCUAACCAUGCAAUGUCCUUUGAUUUGUCAAACAUACCUAAGGUCCAUAUCUUGUCUAACAGAACUGUAAGCAAAAUAAAAUGAAUCUACACCUGACCGGCACCAACAUCAGCAACGGCAUCAGCUCUCACACUGUUUGCAACUGUACUUAUAACAGCGGAAAGAAUUUCUACCUGCACACAUGAAAAUCUUUUUAUCUGAUCAUUGAAAUGCAACAAAUUUAUUGAUCAAAAAGAAAAUGACAUGCACAACUCAAAAUUCGUUUGCCUAAAAUCUCAUCACAGAAAAACACCUUGAUCUUGCAAAUUCUUUAAGACAAUUAUAAAAAUUUGAUAACCAGGGACUCACUUCAUGUUUUUUCUUAACAUUCAUGCCCUGGGCAAGAACACUGUUAAGUGAAGCUAUCUGCAGGCCAGGUAAUGCCUGCAAAUAUAAAACAAUAUUAGUGAAGUCAUUUGCAAAUAAAUAAACAAAGAUUAUCAAAUACAAAACCCUCUCAAGCAGAAAUCCUAGAAAAAUAUAGCUCGAGAACAAAAAGUAUACAAGAUCUUUAAAAUGAUUUUCCUACUUAUAAGUUCAGAAAAAGUAGUCUUGAUUAUUUUAAACCUCCAUAAAUUGUCAUGGAGCAAAAAUAAAGGCCAAAAGUUGGUCAUAUAAAAUAAAAUGUGCAAAGAUAUCAUAAUAUAAUUAACAUGAAGGAUUGCACUUUAAAAAUUGAUAUAACCUAUCAAUUGAAAGAUCAAUAAUACUUAGUCUUAGAAUUCAGGUUUGGACCUAACUCAACACCCACAAAACUGACUUAUAAGGUGAAGGUUGUCUAAGCUUUAUAAGUUCAAUUUAAAAACUUUCCCUAAUUGAUGUAGGACUAAAUCACCACCCUUGAGGUUGCAAUUAACGCAACCCCCAAAGAGACCGCAACCAAGGUGGAAUAGGGUGACUGAAAUCAAGAUGGUUUUCCAACAAUUAGUUGUUUGUCACCAAGUUUUCAUUAGCUCAAAUGGAAAGUGCAUGAGAAAAUUCAGUGUAAACUAGUCCAAUUGACACUCUCGUAAUACAAGUAGCACAAGAUACAUGAUAACAUGCAUAGCCACAUAGAGAACCCCAACAGUAAAUCUGUAAUCAAUGGAUUCUGUUGCCCGUGAUAAUAUAUUAGUAAGAAACAAAACAACCAAACAGAAUGAGUAAGCCCUCUUCAUUAAAUAUUUAAAUUAGAAUCAACAAGAUCUAGCCCAGAUUUCCCCAAGGUAAAGGUGAGUAACAAGGAAAAGAUUACAUACCAUGCUCAUAUCUGCUUGUUCUUGACAAAAUACCAUAGACCUUAAUUUUAGGAUGAACUCCUUCAGUGAAGUUGGCCACUCAUCCUGCCACCCAAAUUUUUAUUAUAUGAUAAUAUAGAGAAAAUAUAUCAUUAUUAACAAAAGAGACCAUGUACCCGUCCAAAGUCAGAAAGAUGCACAAAAUACCCCCAAUCCUGCAGCAUAUCAGUCUAAGAAAACCCCCAAAAAUAAUGAUUCACUAAAUAAAUACCGUGAAAACCAACUAAAUUAUUCUGUCCCAAAUAAGUAAAUAACUUCAGCAUAAAAUUUGUAGCGACUUGAGAUAAAUAAAAAGGAAAAGAAAAUGAAUCGAAGAGCUGAAUUCCCCUCUCUUAAGUUUUCAUAUUUAUAAUGACAUUGGUAGUUCAGAUACAAUAAAUGAGAGGGAAGUGAAAAGAAUAAGAAAGGUCAUUCAUAUCUAGAGUCCUAGGUAGUAGGUACAGCACACAUAAACUUUCAAUAAAGCCUAACUAAGACCUAUUAUAACACUUCCCCUCAAACUGGAGCAUACAAAUUGUAUGUGAAAAAAUUUGGAACAAACAAAUUCAAUUUUAGGUUUCCUUAUUCUGUCACUAAUUUCUGAUUUGGAUCCAUAAUAUUCAUUGUCUCUUUUAGCAUAUUUCUUUAAGAAAUUACAACUUCCUUUGAUUUUGCUACUUCAAUGCCAAAAAAAUAUCUGAGACAUCCAAGAUCCUAUAAAUGAUUGCAUGGGUGUUCCUUUAGCUCAAAGAUUCUAGCAGCAUCAUUCCCUAUGAUGAUUAUAUCAUCAACAUACACUAUUAAGUACACACAUUUUUCCAGGGGAGGUAUGACAAUAGAAAACAAAAUUAUCUAUUUCAUUGUGUUUCAGCCCAAAGGCUUGAACAAUGUGGCUGAACUUUCCAAACAAAAUUAUCUAUCUCACUCUAGUUAACUUCUCCAAAAGAUUAUUUUUAAUUUAUAUAUGUUAAUUUUAGUUUAUACAAAAGUUCCUUUCCUUAAGUGAUUUUGAAGAAGUUAAACCAAGCAUAGCACAAAUGUCAUGGAGGAAUUUAAUUUUAGAAAUAAAAGACAACCACAUCGGAGCAAUAAUCAAAUUAAGCAAGCAGCCCAAUUUUCAAAUACUAAAUUUAAACCUGAGCUCUUAAAACGGGAUCAGAGAGAAAUAAUCUAUAUCAACAAGGCAAGCAAGCAUAAACUAAUUCAAACAAGGAUGUAUUUCAGCAAAUAUUACUAAACAGCAAACCUAAAUUGAAGAGAAAUAAAAACAAAUUAAUUAAUAAUAAAAAAUAAUAUUGGAUAAAGCAACCUGAACUGCACCCGAAGGUAUCAGCAGAAGAUUUUGAACAGAUUCACGGCGCAGGCAUUCCAUCCAUUCGGCGUCAACAUUCUCCCAUAGCCUAUCCUGAAAUUCAAUCAUCACCAUUUCCUUAUACUCAAUUAAAUUAGAAAUUAAAAAAAAAAUAGUGAAAAAUGGAAUUCACAGGAACCUUGAAGAAAUUGACAACGUGAGCAUUGAUUAAGGAAGAAUAAGGCGCAAGGAAGUGGACAAUUUCGUUGAUCCAUGCCAGGGUCUCGUCGGCACUCUUACAUGAAUACCUGCACUCACCCAUCGGACCCAACACUAACGGAAACAGUGUGUGAGACUCUCGUCACUGUCACCGUUUCUCCGUUCCGCUGUUUAGGGCAUAGUUUGAUGAACUUAUUUGAAAAGAGUAACUUUAUUCUUCUAAGUGUAACUCACUCAUAAUUUUUUUAAAAAUGUCUUUGAAAAUAUGUUUUUCUAGAUUUAUUCCAUUUUUUCUAAAAACAACUACAUCACAUUAUUAUUUUUUAUUAUUUUACUAUUUAAAUUUAAUCAUUUGUCGUUUUAAUUUAUAAACUUAAUUAUUUAUAAGUAAUUUUAAAAAAUAAUCUUCUAAAUAAGUUUCACUCGAAUUAUAAUAAGUUUACAUUGUGUUUAGAUAAGAAAACUUUAAAAAGUAAUUUAUUUUUAUGGAAAGUUUGAAAUGUUUUAUAUAAAAAUAAGUAGUAUUAAUAUUGUAUUUGUUCUUGUCGGUUAACUUGUUCGUCGGUUGACUCUAAUGACAAGUUCUAGUUUCGUCUGUUUUUUCACGAAUUUGCCUUAUCUCUUGCCGCGCUGGAACGUAGCUCCGCUGAAAUAGAGGGGAGUCAUACCUGUUGAUUGCACUCCGACGAUCAAGUCGAUACAGGACUUAUAAGAAUUAAGAAGUAAUCACUUUCAGUCUUAGAAACCGUGUACUUUUACCUAGGGUCUAAAGUUCCUUCUAUAACUUACCUCUUGUAACAACUUUCCAUCACGAGAAUCUAAUCUCAACUGAAAGCAUACUCAACAGGAAAAUAUUUUGUUUAAGGACAUACCCUCACGGUGCUGCAACAUAACUAAAUCUUUCCUUCAAGGAGUCCAUAAAAUCAUAAUAGAAUAAUCACCAGGGUACCAACUCAUGUACCAACAUCAGAGGUCCAGUCUGUUUACGUAGGCACCCUCUCCGUGGUGCUACGCUACUUUUCGUUAUACAUGCAACUUAACCUCUAUGUGCCCUAAAAUACAUGACUUAGGUUUAAAAGAAACACACUUACUUGACCUAGACCCCAUAUGCACUAAGCGCACCCCUAGGUCCACAAUUAUCAUUCGCUGGUCGCUUAUGUUUUACGUGCGAUGGAUUACCUUAAUUAUACAAAAAUGAAUUUAUUCACACAAUUGGGACCCAAUUACAUGGCCCGUUAUUCUGGCCCAAGAGCCGAGAUGACAUGUCUGCGCCAUGUGCCGAGGUCCACCAUCGAGUGUUGAGCGCUCUGGUCCUGUACAUAAGUCCCCCAGGCUCGAGCUGAGCUUGCUUUAGCGAAGAGACUACUUGCAUGCAUUGUUGGCUUACGUGUCAAUCUCAUAAUGGGUAGGCGUGGCAUAGCGCACGAAGUGUUUCUGAGGUGACAUUUCACCAUACUUAAUCGGGAGCGUACACGUGACCUCGCCAUCAACGGUGGAAAGACAUUGUCGCUCCCCAUUCCCAUAAUCGUUUAAGUUAACGUUUGGAAACCCUUUGCUAUUCACUGUUCCAUUUCUUCAAUCCUUGUGAACCCCUCGCAUUCUUCUUAUUCUUCCCAUACCUCCUUCGCAAACGUGGGAAACCUCCUUACCUUCAAUCGCUCCUUAAAAUAAGGUACUUCCUUCCACUCAACUCAUGACUCUGUGUUGGCAUCAUCAUCUUGAAGCAUUUAUCACGAUCAUAUUUCCUGAGUUGGUUCUAUUAUGGAUUCAUUCUUUCUUGGUUAUGUUGAUCGAUAUUCUUGCUAGUUUCAUCGUUUUGCUUGAAUCUGAAAUGCAUAUGGUUUUCCUUGCCUGAAUGUGUGUUUGUAUUUGCUUGUUGUUUGCAUUUCUAGAUACUUUGUAUGAUGGAUUACCACGCUAUGUACCCCUGGGCACCAGAGAACCUCUUAGAAGAAGUCUCGAUAUAUAACUCUCACAAACAAAUAGUGACUUAUAUGAAAAGCGAACGCCCAAAAAAAGUCUAUUUUUGGUAGGGAGCACGAUAGAGCCCUUAGGUUAGUUCCAUGUAGAAAGGAUGAGCCAGUUUGUUGUGAUGAGUCAUCGGACCCUGAGGGUCCAUUUUGUUAUUUUUUUGCCACUGUAUUUUAAAAAAAGUUCUCCUUCGCUUACCCUUAUUUAACUUCGAAAAAGAGCUUAUCACCGAAAUCAUUGUCGCUUCAGCCCAGCUACAUCCAAAUAGUUGGACAUUCGUUCGGGGUUUCUCCAUUCUUUAGGAACAAUUUGGCCUUUUGCCAUGUGUGGAAGUUUUCUUGUAUUUCUUUGAGGCCAAGCGUUUAGGCCGCCAACUGUGGAUUUCAUUCAACGGAGUGGUUGGGAGAGCAUUGUUAUCGCUCUUCCAGCAAUCUUAUAAAGGUUUUAAGGGUAAAUUUCUGAAGAUACGCUGACACAAGAGAGACCCAACUCUUCUAGAUGGGUUUCCCUUAUACUGGACCAAGAAACCAACCUUCCAAGGUGCUCGGUGCCUGGACAACAUGUCGCAGCAAGACCAAGAAGUGUGUCAUUUCUUCUUUAACCUAAAGGUGGUUUUUUAUACGGUCACCCUCAUAAGCCAAGAGUUCUCCCAGGGGGACUAAAAGCGUACAUUGUAUCUUUCUCGUUUUCUUGCUCUUAAUGAUGCUUACUUGAUUGUUGUUGCUGAAUUUUGUCCAUCUCUUUGUUACAGACAGCGUGUUAGCCCGGAUCAACAAGAAGGAUCUGGCAGAAAGGGCCAAGAAGAUGAUACCAGCCGCUCAGGUGCCCUCAGCUCAGGAUCUCAAGCUCAAGGUUGUUGUCAACGCAGCCCCAACCCCUACUGAUUAUAAGGCGACCUACUCCGGGCCAGUUCUCAAAAGGAGGUGAAAGAUAACUGAACUUUCCAAGCAAUUUGUCUCAAACGGGCAUGCUCCCUCUCAGCAGGCUCCUCCACCAAGCCCACCCCAGCCUCGUGACAUGGUAGUGGUGCAAGAAGGUGAAGGCACAAGUGUCCAAGAAGAGAGGUUGUGGGACCCUAGCUUAGACUUUUUUCCUUCCUCGAGAAGGUCUUUCUGCCCAACAAAGGCAAGGAAAAGUUGAUCGACAUCGAGGAGGAUCGCUUGGUGGGGGAGGCCGUGAGGCAGCUGGGGCAAGCACUUGCUACGAGUUGCUUAGCCAUUUCCAAACUGAGAGGGUGGAAGGGGUCGGAUGAGAAGAAGUUCCUCGAGGUCACUAAGCUCCUUCAAUAAGUUGGAGACCUCCAUCAAAGGAUGACGAAGCUUUAGGAGGAACUCCAACAAUCACAACAAGAAACUAAGGUUCUCCUAACUGCAAAGGCCAAUGAGGCCUUAUACUUAUCUGAUAAGAAUGUGGCGUUACUGGCUGAGGUAGAUAAGCUUAAGGAGGAACUAGCUCAGAAGGAUGAAGAGUUGGUUAAGGAAAGAAAAUCCCUCACCAACGAUGUUGCCAACUCAUACUUGGCGGACUUUGAAGACGUCGUCGCCCAGGCCUCAAGAAUCUAUCCUAGGAUGGACUUUUCCCAACUUGGCUCAGGCAAGACAGUAGUGGAUGGGCAACUCAUGGAAGAGUAGUGUCCCUUAUGUAACCUGUCGCCCCUUGUGGCACUCUGAACAAUCUUAAACUUUUUUAAGGACAUAUGUAUUAUGCUAGCAUUUUGAUUUGCUUAUUUAACUCUUUUAGCUUUGGCAAACUUCGACUAGUAUGUUAACAAUGCAUAUCUCAUUACUUGUCUUGAUGAAACUCGACUAAUAUAGACUUACCACCUAACAAUAAUAUAACCAACAACCAAAAUAUCAAUAAACGCGAUGCACCAAAUUUGUAUGGGAAAUCACAAUGCUCUGGUAGAGCUAACCUGUGGAUGACUCAUACCCCCUAGCCGCAAAGAACAUUUUAGCUCGCUUUGAGUGUUAACUGAUCACUUAAGGAAGGAUCAGGUCUCUCGAUCAUGUUGAACAGGACUUGCAUGCUUAGAGGACCACCCGCUUUCUGAGUGCAAUGUUCCCCAACAUUAAGGAUGACUUGAGUAUCUGACUUGGGUUUUAAUCUCCGCAUCAAGUCUACUCUUUAUUUUUUUCCUUUUCUUAGAGUAUCUGACUUGGGCAUUGGCUUAUGUACUGGACCAAAGCGCUUAGAGCUCAGCACUCGGUGGUCGGACCUCAGCACUUGCCAUAGACAGGCCAGCUCGGCUCUUGGUCCAAGUUGGCGGGCCAUGUGAUUAGGCCCCAGAUGUAUAUUAGCUCCUUUCUUGUAUAACCCUUUGUGCAUAAGGCCUAGGCGGCUAGCGAAGGGUAGUUUUGGACCUAAGGGUGUGCUUAGUGCGUAGGGGGUCUAGCUUAAGUAAAUGUUUUCUUUUAAAACUUAAGCCCAUGUGUGCUAGGGCACGUAGAGGUUAGGUUGCUUGUAUUCAAAAUAUAGUGUAGCGCCACGCUGAGGGUGGCUACGUAAACAAAUUGGACCCCUGAUGCUGGUACAUGAGUUGGUACCGUGGUGGUUAUUUUGUUAUUAUUUUAUGCACUCUGUGAAGGAAAGAUUAUGUUAUAUUGCAAUGUGAGGGUGUGCCCUUGAGCAGAAUAUUUUCAUGUUGAGUAUGCUUUGAGUUGAGAUUAUUUUCUCGUGAUAGAAAAUUGUUACAAGAGGUAAACUAUAAAAGGUACUUGAGAUCCUAGGUUAAGGGACGUUGUUUCUAAGACUGAAACUUACUACUUCUUGUUUAAAAGAUUUUUUGGCCUUGGUGAGGUCCUCCCCUCGGCGGGUUACCUCAUUCUCCAACUCUUCAAUUUUGGACAAUAGUUUGUCCUUCUGUGUGUAUAUUCACAUAUAUUCUAUUCUAACAUCUUAAUAUAUAUCGACAUAUAUAUUUAACUAACAACUUUAUAUUUAUAUAUAACCAAACUUAUUAUUUUUUGUGAUAUAUUGAUUCAUAUCUAAUUAUUUAUUUAAAGAUAUUUUUUAUUCAUAUUUAGUUUUGUUUAUUGUUUUAAACAACACCCUUCUCUAAUUUGAAGAAAUGCAUAAAAAGUAAUAAUAAAAAUAAAGCAAAAGUAUAUAUUUUUUGUUUAAUGAACUUGGAUAAAAGAAAACUACUUAUAUACUUAUAUGCUCUAUUAUUAUUUUUAAUUUUUUGUAUUUAUUUGAAUGAUGUGUGUAUAUCAUUGGUGAAAACAAAUAAGACGUAUCUUAAUGGUUAUUAUGUUAGGUGAUCCUUGAAAAUGACAGAGAGUGUGUCAAUUAAGAAAGAGUCAUAGGUUUCAUUGCAAUAAGUUGAGACCAUGUUAAUGUUUGAGUGUUUGUAUUUUGGAAGUUACAGUUUGGUACACUACAGGAUGAAAAACAAGGAUCAUUGUGGGGUUUAAAGAAGUAUUUACCAAGUAAGUGAAUAUAUGAAUAGUUCAUAAUAGCGUCCUGGAUUAGGAUAUUCAUCAACAAACUUGGGAUUAUCUAAUAUUUGUUUACCAUCGUCAAUGUUAGCUAGUGGAUAUAUAUAUCUCUUUUGUGGGCUGAUAAAAGGUCAAUAUUCUCGAGAAAAAUAUUAUGAUUGUACCAAUGUUUUUAAUGAGAAAUACCCAACUACCUAAUCAGCUCUUAAGUAACUUUAUGUUCAUAGUGGAUCAUCAUAAGUGGAAUAUGGAUCCAUAUGUUUCAUAAAGUGAGAUUGAGUCUUACAGUUGUAGGUCAAAUCCUAGACCCCAUUGUUUAUUUCAUAUGUUAAGUUUAUUAAUAUUGAUAUUUAAGGCUUACAAAAACAUCAUUCUUUUUCAUGUUUUCUUUCAUAUAACUACGAUACGAGUAUAACCAAAACCUCCUUAGUACAAUUCUUUGAGAAAAAUUUGAGAAAUUUUAUCUAGGAUGUUAACUUAUGGAGAACUUAGUUUUAAUAUCCUAAGAGAUAUUAAAUACAUAAGAGUCCUUUAUUUUGAUGUAAAACUUUUAUUAUUGUAUAAAACUUAUAUAUUUUUUGUAAUAUACUAUGAAUAAUUAUAAAGAUGUAAAAUAUUAAAAUUCAUACACACGCUUAUUUAUAUAUAUAUAUAUAUAUAUAUUAUGUUAUGAUCAAUGUUCUUUACAAUAAAAUAUUAUUACACACAAAAAUUUACUCAUAAUUUGUAAUUAAGUAAUAAUUACUUAUAUAAUAUUAGGGUGUUACACAUACCUUGUUUUUCGUUAAGGUACAUGAAUCAACUUUUUAUACAACACGUUAGGAAUCUUACCAGCACCAAUAUUUUAAUAAAAAGUACAUUGUUUUGUAUGUCCACACUCUAGUGCGUUCGUUACGACAAGUCUCAUCUAUAUCGUUUAUUUAACAACUCACAUUUAUCAUAUGUAUUUGUUACUCAAUUAAUCUUCAACUAUAAAUUCUACCAUGUACCAAAUCAAAACCAUUGAGUAAAAAAACCCUAUCCACAUUAAACAUGUAAAGUCUUUUUUUCUCACAACAAACUCAUAUUCAUAUUUAAAUGGAUCAAUUUUGAAUCACAUACACAAAAAACUAUUUCAAACGUUAGCUUGUAAGUCUCAAUUUCAUUUUGAUACUAUGAUUGAAAUGUACGUUAAGUUUACAAGGACUAAAAAAGAAAUUAUAAGGCUUCUAACUCACCCACUGCAAAGUCUUCCACAAAUCUCAACCUCAUCACUUCCACCGAAGAAACACUUUAAAUCAAAGGACUUAUUCAAUGACCUACCAUAAUGGAAAGCCAAAAUGGUUACAAUCUCAUCUAUAAAUAUUGCAACCUUAGAAGAAUGACAGUCUAACACAACUAGUCUUUUGAUAAGCUAUUUCUUAACACAAUAAAAGUACUACAAUGAUGAUUGUAAACAAGUCACGAAAAUCAACUACCUACAAUCAGUUCAAGUUUUUAAUCAAAAACUCGUCCACGAGUACAAAUCAAAAUUGUCGCUGACUUCAUAUAAAUGAUCAACCAUUGAAAAAAAGAAUUCAAUUUCUUGACUGAAGUGUGCAACAUAAAGAAUCAUGGGCUAAUAUUGAAUUGUUGAUCUAAAUAAAAAAAUUACGUAAAACAACACUUAAUGAAAUAAUUUGUUACUUCCAAGAUAAUACCUACAUUAACCAAGAUCCACACUUUACUCAAUAUAUAUACAUUUGAUUUCAAUUAUAUUUAUAUACUAUCAAUUUCAUAUACAUUCACUCUCUAUGUACCUUUAACUCUUAAAUAAAUUAAAUUUCAAUUAAUCUUCAUUAAUUUUUUUUUUACUAAAUAUCAAGGAUAUAUGUAUUUUUUAAAUAAGUUUUUUUAAAAUAUUAUUACAUAAAUUUACUAUUAUAUUUCUACAAAAUAUAUAAAAUAAGUUGAUUAAAUAUUUAUUACAUGGGAAUUAAAAAUAAUUCGUUAUUUUUUACAAUUUUAAAUUUUAGUUUUAUCUUUAUGUUUACUAUUGAUAAUUUUUAACUUUUAACACCAACUGCAUAACAUAAAAUACAUUCUUUAAUAUUUAUUUAAUUUAGUUUUAUCUUUCUAAUGUAUUAUUAAAAAAAUUAACAACUCCUUUUAAAAAAAUCAACAUAGAAAAAACGAAUUAUCAUCAAAUAAAUAAUUACAAAAAUAAUUAAAUUAAUAAAAAAUUGUAUGUUACAUUUACUUACACAACCCAAAUUAAUAUCUAUUUAAUUCAAACAACUCUCUUCUAACAUUUGCUUACUUUUUCAGAAGUCCAAAAUUAAAAUUAUAUUUUUUAUUUUUUGUUUUGAUUUUAAAAAAUUAUCUUUUUAAAAAAAUUGCAAAAGAAAUAAUCAGGUCACCAUUCGAUCGUAGAGAACCAAAUUCCAACACGUUUUCUGACGUUGGAAACCACUCUGAACAGUUCAGAAUUCAAUUAUGGAUGGCUCGAAUGUAUAAAUAAACAAGCCUAGAUGGGUAAAAAAAGUAGCUUAACAUUUUGUGGUUCAUAAAAAUGAAAAAAAAAAAGUAAAAAAAAAUUGUAAAAUUAAAAAUUUAACUAAAAUACUGAUACUACAAUAAAAUCAUAAAAUAUAAAUUAAUUUUAAAAACAAAAAAUAAUUAAUUGUUAUAUGGACUAAAUUAGAGAUUAUUUUAGAGACAAUUUUUUUAUUUUUUUUAUAAAUUAGUUUCUAUUGUUGUUAAAUAGAUUCUAAAUUAGUAUCAAUUUGCUAUCAAGAUUUUAACAAUCAAUUAUUUAUAUUCUAAAUUUGGUAGAAAAACUUUGUUAACUAAUUAGUUACCUAUUUAGAAAGCAUUUAACAAUAAUAUAAACUAAUUUACAAAUUUAUUUUUUUUAGUUUCUAAAAUAGUCUCUAAUUUAUAUAGUAACUAAUUAUUUUUUUCUCUAAAAUUAGUUUCUAUUUCAUGAAUUUUAUAAAAUCUAGAAAUAAAACCAUAAAAAAUAGUAAAAACCAAAAUUACAAUUUAAGUUUAAAAUUUGAAAGAGUAUUAUUGUUGAUGUUAGUGUUGUUCACCAACAUGAUGAUGAUGUAGUAUUGUAUCUCUUACCUUUCUUUUGCAUGUUUCUCUCAAUUUCUUCAUGUGCAAAUUCUUGAAUGAACACUACUCACGCAUGUCUUCAAACUUUUUUAGCCUACAAAUUUAUUGCAUCAACCAUAUCCAUAAAUAAUAAUCAUGGCAUUAAGUACAAAAGUUGGUUUUCUCAUUUCAAGUACAAAAGUUACUUCCAUCAACCCACUUUUGACUGGUCAACAAAAGGUUUCAUCUUCACAAUCAAGCUUUUCUACUCACAAUGUUGUGGGAGAAAAUGGUGCCUUGUUCUUCCCAUCAAACUAAACAUAAUUAUGGUUUCACUCAUGCUAUAUCUUUCAUGGGACCAAACCAAACAAACACAUCUUUGAGUAAGCCUAGUUCACAUUCACAAUCACUUCAUUACAAAAAAAAAAGUUGAAUGUUUAAAUUAUUUCAACUCUUCAAAGUAAUAGUCUAAAAAAAUUAUUAAAUAAAAAUUAAUUUUAUAAAUAAAAAAUAUUAUUCACUAAUCUACUAGAUUAGAUAUUAUUUUAGAGACUAAAAAGUUAUUGACAUUUAGGGUUUAGGGNNNNNNNNNNNNNNNNNNNNNNNNNNNNNNNNNNNNNNNNNNNNNNNNNNNNNNNNNNNNNNNNNNNNNNNNNNNNNNNNNNNNNNNNNNNNNNNNNNNNNNNNNNNNNNNNNNNNNNNNNNNNNNNNNNNNNNNNNNNNNNNNNNNNNNNNNNNNNNNNNNNNNNNNNNNNNNNNNNNNNNNNNNNNNNNNNNNNNNNNNNNNNNNNNNNNNNNNNNNNNNNNNNNNNNNNNNNNNNNNNNNNNNNNNNNNNNNNNNNNNNNNNNNNNNNNNNNNNNNNNNNNNNNNNNNNNNNNNNNNNNNNNNNNNNNNNNNNNNNNNNNNNNNNNNNNNNNNNNNNNNNNNNNNNNNNNNNNNNNNNNNNNNNNNNNNNNNNNNNNNNNNNNNNNNNNNNNNNNNNNNNNNNNNNNNNNNNNNNNNNNNNNNNNNNNNNNNNNNNNNNNNNNNNNNNNNNNNNNNNNNNNNNNNNNNNNNNNNNNNNNNNNNNNNNNNNNNNNNNNNNNNNNNNNNNNNNNNNNNNNNNNNNNNNNNNNNNNNNNNNNNNNNNNNNNNNNNNNNNNNNNNNNNNNNNNNNNNNNNNNNNNNNNNNNNNNNNNNNNNNNNNNNNNNNNNNNNNNNNNNNNNNNNNNNNNNNNNNNNNNNNNNNNNNNNNNNNNNNNNNNNNNNNNNNNNNNNNNNNNNNNNNNNNNNNNNNNNNNNNNNNNNNNNNNNNNNNNNNNNNNNNNNNNNNNNNNNNNNNNNNNNNNNNNNNNNNNNNNNNNNNNNNNNNNNNNNNNNNNNNNNNNNNNNNNNNNNNNNNNNNNNNNNNNNNNNNNNNNNNNNNNNNNNNNNNNNNNNNNNNNNNNNNNNNNNNNNNNNNNNNNNNNNNNNNNNNNNNNNNNNNNNNNNNNNNNNNNNNNNNNNNNNNNNNNNNNNNNNNNNNNNNNNNNNNNNNNNNNNNNNNNNNNNNNNNNNNNNNNNNNNNNNNNNNNNNNNNNNNNNNNNNNNNNNNNNNNNNNNNNNNNNNNNNNNNNNNNNNNNNNNNNNNNNNNNNNNNNNNNNNNNNNNNNNNNCGGAGACCAAUAAUGGAUAACAUGAUAGGUGCAUCGUUUAUUUUUGUCAGAAUAUUAUCAUAUCCACUCAAUUAUAAACCUAAACCAUAAACUCUAGACCCUAACAUCAUUUUAGUUAUAUAUUUAAGGAGUUUUACACACAUAAAUAAAAAUCAAUCACAUAAUUAUUGACUAAAUAUAUAAUUCAAUAAUGUUGGGCAUAAUUAAUAUAAUCAAUACAUUAAUAAAAUCUCUCAUAUCUUUUAUUCUAUAUUGAUUGUUCAAAAACACUUAAACCGAAAUAAAUUGAUAUUGACUUACAUAAACAAAAAUAGUUACUCUUAAAAAAAAUAAUUGAAUUGUUAUUUUAGUUUAAUCUUUAAAUAUGUAAUUGUUUCUAAAUAAAAUCAUCUAAACUAAAUCCAACUUAUAGUUUAUAAAACUAACAAAAAAUCUUUAAAAUAAUACGUCCAAUAAUAACAAUAACAAUUUAAACCAUUUAUACAACUCAUAAUCAUUUAAAUUAUAAUAUAAUUUAAUUCAUUUCAUUACCUAAAAAAUUAUAUAAAACUUCUAAAGUUUAUUUUAAUUUUAUAAUAAUCUACUUGAAUUCGUGACUUAAUCAUAUCUGUUUUCCAAUUAACAGAGAUCCAACUCGUGACUUAGGAUAUUUUCACAUAAAAUAAAAAUGGAAUGCAAAUUUUCUAAACCAUGAAAUAGAAAUUUCGUAGAAGUAGGUUCUUGUUUAAAACAAAGAAAUGAAGAGUUAUAAAAUGAAAAAUGAUAUAAAGAAAAAGCAAAAGGAGCUUUAGGUAUCCAUAAAUGUCGGAAUAUUGUCUCUAAAAGUUGAUUAAAAAGGAAUCACUAUUCUUGCAUUAUUACUUUUCCUUUGUCGGAAUCACUUUUCUAUCAUUAUUUUCACUUCCUGUCUCACCAAAUCACCAUCAUAUGUUUUGCAAUGUAUUGUGUUGUGUGUCAUCAUCUUCAUUUUCACCACUAUUAUGUUUUAAAUAAAAAAUAUAAUAAAUAAUAAAUUUACAAUUAAAUUAUGUAAAAAAUUAUUAAAAUAAUAGUAUAGGAAAUUGUAGGAUAGAUGUAGAAAAAAAUUGAAUUGUCAAUAUAUCAUAGUUAAAAAAUUAUUCAUGUUCCUUGUAAGAUUUGCCUUACACUAAAAAUAGGAAUACGGUAAAUACAACAUUAUCAAAUCAUAUACACUACAUAUUGUCUCAUUAUACGACAAGAUAAAUGUAAGGAAAAGAAAAAAAAACAAGUGUAUUAUUUGAUUAAUGUAAACGUGUAAGAGAUAAGCAAAGAUAUAUAGAGAGAGUAAAUUACAAAAGAGUAGAUGAUAAUUGUCUAACCCAUAAUUAAACGAUAAUCGUCUAAUCCAUAAUUAUACAUUAUUUCUGACAUUAUCCCUUUAACUAAUGGUUGUAUUAACAAUAGCUAUAAGUUUAUCAUGAUUCCUAAGGAAAGAGGUCCCAAAAUUAGGUUUGGUAAGUAAAUCAACAAUUUGAUGACGAGUUGGAAGAUGAACUAAUUACAUUUGCUUUUGUUGAAUAUUAUCGUGAAUAAAGUGAAGAACGCUCAAAAUGUUUCGACCUAAAAUGUAAAAUGGGGUUAACAACAAACAAAACAACACUCAAAUUAUCAAAGAAGAUCUUUAAAGUUAAGGACGAAACACAGAUUUAAAUUAGAAACAAAGACAUGCAUUUGAUUUUAACAAGAGUCGUAACAAAACUCCUAUAUUUCAUCUCAGUACUAGUGCGAGAUACCACUUUCUUCUUGUUGGAAGACUAAGAAACAAGGUUGGACCCAAAGUAAAUACAAUAUAAGUCUAACUCAUAACUGUCUAACCCAUAAUUAUACAUUAUUCCUGAUACUCAUGAAAUACUCUCCAUCUCAAACCUCAUCUCACUAAAGAUCAUAACUUCCAAUCUAUUAUCAUUGUCAUCAUCAUAGUGGUACCAUAUAAUAUAUAUUCAAAUAAUAACAAACAAUACUAAUAACUUUUUGAAAGAUAAAUAUUAAAUAUUUCUAAUUGAGAAUAACUAUUUAUUCAUCAUCAAAGUCUUCCAAAUAUACAUAAAUACUUUCAUGCAAUUAAUACCUUACACAUACUUAACAAUCUGCAUUAACUUCUCAUCACUUUAUAUAUUCUUCUACAUGAUUUGAGUUAUUACCCAAGUUUGUAUAUAUUAUUCCCAUAAUAGUUCAAAAAAUAUUCAACACUCAUAUACAAACAUAUUACCUUCUUCAUAAGUAUCAUUCAAUAUCUACAAUUUUCAUUAAUUUUCAGCUCCUUCUAUCACAUAGUCAGUUUCACUAAACAAAUUAAUUUAAAUCAUAUAAUAUAAUAUUUAUAAACAUAUUCAUAUAAAUGUUAAAAUAACUUAUAAUUUUAUGCAACACCACUAUUUAAAUUCUAAGACUAAAUAACUAAAAUUAAGUUUUUAUUAGGAUUUUUCUCAAUGGAAUUAAAAAAAUUUAAACGAAAAUUUAUCUAUUAAUCUAUUGAGUGAAUUUUUAUUUUACCGAACAAUUUUCAAAACUUCUCCCAUAAUGUUAAGCAUAAAUUAAAUCCACUGAACAGAUUAUGUAGCAAUUUUUUUUUAUCAUAAUUUGAUAAGUUUGAUCACGUAUCAAACAAUUACCAACCAAUUUAAUCAAAAUUUCACUAAUUCAAGAAAUAUCCUAAUUCAAAUGCAAAAAAAAAAUAAUAAUCUGCAACUCAUACUUUAGUAAAGAACCACAAAUGGAAAAAUUUCCAAAACCAUAACACUUCUCCGAACUCACGUAAUUUAAAAAAAUUCAAGUUGAAUUUAUGAUUUCACAUACAACAACUUUAAUUCAUGACAAAUCAAACCAUAGUAAGUUGUUAAAAAAAUUCAACAAUCAAAAUUCUUUCAUUAAAGUAAAAUCUAGAUCUCAACAAAAUUGAAUUAGAAUAGCACUUAAUCUCUUAAAUUUUCAUAAGCAUCUCAUUUCUACAAUCUAAAAUCAUCCCUUUUUUCAUAAUUUAAUAUAAAAAAAUUGGACACAAUUAGUUUCUCUUCUAAAAUGCCUCACCUCCCAAGGAAUUGUACUUUUUGAAAAGGGAAUGAGUCGAAGAUGCUUAAAUAUUCUUUAUGUUGUUUUUAGAAAAGUGAAUCUAACAAAUAGUCAUGCUUAAUUAGACUAAAAAUAAUUAAUUUGUGUAUUUGAGCUUAAAUAAAAUAUAUAAUUAAAAAUUUUGCCUUAAUGUGUCACAACUUUCAAUCCAUCCAAAUAAAAAAAAUACUUAACUGAUGUGUGAACACUUUGAAUGACAAAACAGAGUUAAUAUGCACACAAUUUAAAGUUAAUUUCUGAAAAAAAUUAUAAAAAAAGCGUAACAAAAAUUCUUUGGCAAAUUAUCCUACAAUCUUCCUCCUACACUUUCAUACAUCAUUUUAAUUCCAAUAAUACAUUUCUGAGUAUGAAGGAGAGGGUAGUGCCUCCUUUUUAAUUUUCAAGUGGUGGUUGUUGCUUGUGGUGAUUGGUGGUGAACUUUGGUAGUUGAGAUAAGUUUUGUGGUAUUUUUAUGAAUGAUGAUUGUGUUUUCGUUUGUUUUUUUUUUUUCAUUUUUUGGGAAGCCACACAACCCAAAAUAAAAACAGCAAGGUGUAAAAAUGGAAGACAAAACUUAAAAAAAAAAUAUCUCUGCAAUGGAAGAAUGUCGAAUAGAACGAAUCUUUUUGUCAACCUUCUCACACCCUCAAAUAAUGAAACUGCUCUAUUAAAUGAUAAAAUUAGAGAAUAAUAGAAGUAUUACGGCUGAAAAAAAAAUACAAGAAUGCGGCAAUGCAAUUGAGAUUAUUUAAAAAGAUGAGAUUAUAAUUAUUUAAAAAAUUUAAAAAAGUUAAAAUCGAUUUUUCACCCAUUAAUAUGCAUACAAAAAGUAGGAAGGUGGUGAAAGAAUUUGGCAAAUCCUUUAGAACCCAUCAUUAAAGCCCAAUUUUGCACACCCAAGCCCACAUCUCUCUUACUAACUUAUUUUAGUUUUAAAAAAUGAUAUAUAACAACAAAUAAAGAAAGAAACAGUAAAAAGUGUUAAAGAAGCAAAUGAGACAUGCACUUUUUAAAAAACCCAAAAAUCAUUGUAGCAGCAAGAACCAAGAACGAAGAAGCAGGAGGCACCAAGUUUUUGAUUAUUGUGUUAAGUUGGUCAGGUUAAAGAUUAGCAAUGGAGAUAGAAAGCAGCAAAAUCCAUUAACUUAUUACCUAGGUCUUCUGCCAUGGCUACAACCAAAGAGACAUGAGACACGACACUGACAUUCAUUAUCUUAUGUUAUUUUGUACAUUCCGAUAAUCAGAACUGAAUCAUAUGCCCUAUUCUGCAUCGUAGCUUCACAAUCAUAACAAACAAAACAUGGCUUAUAACUGCUUCUAACUCACAAAUAAGACAAAUGCAUAAUACCAUCAACAACGUUUCAAACAAAACAUCUAGAGUUGCUCAAAUUCACCUGUCUAAACCCUUUCUCAACCAUACUUAAACAAAAUCUCUGUUUUAAAAUCUUCUUGUUCUGUAAAACACGUGAUCAACUCAAAUCAAAUGCUAGUAGUGUUGUUAUUCCAUGAAUAAAACUUAUUUUAAUGCAUAAGAUUCUCUUAACGUUAAUGUGUAAGAAAAGUAAAUGGUAUUGUAUUGGUAAAGAAUCUUAGAGAAACAUGACAAAGUCUCAAAUGAAUCGACCUUAAAUAACAAAUAAUUUUACAUGUAUGGUGGGCAUAUGGUAGUGUCAUGUCUCUUUGCUUCCGGUGAUGGCAAAAAACCUAGAUCAUGGCUAUUCUUGUAUUGUGUCUUCAACAUAAUCUUUAUUCCAACCAAGUCAACACAAUAAUGAAACAAAUUUCGUGGCUUGCUUGUGACCAUAAAAAGCCUUGAACCUCAUGCAUCAUUUGUCAUGUUAAGUGUUUUGUUUUGAUUAGGAAGAGAAUAUUUGAGGAUUUGAAAAGGAGAAUUUGGAGUGGUUUGAGAGGAAAUUGUGAAGAAAGUUAGGUUGCUUGAAUUAAGAUAUGUAGGUGGGGAAAAUUUAUUGACAUUUGCAAGUGAUAUGAAGAGUGUGAGAGAAUUUUUAAUUGUUUUAAUACCUUAAAAUAUAAGUUUACAAAUUUAUCCUUGCUUUUAAAAAUAAUUAUCACUAAAUCUUACUUGUCUUUUCUCGUAUGUAAUAAAGGAAGAGUUUCCCCUUUAUCAGCGUAUUUUUCCGCUUCCAUUUCCUCGCAUACACUUGAUCCAAAUGCAAGUCAUUCGCAUCCUUCCAUUAUAAGCAACAGUAUUUGACUUAUCCAAACACACUGUCAAACUUUUUUAAUUAUUAUUGUGCCAUCCCAUACAAACUAAUGUUAAACUACCCGUAAAAAUCUAGUCUCACACACAAGAUCUUUAUGUCUCGACAACAUAAAAAGUGAUGUUGGAGAUAUUACAUUAAGUAAAGAUAAGGUGAAUUUCCAGUAUAUAAGUGAGUAUAUGAGUGAAAUUGAUUAUCACUUACAAAUUGAAUUUGAUGAAAAUAAUAUUACACAUUAAAAACAUAAUGUUACUUCAAAAAUACCAUUUGAUAUUUUUCAUGUAUUAACUUUUACUAAUUCAAUUGUUAAAUUAAAUUAAAAUUUAUUAUUAAAUGUGGUUUUAUAUUUAUUUUUAUAAAAAUUGAAAACUAUUUGUAAUCUCAUUAUACUUUUAAAAUAUAAAUAAACUUUGACUAACUAAAACUUUCAAAAUGAAUUCAACCCAAGCUAUUAUAUUAAAAGAAUUCUUAAUCGCGUUAAAUUAAGAAAAAAAAAUAUUUAAAUAGAAUUAAACCAUUUUUCGGCUCUAUCUUUUAGUAGUUAAACAAAAUAAACUUAAGUAAAUUUAUUUUAUAAAAUAGUAUUUAUAUUUGAAAAAUAAAAGUAGUAUUAUUUUAUUAAAUAUAUUUACAUAUCAAAUAAUUAUAUUUAAAAGUUAACUUAUAUUACUUAAAAUUGAUUUUUACAAAGAAAGUUUAAUUGUAAGUUAUUUAAGAUAUUGACUAAGUAACACAAAUUUAUGAAGUGAGUUAUAAAACUAAGACAAAAUAGCUCAUUUAACUACUUUAAAAACAAAUAUUUAUAAAAUAAAUAAAUAAAAGAUAAAAUAUCAAUGCUAGUUACCUGCUUAAUGGGAGUUUAUUCUUUUUAGUGAAUAAAGAUGAAUGAAGGUUAAUCAUAGACCAACCUGAAUAAAUAUACUUAAGAGUUUCUUUAUGUGUUUUGUUUUAAAAAAUAGCAAUGGUAUUGAAGACAUAGUGAAUAUAAAUAGAACCAUGUAUCUUAAUAAUAAAAAUUUGAACAUUGAGACUAAACUCAACUUCAUUGAUAAAUAUUGAGAGAUAUGAUUCAUCCAUUUAUUUUAAAAUUUAGAGUUGUCUCUAAGCAUAGUAGUGUUUUAGAUAAGGAGGACCACCCUAUUCUAUUCUAAGGCACAUGUUAUUUUUGUAUGAUACCAUUAUUUUACUCAUCUAAUUAAUAACUCAUAAAGCAUUGGAGUAGUUAUGGGGAUUAUUUAUUCAUCCCUAUGUGCUACUACUAUCUAAAUUCUAUUAUGCAAAAAAGGUUAAAUUCUCCUUUUAAAUAUAGGGUUACUUACAACUCCAAUCUCAAUCCAACAAAAGGUACAACAAAAUCAUUUUGGUAAUUAGUUAUAAAUGAUCAUGCAAACUACUUAUUAUGAUUUUUAAAUGCUUGAAAGUAUUUUUGUACACCAUCAAUCACAUCAAAAUUAAACUAAAAUGGACAUAUAAUGCUUAAGAUUGAAAUGAAAUAAAUUAGGAUAAGAUAAAAUUUACUUUAAAUUUGAUAACAUUCAUUUGUAGGUCUAAUUUAGCGUGUCACUUAAUGACUUUUAUUUAUUUAUAAUUAUAGAUUAUUUUAUUUUUUUUGGUAUAUAUAUAUAUAUAUAUAUUAUCUAAUUUAACUCUAAUUAUGCAUUGAUCUUAUUUAUUUAUUUAUAUAAUUUAAUUUACUUUUAGUUAUUUUUAUUUAUAUUUAUUUCAUUUAAUUUAUCUUUCUAAUCUUAUUUAUUUAUUUAUAUUUAUGUCAUUUAAUUUAUUUUUAGUUACACACCACUUUUAUUUAUUUAUUUAUAUUUAUAUUAUUUAAUUUAUUUUUAUUUAUGCACUAGUCGUAUUUGUUUAUUUUUAUUUAUACCAUUUAAUUUAUUUUCAGUUAAGUACUAUUCCUGCUUAUUUAUUUAUAUGUAUAUCAUUUCAUUUAUCUUCAGUUAUACUAGUUCUAUUUACUUGUUUAUUUAUUUAUAUAUUUUAAAAUUUAUCUAUAGUUAAAUGAUUUUGUUUAUUAUUUAUUUAUAUUUAUGUCAUUUAAUUUAUAUUCAUAUUAGUCCUUUUAUUAUUUAUUUAUUUAUAUUUAUGUGAUUAAUGUAUCUCCUGAUUCUAUUUAUUAAUUUAUAUUUUUGUUAUUUUAUUUUCCUAUAAUAUACUUAUCCAUAUUUAUUUAUUUAAAAUACUUUCUUUAAUUGCUAUUUUAUAUUAUUUGUUUUUUUUAUAAUUCAAAGAAAUAUAUAAAGUAAUAAUAAAAAAAAGUAAAAGUAAUUAUUAUUUUUUAAUGAGUUUGGAUAAAAGAAAGUUAACUAUAUGUUUUAUUUAUUUUUUAUACUUUUUUUUUAUAUGUUUGAAUGAUGUGUAUAAAUUAUUGGUAAGAUGAAUAUGGUGUAUUUUAAUAGUUAUCAUGCUAUGUGAUUCUUGAAAGUGUUAAAGAAUAUGUCAAUCGAGAAAUAGUCAUAAAAUUUGUUUCAUUGAGUUAAAACCAUGUUAAUGUAUUAGUCUUUGUGUUUGGAAAGUUACGCUUUGAUACAUUACGGGAUGAAAGGCAGAGACCAUGGUGGGGUCUAUACGGAAGUUACCAAGUAGGUGAAUAUCUGAAUAACUUAGAAUAAUGUCUUGGAUUAGGAUAUUCAUAGGCCAAACUUGGGACUAUGUGACACAUGCUCAACAUCGCCAAUGUUAGGUAGUGAGUAGAUAUACCUUUGUGUGGACUGAUAAAUGGUCCAUAUUCUCGAGAAAAAUAGUUAUAAUUGUAUCAAUGUUCUUAAUGAGAAAUACUCAACUUCCUAAUUAAUUCCUAAAUAAUUUUUUAUGUUCAUAGUGGAUCAUCAUAAGUGGAAUAUGGACUCAUAUGUUGGUAAAAUGAGCUUGAGUCUUAUGGUUGUAGGUCAGGUCAUAGGUCUUCAUUCUUUGCAUGAUGUGUUAAGUUUAUUACAAUUAACAUUUAAGACUAUUUUCCAUGUUUUUCUUUCAUAUGUACCUAUCGUAUGAGUAGAAGGAUAACUUGCUCAAUAAAAAUUGUUUUGGAAAAAUCUCGAAAGAUCUUCUCUAGAAAGAUGACUUGUGAAGAAUUUGGAAUGUUUAAAAUAUAUAGAUAAUUAUAUACUGUGAUUUAAAACUCUUAUUAUUGUACUAAACUUAUAUGGUUUUGUAAUAUAUUAUAAAUAAUUAUAAAGAUGUAAAAUACCGACAUAUAUAUAUAUAUAUAUAUAUAUAUAUAUAUAUAUAUAUAUAUAGUGUANNNNNNNNNNNNNNNNNNNNNNNNNNNNNNNNNNNNNNNNNNNNNNNNNNNNNNNNNNNNNNNNNNNNNNNNNNNNNNNNNNNNNNNNNNNNNNNNNNNNAGUUAUUUUGUAUAGAGAAUUACACAUGACCACAAUAUGAGAGUAUAGACAAUGAGCGAAUGUGCGUUAUUAUUAUAAUCAUGGACAUAACAUCAUAUGCCAUACAUCAUGUUCAUUUUCAACAUUCAACCAACUUUCCUAUUAAUGUGCAAAUGGAACCAAGACUAAGUGAACUUUCGAAACACGUCUUACAAUGAUCUAAUUAGGUAUAAAAUAAAGAUAAAUUAUAUUUAAGGUAAUCAAGUACAACUUAUAACAAAACAAUAUGUCAUAUUCUUCUUUAUUUUUUCACUUAAUGUUAUUUUUUUGUUACAUUUUUUUAAAAUAAACAUCAUUUUAUUGCAAUUUUUAUGGACUUUUGGAGCUAUCAAUGUCGAUCCAAGCCUAUAAGGAUGAAUAAUAAUUUACAUAAUGCAACACAGUAAUUUGUUUUGCAAUUGUUAAUGAUAUCAGUAUGAUAGGUAAGGUUAUAUUUCAGUAUACUAUAGGAAGUCCCUUCCUUGCCUAACAAUUUGAAGUUACAAAAAGUUGACAUGUGAGGACGAGUUGAUGAGAGUUGGGUAACAAAACAUGUCUGGUGGAUUGAUGUGUAGAAUAACAAACAUGAACUAUUGCUGAUUGAUAAUUUGACAAAAGAACUUUUGUUCUACAUACAUGAAAUGGUAGAUAUCUAAUUUCAUCUACCUCUUUCUAUGCCACAACUACUUCAAUAUUUAAGUAACCAACAUCCUAAAUAAACUCCACCACCUACGCUCAAAAUUGGUACCUCCCUCCCUCGUUAUUUUUUGGUUCCUAAAAACAUUCAUGGACAACUCCUAUGUAUAUGAUGUCUUCACUAUAAUCGAUUAUGAAUGACGAAUAACAUUAAUUUGUAUCAAGUUCUAAUGCUCAUAUGUAAAAUUUAUUUUUAACAAAUAUUAAAAAACUAACUAUAGUCCAUGCUUAGAUGUAAUUCCUUAGGGCAUUUUUAGAUUCAAGUGAACAAUUCUACUCCUCGGUUUCUAAAUUACUAUACAUACUAAUACAUGAGCACAAAAUUUAUGAGGUUUUCGUGUUGAUGGCCAACAAUACCCCUUUACCCAAAGAACAACCCCUUCCCAAACAAUAAUCUCAAUCCAAAGAACAACUAACCCAACACAUAACAUGUCAUUUUCAUUAUGAAAUUCAAUGUCAUUAUGGAAACUAAAAAUUCAAAAAUUUAUAAUAAUAAUGUUUAUACUCAAUAUUAACUUUGCUGUAUUACAAAUUAUUCUAAAUCUUAAUUUUAUAUCCGUAAUAUAUUAUUUUUAUACCACUUAAAAAUUAUUAAAUAAUAUAUAUAAUAACAUUGUAGUUGCAAUUUAAUAUAUUCGUAAAUAUAAAUAAGACUUCAUUAUUUGAAAAUUAUGUUAAUAUUAAAUUAAUAAAAAUAUUUGCAAUGUUAAAGGUUUAUUUUAAAAUAUGAAAUUUAAAAUGUUGAUUUAAAUUAUUAUAUAACAAAAUAAUUUUUUAAUAAUUAUUAAUUUAACUUGUACCUAAUUAUGUUAAUAUUAAUAAUUAAUAUUAGUAAUUUAAAUAUAUGUGAAUAAGUAUUUAAAUUAAAUUUAAUUAUUAUUUCAUUGUUAUAACAAAUUUAAUGAUUCAUAUAAAUUAUUAAUAAAAAAAAUGGUAAUAAUUUUUUAUUAAUAAUUUUAAUUUAUGUAAAAAUAGAUAGAUAUUAAAAAUAUAUUGAAGAAGUUAACAAAAAAUUUAUUGUCACACACUUUGUUAUAUUAUAAAUAAUAGUUCUAAAAUCCUCAUAUAUCAAAUUCAAAUCAUAAAGAAGUGUUAUAACUAAAUUUAGUGUGUCUUUAUCAUGAUUUAUUAUUUUAUAAAUAUCUUUUCUAAAAACCUAAAAAUAAUUUUAGAGUAAAAGUUGUAUAAUUAAAAUGACAUCUGAAUAUUAUAUUAUUAACGUGAAAAAUGUAUAUAAAUAGAAAUUUCACUUAUUCAAGUUUCAUUUUAAAAGAAAUAACAUCUCUCUAAAACACUUUCUUUUUUUUCAUUCCUCAGCCUUCUCUCUAACUUUUUUAGCCCAUUCUUCAUUAGACUAGCAAUCGAAGUUUGCCAUUUGAUUCUUGACAACGAAUACUACAAAACUAUAUGAUCAUAAUUUUAAUUAAAGUAAGUUAAUUUUUGCUCAUUUUCAUUUUUGGUAUUGGACUUUUUAGUUUUGGUUUUGAUAUAUGUUUUGCAUGUAGUGUUUUUGGCUUCAAGAUUAGUUCUUGUUAGUUUAGAGUUUAAGUGAUAUAGUUGAAUCAUUGAUUAAGAUUUUGUGGUGCAUGUUAAGCUAUCCUUGGGUUAUGUAGCAUUGAAGCUCUUUCUGAGCACACCUACUCAAAGUUAGGUAAGAGAAACUAGUUUUAUUUUUCAAUAAAAUCCUAAGUUAGAAGAUCUAGAUGCGGGGUGCUCUCAACCCCAAAUUCGUUAAGCGUUUUUUCCUGCGCUUAAAAAGGAUUUUACAUGCAGAGUUAGCAGAGUUCUCAAUCUCAAAUCCACUUAGCAAAUUUUCCCUACGCUCAAAGAAUUUAAGUUGUCGUUUUGGGGGCUACCAGCCUCAAAUCCGCUCAGCCAAAUUUCAUACGCUUAAUGAAUUUGAGAUAUAAUUUUUGUGUGUUUUCUGCCUCAAAUUCUCUCAGCCAAAUUUCCAUGCGCUCAACCAAUUUUCUCGGGCUAAUGUCUAUCUUAAUUGAAUCAAGCCAUUUUGACAACAUUUGUCAUUUUUUGCUUAAAUACCUUUUAUUUCUCAGCUAUAAGUUAUAAAAUUCAAUCAAAUCUUUUGAAAGUUUAUUGAUUUGUAAAUUAGAAGUGAUUAUAACAUUUAAAGAUCUAUAUUUGAUUAAAAUUAUUCAACUUAAGUGUUUAAACUAAUUUAUUCAAUUGAUUUGUGAAAUUUAAUGUUAUGUGACUGUUGUUGAUAAUUUUUAACUAGAUUAAAAGUAUAAAUUUCUGUAUGAUGAAAUGAUAUGUUGAUGAAUGUGAUGAAGUAUGAAAUUAUGUCAAAAUGUGGCUGAGACAUAGUAUUUUCAGGAAAGGAAAUAUUUUGUUGAGAUUAUUAUGAAAGUGUAUGGGCUUGUGAUGUACUCUGGAAAGGGAUGAUCCUGACUCUACUAGUAUCUUAAAAUCAUAUAGAUGAAGAGUAUUAGGUAGUAAGAGUCAAAGAAGGUUCAUAUGAUUGAGUUUGAGGUUUGAAAGAACUGAUCAAAGUAGAUCAUAUGAAUUUACCCAUGUCAUGUGAUGAUGGAUUCCUUAAAGGGGAGACUAUGUUGCGAUGAGAAUAUAGUAAUAUGACAGGUGCAAGUCUUUGAGUGCUAAUUUCAAUACAAUGAUCUUUUGGAAGUAGAGUCAAGUAAUUGUGUAUGUUAGUAAAUGGAUUUUGACAUGAGCAAUAUGAAUUAUGAGUUAUGAUAGGCACUUGAUUGCCUUGAGAAAACACAUGAAAGUAAUGAAUUGUGUGUUUGUGAUUUAAAGUUACAUUUAUAUUCGAAGUUUAAAAAAUUCCUAGCUUACUCUAUUGUUUGUAUUGUGUUUGUUUUUCCUUAUUUGUGAUUGUACUUGGUCGAUUGGUCUUGAUUUAAUUUCCGACUUAUUAUUUUUUUAUCCGAGGAACAUCGUAGCUCAGUAGAGCACAAAGCAACAUGCAUUUUAUAUCUGUCUUUUAUAAAUAUGCCUGGAUUUUUGGGUUUUUUUGUUAAAUCAGUAUUAUUCCAUUUAAGAUACGCCAAAAUUAAAUAAUUGAGUGACUUAAGUUUCGGGGAGUUGCUGAUAAAUCUAUUAUGACCCCAUAAAAAGGGGUAAAUGAUUUUGCAGGUGAUAGAGCUCCAUAUAGUAUAAAUGAAAUGUUUUUAUUUUUAUGACUUUUUGUUUGAUAUAUGUAAAUAUUAGAUUAUAUACUAAGAAAAAUGCAUUUUGAAAUAAUACAUUAUAUAUAUAUAUAUAUUUUUUUUUUUUAAUUAGAUAUGUACAUGCAUAAUACUAUAGUAUUUAAAGAAUAUAAUUAGGGAUGUUACAACAUUCUUAAGUUUUUUUUCUCUACUUUUAUGUUAUAUUUUUAAUAUUUUUUAAUGGUUAUUGACUCUAAACAAUACUAUUAUACUAAAUAGACAUAAAUACUACACAAAAUAAUUAAGCUUGUCAUAAAAAGUUAGAAGUUGAAAAAAAUACAAGUAACUAAUAUUAUUAAAGCAACUUUAAAUUAAUAAUGGUAUAUUCAACUUUUAUAAUAAUAAUUUUGUGAUAAAUUAUUAUAUUCACUACUAAAUUAAAUUUAAUAAUAACCAUAAAUGUAUAAUGUUAUACUAUAUUUAUCAGUAUAUUUAUAAUACUAUUUAUAAUUGAAAUGUACUUCAAAUAUUUUUUAACUACUAUUUUUAUAAUUAAUGCUACAUUUAUAAAUUUAUUAGCAAUACUAAAUCUAAAUUAAUAAUAAUCAUUUGUUUUCAAUUAAUAAUAAUAAUAAUAAAAUUAUUAUUUUUAAUAUACAAAAAUAGUAAAAUUAUGAAAUUUGAAUUUAUUAAUAAUAAUUCAUAUGGAAAAUAAUUUAUACUCACAUUAAUUAUCAUUUUUUAGUUUUUUAUUAUUUGUAUGCUACAACAAUGUCAAAAUAGUUAUUAAUUUUAUUAUUGCUCAUAUAUAGAUAUAUAUUGUAACAUUUUUAAUAAUACUAAAAAGUUCAAGUUAAAUAGUAAUUAAAACCUUUAAUAUUUUAAAAUUUUUAAUUAAUUUUAAAUUAAAUUGAUUUUAAGAUAAUCAUAAAUUAUUAUUAUUAAUUUUAUUUACAAUUUUGUAAUAUUUUAAAACCUUAUACAUGUUUAUUUAAAUUAUAAAAGAUAUCUUAGAUAUAGCCUUUAAUAGUAUCUACAUAAUAAGAGUUGAAGGGUUGUGGAUAAGAGCAGUGGGACAAGGUUCCCAAAUCAAAAUUGACUCAUCAAACAAAGUAUCAGAUAAGCUUAACAAUUUUCCAACACAAUUUCUACAAAUAAAUACUAAAUUCCCUCAUUUUUUCUAAAUAAAGAAAAGUGUGUCAUUGGGUUAAUUUUUCUUUAAUUGCAUAAGAUUUUAAUAAUUUUGAAUUCAUAAAAUAUGUGAUAGGGAGUAUAUAAUAAAAAUAUUUGUUGAGUUGGUAGAAAUGAUUAAGCUAAAAGAGAGACUUAACUGUUAAUUUUGUAAUGGAAAAUAAAAAGUGAAGUUUUUAAUUUUGUGUGGAAAGAAGAGAGAGAGAGAGAAAAGAGGGAGACACGUGGCCCUAGUUUCCAUGUAGGCGGAGAGAACUGUUAUAUAUGCGUCUCCUUCUGCCACUCUCCAUUGCUAACCUUAACCUUAACCUUCACCUUCUUCACCAACACACUCUCUGUUAUCUUCUUCUUCUUCUUCUUCUCCUUGUUUCCUUCAUUCAUUCCACACAAAAAACACACCCUUGCAUGAUCCUCUCACAAUGGCUUCCGCCUGCGUCAACAACAUCGCAAUCUCGCCGGAAACCACCUUCCUCGACCUCCCUCCCUGGCUCACGCCUCGCGGAUCCGAACCCGAACCCGACUUCGAGUUCCCCCUCGAUACCCCCGCUACCAUGCUCCCCGCCGACCAGCUCUUCUCCGACGGAAAACUAGUCCCUCUCCACCUCAAAACCCCCACCAUCACCACCACCGUCACCGCCUUCCAAACCCUAACCCUAACCAACGCCGCAACAACCACCAUCUCCCCUCAAACCCCCAAAACCCCUUCCUACACCGCCGCCACCGCCGCCACCGACCCCUAUGUCUUCUCCCCCAAAGCCCCCCGCUGCUCCUCCCGCUGGAAAGACCUCCUUGGUCUUAAAAAACUCUACCCCACCACCACCCUUACCAAAUCCUCCCCCUGCACCACUUCCAAAUCUCUAAAAAACCUCCUUCACCGCAAAACGGUGUCGUCUUCUACCAACUGCGAAAAUGCGCCACUCCUCAUAAACUCAUCCGACGCCGAAUCCCUCUCCAUCUCCUCUCGCCUCUCUCUCUCCUCCUCCUCCUCCAGCCACGACCACGACGACCUCCCUCGCCUCUCGCUAGAUUCCGAAAAAUCAAACCCUAACCCCAAUAUGACCUCAAACUUAACUCUUAACCUCAACCAGAUCUCGAUCCACCGAAACCCUAACCCUAGAAUCCGAUUAGUCAAACCCCGCGCCGGGUCCUUCGACUCCAACAAAACCGUUUUGGAUCAGCCUUGCCGCCCUGGGAGGAGUCCGAUCCGGAGAGAAUCCGAAACGGUGGGUUGCAGGGGAGUUUCCGUGGACAGCCCUAGAAUGAACUCUUCCGGGAAAAUCGUGUUCCAGAGCUUGGAACGAAGCUCGAGUUCUCCUAGCACGUUCAACGGUGGGCCCCGCUUCAAGCACCGUGGCAUGGAGCGCUCUUAUUCUGCUAACGUCAGAGUAACGCCCGUUCUCAACGUCCCCGUCUGCUCCCUCCGUGGCUCGUCCAAAUCCGGUUCGGUUUUCGGGUUCAGGCAACUGUUUUCUUCGCCGCAGAAGAAAGAAACUACGGGGAGUAUGAGGGGGCACCACCAAAGUGGUAGGAGUAAUCGGAAUUGACGUAAAUACCCUUGUUUAGAGGAAGAAAAAGGGUAACAUAUUAUUGACUAGGCUUUUUUGUUUUUGGCUUUUUUCACCCUUUUUGCCGCUUGAUCAAUCAAUCUCUCUCUCUGUUCUGUUUUUAUCUAAUCCCGGAAUGGAAAUAUUGCAGGAAGAGGCAUGGUGUUGAUUGGGGGGUUUGGUUGGUUCAUUUAAUUUGAUUUUCUUAAAGCUUUAGGUUCAUUAAUGUAAAUACGCGAGGUGGGGUUCCAUGGAUUUUAGAUGCCCUUGUUGUUUUCUUAGCUUCAUGAUAAUUGAUAAAAGAUCCCGUUACUGUGGCUGAAACAGUGAGCUCUUUGGUUUCUUACGGCGCUUUUUUUUUAAUUUUUUUAAAUUGAUAGUGGGAAAGUAAAAAGUGAUUUUUUUAUUAGUAUUAAAAUGUUUCUAGAUCUAUGGUGGUAACAUGUUGAGUUUAUCUCGUGCGUCUGUUUGUGGGUUUUUGUUUUUUUGGUUAUUUAUUUUUUCUUUGUUGUGAAGUGUUUUGGGAAAUGAUGCUAAAAAUGCAAUCAGAGGAGUCAUCUCUGCUGAAUUAUUAUUUGCACGUCAGUCUGAUCCCAAACCUUUCAUGGCUUACUAUGAAGUUUUAAUUAAAUCUAAGUGACAAAUUAUUGUCUAUUUUUAAUCUAUGAUGUGUUAUGUAUGUGUAUAUUAUGUUUUCUUUUCUCGGGUGGAAUUGGUAUGAGGGUGGUCCACGUGUGACGUUCAUGGAAGAUUGAAUAGGGUGGGGGGGGCAGGGUUGUUAUCUUUUAUUUCUUUUAAUCAAGAUGUGUGUACUUUGAUCUUGGAGAUGGGAUGAGUUUCCCAGAAGGGAUUAUGAUCCUUGAAUGAAUAAUCUAACACAAUUUCACUAUUAAAUUUGCCCUUUGUGUGCGUCCGAGAUAUUGAUGGAGGGGUGGAACAGAACACCCACAAUUUGGGUCAUCUAUGUUUGUUGUCCGUCAGGGUUUUAUGGUUUUGUUGGAUGAAGUUGUUUGUUCAGUUGAUGAUGGAUCCGUUGGAUGAGAAGAUCAGAGUCAUGGACAUGAUGGGGUCCCUUGGUAAUUAGAUAUGGUAGGACCAUUUCCUGUUUGCUAGAAGCAAUUUGAUAUUUGGUAUAAGCAAAGUGCAUAAUUGAGGGAAAGGAUAUGUUGAAAAGUUGAAUGGCUUUGGACCCCUUCCCCUUUUCCAUCCUUUAUGGUGAUAGUAAUGCUUCUAGUUCCGUGGUACUAUCAUGCCUCUUCCUCACUUUCAAAUUAUAUGGAUUAAACUCCUAAUUAGAUUGGACCCUUUGUCUCGGUUCAUCAUCCAUUUAUUCCCAUUUCCAAAUCCCAAACUUCAUCCAUAGAUAAUAGGUCAAGAUUUAUAUAUAUUUAUAUUACACACGCAUCUUGUACUCCACUAGUACCAGGGAGGCUGUGAUCAAACAAAAUUCUUGAGCAACGGAAACGAAAAGUGUCCCAACCAAGGAGAUAUAAAAUAAUGAUUUUUGUUUUGUUUUUGUAGUAGUUAGGAAUAGGCUAAAAUCACGUGGCUAACAUGUUGCCAUACUCUUAGGCUAUUAGCCACCGUAAAAGCCAAAACCCAUGUGAAGAGAGCGUGAUCAUUUUUAAUUUUCUAAAUAAAAACUAAAAUGAAUGUUUCUGUUUGUGUAUCAGAUGUGAAUUACUUUUAAUUAUUAACACUUCUUCUAAUUUGGAACGAGUAAAGCAAUGAAGAAACUAAAACAUGGGCGUGGAAAUUGAAAGAAUAAUUUUACAGGGAUAACUAAACUAAUACAAUGAAUUGUUUUGUGGGUAAAAUUGAUAAUGUUAUUAAUUUGGAAAUGAUAUAGUUGAGUAGGUAUUGCACAAAAUUCAGUUGUGGUUGUUGUUGAAGUGGCGUCCCAUCUCUCACCUCGCGCAUGCUCUGGAGUCUGGGGUUCUGUAUCUAUGACUCUUAACUUUGAUUUGACAUUUUCUCAUUCAAGCCCUAGCAUAGCAUUCUAUACCCUAUUCCAUCUCCCAGAUAACACCGUGCUCCAAGAAUAUACUUCCUCCAUAUAUACAUAUAAAUAUUUAUACAUCCUUUCAACAAAUAAAUGGAAAAGUGUUUAUAAUAUUAUAUUUUAUAUUUUAAACCUAUUUAUGACUCCCAAGGUCUGAUACCAUAUUGCUUUUGAUGUUUAGGAAUUUAUAAAAUAAUGAUAAAAUGGUAUUCAGACAUAAAACUAAUAUUUGAAAGGUAGGGAUCAUGGCAUGCUAUCCAGAGUUUCUAGUUUGGAGCAAUUUGUUGCACCCCAUAGCAUAGCAUAGAAAUGAAGAAAAGCACGAAAACCUGAAAACCCUACCUAGGCAGCAUUGCAGCCAUGAUGAGCCAUCUUGCACCUUUUUAUUUUCUUUUUAUAUAUAUUUAGGCUUUUUCGUCCAUACUCAGAUUUUGAUGCAUCUGAUAUGAUAUGAUAUGGGUGAGCUGUGUUGACCAGUCCUAAGCGAGUAGUCCCCAUUAUAAUACCACAUUUGUUCCCAUUAGAGUUUGGGCUUUGUGACAACGUGAAAAUGGAUGCACCUACCAACACUUCUUUUUAUAGUCAUGCUGCCUGUGUCUGUUUACUGUGUCCCAAUGCAGCAUCGCAAGGCUACUUCUGUCUUUUCACAUGUGGAGGGAAGUGCAAGGGCCAAGUCCUUGUAGUUGUAGUUGUAAUUGUAGCAGAGUUAGUAGUAGUAGGGUCACGUGCCCCAAACUGAUUCCCUAAAUCCAAAUAACCCCUAGAUUCUUGCCAUAUUUUGCUAGUUUAUUCGUAUUCUUAAUUAAUUUCAUUAUGAAAGCCAGCCAGCCAGCCAGCCAGGUCAGGAUUGUGUGACGUGACUUAUAAUAGUUUGGUUGUUUUGGUUAGUGAGCUCAACUUUGUCAUUACUUUCUCUCCUUUGCUUUAUAUGGAGACGAGGAUGGAUACGUGCAAUCAUUUCUAUCUUGCGAGGUAAAUCAGCUGAAAAGCAACCCCAGCUUAAUUAAUGAAAGCACCCCCCCAUUAGUUAAAUACCACUAGACCUUGUAGUAGUAUUAUUCAAUAGGAGGGAGGGGGUGAGUGUAUUUAAAGCAUGAUCUCCUUCUUCUGAUUUUCUGUGUCUCAUAAAGAAAACAAUAUGUUUGUUGAAUAAUAAGAGAGCCUGCAAAAGGCUGAUGGGAGAGUUUUGGGGCAUCAAAGAGAGAACGUGCUUAUGUACAGUUGGGUCUCUGCAUAGAUUCCCCCUCAUCCAAUCCCUUUUACCCUAUCAUAUGCAUCACUGGCAACCCCAACCCCCCCUCCCUCCACUCUCUCUUGCAUAGGGAGUGGGUCACUGGGUCAGUGCACAAAAGGGAUGACAAAAGGAGGGUGCUGUUGCUAAAAUGCUAACGGCUAUAAAGGGUGAGUAUCUAAAGAUGAGGGCAGACACAAAUAACAAAUCAUUUCUGUAUAGUGAAGAUAAAAUAGUUAAAAAAGAGGGAAGGAUAUGCUUAAAUUAAUCACUCGAUUCAUCACUUCAUAUCAAUUAUCAGUAUUAGUCCCUCUACUUUUUGACAUGAAUUAAAUUUGAGGGAAGAGAUGACUGACUUGGGAACAUAUCUCUGUCCUCAUCUUCAUCAACAUUGCAGGUCCCCCUUGUAAGAUUGAAGAGCAGGUGAGAGGAUGGAAAAUAAAUCUGUUCUUUCUGGGCACAGUGCAUACAAGUCCGUACUACAGUGUGGGGGCAUGUGAACUACUGGAGUUUACAUCACAGUAUCUUCAUGAGCUGGACUGCCAAGGAUAAUUUGUUGUUGUUAUGUUAGAACAUGUCAUAAAAACUGCAAUGGGUUUGGGUCCCUUUGGAAUUUAGUACUGCAUGCAUUGGACAACUUUUUACGGUUUUACUGUACCUCAAUCAAAAGGACCUUUGGUUGGAGCUGAGAUGUUAUGUUAUUUUCCUUUCUUUCUUUCCUUUUCUUCUUCACUCAAUGGUGCAGCAAAACGACAACAGCAAACAAAGGCAUGAUUCUGGCCACUUGCUUCGGGAAAUGAGAUCUGGUAAUGCUUGGCAAAUUUUGCAUGUGUUACCAUAUCGUUCCAAUCUUAAGCAUUUAUAUAUAAACAUUGCACGUCUUGAAUAUAUUACGAUACAUCACCUUCUAGGCAUCUAGAUGGUGCAGUGCAUGGUGGACCCAAUAGUUCAAUGGAAUUGGGUUGCAUUUGCAGAAUCAGUUUCACAAGUUCAAUGAAUUAAACGGCCCGAUUUACUACCAACAAACAAAGUAUGCUAAUUUAGAUGGGGACCUGUUAAGUAACCCCACCAUGCGCUUCCUGUUUUUCUCAUUUUUUUUCCAUUUCCUAAAUGCAGGAAAUGACUACUUGUAAAUACUAUCGAAGGUAAUAGAAUAUUCAAAUUCUUAUAUUUGUUAAUAAUCUAAAAUUAUCAUCUAAGACACGUUUUCAGUUUAAAAUAAGAAUUCCUUAAUGAAUGAGAUGGAUUUUUACUUGAGACUUUGAACACGAAAUGAUAAUUAAUAAAAGGUAACCUAAAUACAGCUUGUAACUGUAUUCCUAUUCUGAAGUCCUUACUCCUUAACUGCCACUAAGCUGGUAUGUGCUUGAAAAGAAGAAUUCAAUUUAAGGGUGUAUUACAUAAGUAGUACAUGAGGUGCUUAUUCUGACGACAUUUCACCUAGCACUUCAGUGGUUGUUUUUCUCUGCAAAAUUGCACACAAAAUAAGUUGGUACCAAGAAUAUGAUGGAAUACAAUAGAAGGUUGAAAGUAUGCAUAUUAUUAAUUAAAUCAAUUCUAACUAAUGGAAUACAGGUCAUUCAUCAUACAAAACUAUUUAUCCAGCUACUAGCCACUGUAAUUAAAAAAGAAUCACUAUCUUGUCUGCUUGUUACGAAAUAUCUUAUGCAAAAUGCAAGUUCGACCUUCCUGUCAACUACAAAGGCAUGGCGUUCACUUCGGCAAGUUAUCAAUAUUCUAAUUCAGAUUGUCAGAUGCUAGGACUUCUGAUCAUUUGUCCAGUAGUCAAUCCUAAUCAGCUCAAGGUGCCUAGCAUUUUUUUUUUUGCAGGGAUAGUUCCUCAAGUCUUUUGGUUCUUGUCAGAAUCAUACAGUAGACAUCAUAACUAAUAGGGUUGUCAAAAUCUUCAGUGGCCCUAGAAGCAGAUUUAAGCAUACGGUGGAUACUGACCACUUUCCUUAUCAGGCCAGAGCAGCCGUGAUGCUUCUGGUCUACCCAAUAAGAUAACCAUCACAAUGACUCCAUGAUUGAUCUGGAAUAUGCCAGCUAGAGUGAUUGAUCCCAGUUCUCUCAUGGCAAGUGUGUGUGGGUUCAACAGUUCCUCUUAAAGCCUAAAGGAUAAAACUCGAUUCUAAAGUAAUGAAAAAGUUGUCAGGAAGCUUUCUCCAACUAAGAGGAAAGCAGGUCACAGCUAUGUGCUAGGCUAAGAAGAGGAAUCCUCAAGUCGUACACAAUGAUGCAACUGAUGUAGUUCAACUUAUAACUUGUUAGCAUGAAAGUGAUGAAAGACAAGAAUUAUCAACUUCAAAUAUAAGUAUUAGUUUUUCAUGGUUUUAAUUGGAAGGGAACUUUUACUAAUUCAUUUGAUAGAGGAACAAUUUUGUACCCAAGGUUCCAGUAUAGCUGACAAGUCUACACUGACGGUUGUCAAGCUAGUAAACCUGGACAUGUUAUUCUCCGACAACUUAACACAAGCACAGAGGCACAAGCUAGUUGAGAUGAUAAAAGCAAAUGAUAAUUAUAUCAAUCAAAAUAAUAAGGAGAUUAAAUAAAGCAAAAUAAAAUUCCUGCCAUAUAACAGCACAUAUUUAAAAUCAUUUGACCAGAGUCACUUGUCCACUGUUAAAAGUAAAGAAGAAAAUUAUAAUAGGUUCAAUCAGCUCACAUGCUUCAAUUUUAGAUUUUGUCAUGAUGAAAUGUGUAACAGUGACUGGUAAAUUCAGCCGGAACCUUUCCGAUAUAGAUUGUUGACAAGAAAUGGUCAGAAAGUUUAUAAGUGUAAAUUUUAUAUAAACAUUGCAGGGUGAAAUAAAACUGUAAACUGACUAAAGGGAGAUCAUAUAUAAGGGGGGAUACCCCCAAAAGGCAAAAAAUCCAAUACUCAGUUACUAAUUAUUAGAAAACAACCAUAAAAUAGUCUUUGGAGAUAUAUCUAUACCAUGAGUAGUACCAAUAGAUAUCAUGCGAUCUAUAUUAUCAAUCCGCCCUUGUAUGGACUUUAGAAGUGAAUUCAGGGAUGAAACUCUUUUCCUAACACUAGAAAUCUUGGCAGCAUGCUGCAUUAUGAAUGGCAAAGGUGCAUCUUCAAGCAACUGAUCAAGUUCUGCCAAAGAAAAGAUGAAUUUCAGGUCAGCAAACUGGACACCUAGAGUAAUAAGAAAUUAAUACAUCUUAAAGUAAUAGGAGAUUCUUUAUUUGAGCAUUAAGACUAAGAAUAACUGAAGUACUGAACUGAAAUAAUAGCAUGUUAGCAAAGGAAAAACUGGUAUACCAUAGCCACAAGUUUGACAUGCUAACGAAGACAACAUGGAGACUACCAGAGAACUAGAAUUUUGUCAUCAUGCAGAUAAGUACAUAGGUUGGUUGUCUUGGGAGGAGUGUAGUUUAUUUUAUUUUCUAUAGUCAGUGGAAUAUCUAAUUGGCUUUAUGCACAUCUAACUUUGUGGCUCUGUUUUCCAUACUUCAUAGUAAAACAACAGGCUUUUUGGAGGAUAAGCAAAGCAUCUUUCACAAAAUGUGUUGCAUUAUACCAUAUAGAUGCUUUCACUGAGAUGGAAUGAAGUCUGCUCUAGAGUUUUAAAAUAAAAUGUUUAAACCAAGGCAUUAAUUCAAAUUAAUAUUAACUUUUCUGAGUAAAACAUUCCCCACCGGGAGGCCUGUGAAAUCAACCCUUUACAGAAGUUUGCCCAUAUAUGGACCACAUACUUCGCUGGCAUAACUUAUUCCAACUUAAAAAAUAUAUUUAAUACCAGAAUUGUCCGUUGCAAAUAGUAAUUUAAGAAAGAAAAAGCUGGAAACAAUUUGCCCAUCAGGAGCAUAUAACUUUCCGGCUUAACUUGCUUAUUUCAGUAUAUGCAUCAUACCAAAUUAAUAACAGAAUCGUAAUGCAAACAUUAAUCAAGAGUGUCCAAUAAUUUUAUCUAGCAGCACCAUAAAAUAAAUCCUUCUUCCAACAGCAACUACAGCAAGCCAAUGCCUAAAAUUAGCAUUAAGUUUGCAAAUCUACAAAAAAAAACUGAGACUAGAACUGCUGUGCAACUUUAGAUACUGUGCGAUGGACUAAAACUUAACCACAGAAAUCAAAAUCCCGUGCACCUCCAGUACACUAGACAAUGCAUCUUCAUGAAUUGCACAUUGAGCUGCAAAGGUGGCAUUAAUAUGGGAGAAGAUUCACGUGUUAAAGCCAGGGUCUUCCUGAAGACUGAAUGUAAAAGCUUAUAUAAGGCAUAUUUACCUGGAAAAGGUGACAGUAUUGGUGGGAACUUCAAGAGCUUAUUAUUGUAUUAUUAUGAUGAAACUUGACACCCUUAUACUUGAGUACUUGACACUGUCAUUCCUUAGGUUAAGCAACACCUGAGUGAUAUUUCUGAUAUCAAAAUCUUCUGUGAUCACUGGAUAGGUUCUAUAUCAGUUCAUAACUUAUUGACACCAGAUUUCUGCAGAAUUUGAAUUUGACCUGUGAAGUCUAAACUAAUUUCUCAAAUUUGUCUGUCACAAGUUCGAUACAACAUUUUAUGUUUCCUGUUUUUUUUUAAGGAAAUAUUAGUGUCUCUGCCUAACUAAACAAAACCGGCUUGUAAGGUGAGGAUUAUACCCCAUUUAUAUAUUAUAAUUCGGCCUUAUUCCAAGUUGAUGUGGGAUCUCCAACAAACACAAUAACAAACAAUACUUCUUCUCUACAUGGUUUUUCCAAGUUUCCAAAAUAUAAAGCUUUUAGAAAGAUUGUGGCUGAAAGUUAUGACCAAGUACUAAAGAUGCCUACUUUCCUUACUCAAGACUCAGGUUUAAGUUAUUUCCAACUCUUCUGGAGAGACAAACCUAAGAACAACAUGCAAAAUUGUGGGAUCAACUGUUCUCUCUCUUGACUGUAUAGCAAAGUAGUAGUCAAUAGUGCACUAUAGUGGCAACAUGGAGCAGCCUUGGGUCACUACAGGAUUAAAAUAGUGGAGCAAUUUUCAGUAGUAGCUGUCUGUCACAGCUGAAACUGAUGACAAAAUUGCAUUAUUUCACUGUGUGCCAAUGAUGGGAUUCAGAAACCUUGUUCAAAGCUUUAUUCAUGCUGCAUGAAUUGCUCUCUCACCUGUUUUGACACAAACCGCCAAGUUCUUGCUGGAUUGUUUUUAGUAGGGUUGUUCAUGGUUUGGUUUUUAGACAAAAAAUGAUUUGAACCAACCAUAACAAUAUAUAGGAUUCAAUAUGGUUUGAUUUGAAGGCAGUUUUGAAUACAAACUAAAACAAACUGAUAUUUUGGGGUUCAAAUUGACUUUAGAUCUUCAACAUAACAACUAACAAAUUAGAGUAGAAUAUGAUAACUAUUUGAAUUAUGAUUAACCCUUGAACAUUUUAUUUACAUAGCCAUAAGUAAUAGAGUAGUAAAAGACAACAUAUGAUAAUAAUUGUAUUACAAACUCUUAGAGAAUCUGAACGAGAGAAAUUUUAUUAAUUGUUCAACAAUCAAUGAAAUGAAUGUUAGUGUUUGCACAGCAGCUGUGUUACUGCCUAGCACUGUUAGCUAAUAUGAAUAUUACAAGGGACAACUCUACACUAACAAUUCUAGACAGCUGGACAUUAACAUUCAAUAAAACAGCUGGACAGUUGUACACUAACAUACAAGCAAACAGAUGGUCAGCUGUACACUAACAAUUCUUACUAACAUUAAGUAUGCUUCAAAGAAACGUAAAUCGAGCUUUAGAUAGCAGCUUUGUUAGACCAUCUGCCCACUGAUCAAGAGCAGGAAUAUGAUAUAUACAAAGUUGCUUGGCCAGAACCUUCUUUCACACAAAAAAAAUAUCAAUCUCCAUGUGUUUAGUAUGAUUAUGAAAAACUGGAUUAUGAGCAAUGGCUACACCACUUUGUUUGUCACAUAAAAUUACUGGAGUAGUGUAGGGAAUUUGCAGUUCUGUAAGCAGAGGAGAAAUCCGUGAAAGUUCAAUAGAGGUUUUAGCCAAACUUCUAUUUUUGCCUUAGUACUAGAACAAGCAAUAUCUUGUUUGCAAGACCACCAAGAUAUUAAAUCAGGACCAAGAAAAAAGGCUACUCCUGAAGUAGAACGUCUAUCAUCAACAUCUGAUGCCCAAUCAACAUCACAAAAUGAUUUUAACCGAAGUUGUCAAACUUGAGAGUCUACAUAGACUCGAAUCGUAGACUCGACUCGUAGACUUGACUCCAAAACUCGACUUGUAGACUUGACUCGUAAAAGUUUACUUCACAUGAAAAAAAUAUUUCAAAAAUAUUAGCACCAAGUUUUCCCAAUUAAAAAAAAAACACUGCAAACAAAAAAAAUUUGCACCUUUAUUAAAUAAAAAAACCCAAUGGCAAUUUCUUCCUGCACACUUACGUUUUUCUUCCUGCACCCCCACAAUGUUAGGCAAAGACAAAAUUGUCCCUAUUAUUUUCUAAAAACCCUAAAAUGCACAUAAGACCUACACUAUUCUUUCUUCUUCCUUUCACCACAGAUUGCACAGACAGACUCGCAGACUCUCUUUGAACGACGGCAACACUACUCCAUUUUCUCUUUGCACAAGAAGGCGUUUCGGUUGGUGGUGGUGGGUGGUGUCUCGACAAUUUGGUGGUGGUUGGGUGGUUUCUCUUGGGGGUUCACUGUUCAGAGAAGAAGGUAAGUAAAUUUUUUGGUUUUCGUAUCUGUAGUUCUGUUAUUUUUUCAGAUUGUCGUUUCCACAAUUCAAAUGUAGUAUUCCAGACAACGCAGUCCGAUAGUUUCACGGAAUAGAGAAUCCGUAUUUGGUUUUUCGCACUCCGAAUUAUUGAAUUCGUAGAAAUCUCGGGAUUGUGGAAUUAGUAAAUCUUCCAGAUCCAUGAAUCCAUUAGUCAAACAAUUCAUUUCGGAUCCAACAAUCCAUAAUUCAAAAAAAUCAUUCUAGAUCCACCAAUCCGUAAUUCAAAAUAUGCAUUCCAGAUCCAAAAAUCCAUAAUUCAAAAAAAUCAUUUCGGAUCCACCAACCCGUAACUGAAAUUAGGCUUUCGCAUUUAGCAAUCCAGAAAUCAACAAUUUAUGAAAAAUUUGCUUUCGGAACACCCCCUCAUCCAGAAAACAAAAUGAUUCACUUCCAGAUUGAUGAAUCCGUAGCACACUCCCAGAUCCUGAUUUCUGGUAACCACAGAAACUUCAUACUCCUAAAAAAACUUAAUUCUUACCUCUAAAAGCCGACAACACAACCCACUCCUCCACCUUGCUUCGCACAGCUAAAAUGACCCUCCACCUGCGCCUGAGAUGAAGGAAGAAGAUGAACAGUGCCAAACAAACUCCACCACGAUGCCCUUUUUCAAAUAAAAGGCCAAGGCCAGUUUCAAGAUUUAUAAAAUUGUGGGGUUGCAGGAAGAAAAACGUAAGGAUGCAGGAAGAAGAAGCCUAACCCAAUUUAGUGUAGCCCAAUUAAAAAACCCAAUUCAGUGCAGCCCAAUAAAAAACCCAAUUUAGUGUAGCUAAUACCCUAAAUCACACCACAGAAUAAUGCAACCCUAGUUCAAGCACCACUCAUCUCAAUAAUCUUAUAUGAUGAACGACACCACCGUCGACCUGCCACCCGCAACCACUGCAAUCGCACGACCGCAUGAACCGCCGCCACCGCGCAACCUCCUAUGCACAAUCGCCACCACUGCCGCACUUGUUCAGAGAAGACACACAACCUUCGCACUCCAGAGAAGACACAAUACCACCAAAACGUGAAACCAAAACGAAACGUGAACCCUAAAGACACUGUUUUGGGUUAAAACGAAAACCCAGUUGAACUCGCCAACUCGGAGCAGACUCACGAGUUUGAUCAGGUUCAUCGAGUUCACUCCGAGUCUGCCGAGUUUACUCAAAAAUUGAGUCUACUACCGAGUUAACUCGGUAAGGGUAUGUGGACAUGUAAACUCGGACGAGUCAACUUGUUGACUCGUGAGUUUGAUAACCAUGCUUUUACCGAUAACGAAUGAUCAAGAGAUGCAGGUUGAAAAUGUAAUCCAGGAGACAAAACUCCUUUAAGACACUGUAAUAUGCAUUUCACCGCCACCCAGUGAGAAUCAAGAGGUUUAGCCAUGAAUUGACAAACUUUGUUCAUAGCAAAGCUUAUUUCUGGUCUAGUUAUUGUCACAUACUACAAAGCACCCACCAGUGAGUGAUACAAAGUUGGAUUAGAAAACAAAUCAACACCAAGCUUGGAAAGUUUGCAACUAGAAACCAUAGGAGAAGAAAUUGAAUGAGCUUGAGCCAUAUGUUUUUUAAGAAGUAAGUCUCGAAUAUAUUUGGUUUGUUUCAGGAGAAUAUAUUAUUAGAUAAAUACUUAACUUCAAGACCAAGAAAAUCAAGCUGACCAAGUUGUUUCAAGGAUAAAGUUGCAUGAAGCUUUUCUGUAAUCUAUUGAAUAGGAAUAGGCAACUUACCAAUUAUUAUAAGUAAUCUACAUAGACCAAAAAAUAUAAAACCUGCAACUGUUUUAUGUAAACAAAAAGAAAGGAGUCACAAGCACUGCUCAGAAACCCAAGUUGACAACGAGUAGUUUACAAUCGAUCAAACCAUUGCUUUGGUGCUUGUUUUAGCCCAUAGAAAACUUUAUUAAGCUUACAAACAAGAGACUUAUCAUUUGCUUCAAAACCAGGUGGUUGAGUCAUAUAAAUCGUUCCUUCAAGAAAUCCAUUUAAAAAAGCAUUAUUUAUUAACAACAAGCUGAAACAGUUUCCAUCCAUAAGAGACAACAAGAGUAAGAAUAAUUCGGAUUGUAAAAAGUUUCACUACUGGAGAAAAAGUCUCAUGAAAAUCAAAACCAUGGACUUGAUGAAAUCCAUCCUUUUGCCACCAAUUGUGCUUUAUAUUUAUUAAUGGAGCCAUCUACAUUUUCCUUGACUCGAGAAACCCAUUUACAUCCAACAGCUUGUCUAUUAGAGGGUAAUGUAACUAAAUCCCAUGUAUUUUGCUGCAUGAGAGCAUCAUACUCCUGCUGCAUUGCAGCUAACAAAUUAGCAUCUUUAAGAGCUUGCUUAACACUUGUUGGUUCCAAAUGAGGAAGAAGUAUUGAAGGGUGAAUUCUGUGUUGAGCAGUAUCAGAUUUGGACCUAGUUUGCAUAAGGUGAGUAUUAACAGGAGGUGUUGUAUUAUGUACAAGAUCAGUAGUUAUAAAAUGUGCAGUAUUAGACAGACUCAGACGGAGAGGACUCACAAUACCAGAUUUGGACCUAGUUUGCAUAGGAUGAGUAUUAACAGUAGGUGUUGUAUUAUGUACAAGUUCAGUAGCUACGACAGGUGCAAUAUUAGACACAAACUCAGACAAAGAGGACUCUUCUGUGGAAUUAACAAGUUUAGCAGUUACGAAAGGUGCAGUAUUAGACAUAGACUUAGACAAAGAGGACUGUUCGGUGGAAUUAACAAGUUCAGUAGUUACUAAAGGUGAAGUAUUGGACAUAGACUCAGAUGAAGAGGACUGUUCCGUGGAAUUAACAGGCACAUAAGCAAAUGAAGUAGUGUUAGACAUUGAAGGUGGUAUAAGAAUGAGAUUUAAAUUAAAAUACUCAUUGAGAUCUUUAAUAGUAUUGGGAGUAUAAGGAAAAAGACGAAUAAGGAAUAUCAUGUUCAUUAAAUCAAACAUCCUUUGAAAUGUAAAGUCUUCCACUGGAUGAUAGACACUUGUAUAUUUGAGAAUAUCCCAGAAAAAUACACUCCUCAGAUUUAAAAUCAAGUUUAUGAGAAUGAUAAGGUUUUAAAAGAGGAAAACAAGCGCAUCCAAAAAUUUUGAGAAAAGCAAAGUCUGGAUCCUUAUUAAAAAGAAUAGAAUAAGGAAUAGCAAAAUUUAAACAAGCUGUAGGAAGUCUAUUAAUAAGAUAUAUAGCUGUAGUAAAGGCAUAAUCCCAAAAUUGUAAUGGAAGACAAGCUUUGUGCAGCAAGGUAAGACCCACGUCAACAAUAUGUUUUUGUUUCCUCUCAAAAACAUCAUUUUGAUGAUGUGUAUGAGGACAAACAAGUCUAUGAUUUAUACUGCAACAAGUUAAGAGACUCGUAAAAGGUCUAUAUUCUCCACCCCAAUCAGACUGAAUGUUUUUAACUUUGAAACCAAGCUGUAACUCAACUAGCUGUUUAAAAUUCUGAAAAAACAAACGUGUCACUCUUGGAUUUUAUUGGAAAUAUCCAAGUAUAUCUAGAACAAGCAUCAACAAAUGAAACAUAAUAUUUGUACCCUGCAUAAGAGGUAAAAUGUGCAGGUCCCUAAAGAUUAGUAAACACAAGUUUUAAGGGAGAGUAAACAGAUUUUGAGGCAUGAGAUGACAACUUGUUUGAUUUACCAACGCAAUAGGAUGAACAAAAAUAAGAAUCAACUUUAUUGGACAAAGAAAUUUUGCAAUGUUUCAAUACAAUUUGCAUAAUAUGACUAUUUGGAUGAUCAAGUCUAUUGUGCAACAUAUGAAUACUGUUAUUUACAGUACACAGAUUAUUUAGACUAGACUUAUGAGUGAAACACUUGGAAGAUGACGAUAACUGAGAUGACUGCAAUUGAGGGUGAAACUGGAGAUUAUUGAAUGAAUAAAGUCCAUCAACACCAACAACCCCUUGAAGAAGAGCUUUAUUUGUCCCCUGAGAUUUAACAAGACACCUGUCAGGAUGAAACUCAGAAAACAGAAUUACCUUUGGCAAAUUGACUAACACUUAACAGAUUUUAGGUGAUAGAAGGACAAUGUAACAAAUUGUUUAGUUUUAGAAUAUUAUGUAAAUCAUAAGGUGAGUCAAACAAAGAGACACCAGCACCAAAAAUACUCAAACCUGCACCGUUGCCUGUGAAAAUCUGGUCAGGACCAUCAAAAUGUUGAAGUUGCUUUAUUUUCUGAGAUUCACGUCGCCAAUAACAUGCAAACUUGCUCCAGAAUCUGGUAUCCAGGAUGUAUUAGACUUUAUUAGCAUUGCGCUAGGUUCAGUGUUAUGUCCAGACUUAUUGUUAGGAUUUAUCCAUGUAUUUGAUGUCUUAUAAGAGCCAGCCGAAUAAGGAAUAUCUUGUCGUGUGGCCGGAUCAAUAAAACACAGUGACUCAUGAGGUUGAUAUGAAACAUCAGACCUAAAAUGACAAAAAUUUGGCUGUAUGACCAAACUUAAGACAAAUUUGACACUAUAAACUCGCAAACUUGCCACCACCACGACCUCUACCAGAAGCAGUAGCACCAGCACGAGAAGAAGUUCCUUUAUGAGAGCCUCCACGACCACAUCCAUAGGAGGCGUGAUUGUAAAUCAGUGAUGGUGAUACUAAAGUCUGAGUCUCCUGAACAUAAAGAGUGAGACAUGUCUCAUGACCAUAAAGGCAUACACUGACAUACAAGCAAACAGAUGGUCAACUGUACACUAACAAAAAAGGAAAACAAGUGUAUACUAACAAUUCUUACUAACACAAACCUAUUAUUUAAAAGUGGACUUUAAGCUUAAUUUAACUUUUCAAAAUCAAUUUAAUAAGGUGAGGUUUACACCUUCUUUAUAUAUUAUAAUUUAAUCAUAUCUCUAUAUGAUGUGAGAUUCCCAAAACCUAUUAUAAAAAAUAAGUAUAUAAUGAAUAAUUCCUGGUCAAUUAGUCAUAUAUUGUCAAUGUCAUUCUCCAACCCACAUGGAAUCACAUACUAUCAUUAAAAAUUUCAAAAUACCAUUACAUAAUGCUACAAUAAAUAUAAGCAUAUUGUUAGUGUGGUUUGGUUUAGUUUAGUUUUAACAGUAGGUGCAAAAACCAAUCUAAACCACAAUAAAAGUUGUUCGUUUUACAGUUUUGGUUUGAUAAAUUUUUAACUAUUUUUUGUCUGGUUUGGAAGUUCAAAAACUGUUUGGUUCCACUUUUUACAUCCCUAAUUUCAAGUCAAGAAUUUUUCAGCACAGCUAGGCUUACCCACUUUUCUGUUUUGCACAUACUCUGUUUCGUCAAUUGCUUGCACUUCCUUUAUUGCUUUCAUCUCACGAAAGUCUUAAUGUUCUUGCCCUUCCCUGAUUCUGUUCUGUCACUUAACCCUGUUUAUUUUUUCUUGUGUCCUCCUCCUUAGUACUACUUAGUCUACUGAUCACCCCCUCAGUUCUAUCUGUGUUUGGUGCUAAAUUACUGUUUUUUUUUUAAAUUUCAAUUUCACCCGAAGCAAUCAUAGUAGCAUUUGCUCAGAAGCUCACACUUGAUUUCUUGAAUUUUGUUAUGAUUGACUUAUGUGUUUAGCUUAAGACUGCCAAUUUUGAUUAUUAAAUAUAGAUAUCUUUGACUUUGUCGUCUCUUAGUUUUGAGCAUUAAUAUAUGUGUGGUAUAAAUUAUUUACCUUGUAUCAAUAUUGGGAUCCUGUUAUCCACUAUCUCAUUAUAAUGCAUGCGAGGAUGGUUUCUAUGUGCUGCUAUUCAUUAUAGUGUUUGUGAGGAUGAUUGCUAUGUGCUGCUAUUCAGUAUUAACAAUGAGCAAAACCUCACUUGUAUUUGUCGUAUAUCCACAAAAGUGCGUAUUCCGGUAUUAGUUCCAUCUGUACAAUGAGCUUCUUUGGGACACUAGUAAGUUGAACACAAUAAUGUUACAGUUUAGUACUACAGUUACCACUUCAUAUGUUAUAAGUAGAACACAUAAAGAAUUUCUCCGCCUGAGCAAUUUACUUGAUCAGCUCACUCACAAUACACACAAUUUGACACGGACCUCAAUUCACCAAGUAAGCUGAGUUAAUGUUUGGAUUAGAUUAGCUUAUUUUUUUGGUCGGUCCGAACCAAAAAGAACCUGUUACCAAACAUGCUCUAGGCCUAUGCCCACAACCACAAGCAAUGUUUGUUCAAUUUCCAAAAGGCAUAACAUAUCUCACUCUCAUACACUACUAACGUUAACCGUCCAAAGACAGUAAAAAAAUUAAGAAAAGUAUUAUGAAUGGAAAAGAAGAAGAAAACUACAAUUACACAUAAGAGCCUUAUAUUUUUGUUUGGGUGAACCAGUGUAUCCUCGAGCAAGAUGCUGAGGAAGGACUAAUCCCUCGAAAUACUGAGAUCCCUUUUAGAGGUUGACCACUUUGAAUAACAAAUAUAUUUCAAAUGUACAUACUAGGUACCAAACCUUUGACUACGUGCUUAAGGGACAAGGCUAAGAAACUAUUGGUACACAAGAGCCUUAUAGCCUUAUAUUCAACUAACUAUUACCAACCAUCUAACUAACUCCAAUUUUCAACCAAUUCAACAGAUAUCUAUAACAACAAAAAGGAAAAUGAAAAAAAAAAAAACUACUUGCGAUAACUGCUUGUAAAUUGAAUCUUUCUCAAAAACAAAUGACAGUGGAAAACCUGGCACAAUGUCGUUAAAAAAAAUGAAGAAACAGAGAGAGAAACCUCCGGUGAGACGAUCGAGGACGGAAGAGAGGUGGUCCUGGCUUCGGAGAGUUUGGUGAGCUCUGCAAUCGAAAUCGGUAAUCACCGCAGAGAGCAUGGACGACAAGCCUCUGGCCAACACGUCGGAGCUCUGCCGGAGGGAAUCGUCGGCGCCGGGAGCGUGGGAAGUGGAAGGCUCCGUCUCGACGACGAGGCUGUCGUUUUCCUGGGCUUCCAUUGUGAAGAGAUGUGAUGGCGUGACAGAGAGGGAGGAAUGUGAAGAGUCGCUCGUAUCAUGCCCUCAACCACUUUCCAUGUCUUCCUGCAUUGUUUAUAGAGAAAAUAAAUAAAUAAGGUUUUGGAGUAAACCAACAUUUCUAAACUUACACAAAUAAAAAAUUCACUUAUUUAUUUAUUUAUAUAAAAUCUUUAAAUUACUUUGAAUUAGUUUGUAGGACACAUACAAUUUUUUAAUAAUUUGAUCAUUUAUACAUAUUUGGUAGUUAUUCUUAUAACUAUCUAGGUUUUAUCAUCUUUUCUAUUUUAUUUUGUUUUAUUUACUCACAAGUUUGCUUUCUUAAGCGAGAUAAUUAUUUUAACUUUAAAGUUUUUUUUUAAGAAGUAUACUUGUUUUGCAUUUUUCAAUUUUAAAGUUUUUUUAAGAAGUAUACUUGUUUUGCAUUUUUUUAUUUUAAAAUUUCAUCUUAUUGGAGAUUUAACUUGUAUACUUUGAGAAUAUUAAUAAAUUCUUUUAGAGACACGAUAUCAAUUUCUUGGACAUUUUUAAGGAUUUUAUUUCUCUAUUGUUUGACUAGACUGUGUAAAAUUUUAUCAAUGUGAUCAUAUUUAUCUUAAUGUAUGAUGAGUGAACAAAAUUAUUUAAUAUGGUUUGAAAUCUUCUGAAUAUACUUUGUAAAUUUUUCUUCACUUUCAUAUUGAGAAGUUCAUAUGGUUGGGUAAGUAGACUAAGUUUAUUCCUCAUUACAUCAAUGAAAUCUUUAUAUGUAACCAUAAUAUUGUCCUACAUUUCUUUGACUCCUCAAAAUACAUAAACAUUUGAGUACUCCUCUUCUUACAAUGCACACAUUAAUGUGUUUUAAUAAGCUUUUGAGUUGAGCAAGUAUCUUUGUUUGUGCUUGGAUACGAAAGGAAACAAAUGCGAACGAAAUGAAAGCCAAACUAGAUAAUGGUAGACUAGAGCUAAGGCAUGAAAGUGAACAAAUGAGAAGAGAAAAAAAAGAUAUUUGUGUGGCAUUCGUUUAUAAGUCUCCAAAGUUCUAGCAUGACAAUGGUUAGGGCACACAACAAUAUUUGAGGGGAGAAGGAUAAUAGAUGAGGUGACAAUGGUUAGAGCACAUGACCUUUCAUAUUGUACCGGUAUGGACGAGGCCGACGACCCACCUGGCUGAGACCUCAAAAGACCUAGCCGAGAUGACCGAGACCAGAGAAAUCUGGCCGAUGACCGACUCAUACCAGGAGAACUUGGCCGACGGCCAACCAUGAUUACCGUUGACGCUCAAACCAAGGUCAGUAAAAUUAAUCCAUCAUUAAAGAAUUAGGUAAUACAACUCUAAGUUGUAUCCACCUCGAUAAACAGGCCCAAUAAGGUAUGUCCAUUAGAAUAAUAUAAAUAGCACGCAUCCCAAUGAGUAAGGUAUGUCAUUUAUUACUGUUCACCUACCUGAGAGGUGACCACCCGCUUUACUGACUUGAGCGUCGGAGUGCCUUUGCAGGUACCCCCACCAUCCGGUGUUCACCCGAGACCGAGUGCCGAAGGGAAAGCAGGAGGACGAGGAGAAUCUCAGUUCAUCACCCAACAACCUGACCGACCGAAGGAAGGAGAAGAAGACUUCAAUAGUUCUUUAGGUCCCAUCUCCCUUGUAGGAACACAUAUAUCUGAAUCACUUGAGGAAUAUAAUUUUCUAGUUACCAAAACAAGUAGAGGUGUUGAUUUAUAGGUUGAAGUUUCAUAGUUUUCCCUCUAUUGAGUUGGGAAGCUUUUAAAAGAUAGAUUUUUUUUUAAAAUGUUGUACAUAUGUUAUAAUUGAUUAUUGUGUGAAUUUUUGGAUUUGAAGUAAGAAUUAAAUUUGUUCGGAAUUGAGUUUUAAGUUGUUUUUGGGUUUUACAUGUUCAGAUUAAAUCAUUUAUCUAAAAUUUGCAUUAAUAUAUAAAAUUUAUUUAAUUUAACAUUAGCUUAUUGAGUCUUUCAACAUCAGUUCUAUAACAAAUGUUAAUGAAUGUGUAGUUGAAGUAUGAACUUUCAAUACCAAUUUAAUUACCAAAAUUGGAAAUUUCUUUCAUCAUUGAUUAUGAUUACAAUCGUUGUUGAAACUGACACAAUCACCUUUCAAUGUCGAUUAAUAUAUUAAUGUUGAAAGUGAUUUUUCUAAAAGGAAUCACCUGCUUUAAAGGUAACCCACCUUAAUUACGACAAAUUUAAUAUAAUUAUUGCCUAUAAGAACAUAAAUACAUACAACACACACAUGUUAAACUUAAUUUUUAGAAGAAAUUAACAUGUUAAACUUAAUUUUUAGAAGAAAUUAAGAUUGUGUCACAUGUCCUAUGCUUAUAAUCAAUAUAAGAUAAUCUCCUAUCAGUCUUUGUUCAUUUUUUAUUCAAAUAUACUAAUUCGAUCCUUAGGUUAGAAGUAAUAAUAGGCUCAAAAAAUAUCACAAAAAUAAAAAAAUAAUUUUAUUUUUCAUCAAAAUAGAAGGUUUUAAACUUGUGUUUUUGAAAAAUGUUUAUACACAUUUGACAAUGUUUUCAUACUCUUCCCAUAGGUGCUUUAAAAGCUUAGGUUUUUUUAUAAGGUGAUUUUCACUAUGUUAAGGUAUUCUCAAAGGAGAUAAUUAUGAUGUAAGUUAUAGAGUCUAACAUAACCCUUACAAAUCUAUAUUCUUCAAACUUUGUAUUAUAGUUUCCUCUAACACUUAUGAGGUAAAAGUUUAGGCUUCUUCUGGACUACCAGACACAUUUCCUUGUAGACCAAGAGUUUAUGAGUAAUGAUAUCUAGACUCACUCCCGGUAUAUCAGAUGUCGUCCAGCUAAGAGAUCAAUAUUCUUCUUCAAGACCUGAUACACCAGCUCGACCUCGGUCGUCGCUAUCGUCAUGCCUACACAGGUGGUGUGUUCUUCGUCAAGGAAAGGUACUUGACGUAAGUCCUCCAUAAUUCAAGCUUCGAUUUGACUAUCCAAGGAUCGAGGUCGACUAGAGCAAUUAUGUGCUCCCUGCGCUCUAGCUGAGCCUCUCUUCAAGGGGACAUUCGUCCUCGAGAGGAUCUUUGCCUAGGGGAACGGUUAUAAUCGUCAUCUUGAUUUGUCGGCUUCAUCCUCAGGCUUGCUGCAUAACACUCCCGUGCCACUUCUUGGUCUACGUGCACCAUUAAAAUGUCUCUCGAGGCCGACGAGAAUUUCAUGACCAGGUGAGGGGUGGAAACGAUCGCCCUCAACCUAUUGAUGAACGGUCUUCCUAGCAGGAUGUUGUAAGAGGUGUUGGCAUCUAUUACCAGAUACCAGAUUUUGAUGGUCUUGCUCGCCUCUCCCUCGCCGAAUGUGGUAUAAAGUUUGAUAUACCCUCAAAUGCCUACUCUCUCACUCGAGAAGCCGAUAACAUGAUCAUCGUACAACUUCAUCUCCUCCUUGGCAAUCCUCAUUUGUUUUGACGUCUUCCAACAACGGAUGUUUACCGAACUCCCCUGAUUCACCAGUGUCAUCAUGAUGGUGAACUUGUCAAUGUCAACCAAUAUUACCAUAGGAUUGUCCUGUGAAGGGUCGACACCCUUGAAAUAUUCAUCGGUGAAGGUGAUUGGAGGCAUUCUCGGUUAAAAAGAUAUGGUGUUAACCUGAUGGACCGCUCUCUAGUGUUUCUUCCUGGCGUUGUUGGAACUACCACCCCCCAGCAAAUCCCCCAACGAUGGUGCUGAUGACCUCUCGGCAACCCCUCCUCCUUCCCUUCUCGAAAGGUCUUCCCUUCUCGACCGAUGCUCAGGUCGACGGUCGUCCUCUUCUGUCUUCUGAGGGGAGUAGUCCCUUCGCCUCGUCGUUUUUCCCUUCACGGGGAUCAUUUCAAUCCCUGGUCCCCUUGCACGAUUCGCCGAAGGUGCUCGACUUGGAUAAGUUCCUCGAUUUUAUCCUUCAGCGCUUGACACUCCUCAGUGGCAUGUCCACUGUUUCUCUGUGGUAUCAACAUCUACGAGUUCAAUCGGCGGGUUGAGGACUUGUAACCCUUCUAGAUGGUGGAAUCAGAUUGAAACUCAAGGCUUCAUCUAGGAUCCUUCCCAUGUCGGCGCUUAAAGGGGUGUAUCUUGUGAACCGGUACCCUCGGUUGUCCCUGUGCUUAUCUCUUCGACCAGCAGUUGGUCUGUUGUGGCGCUCAUUCUCCUUUUCUUUUCCCCAUCUCCACUUGCUUCGGCCCGACACUCCUUCAAUUUCUUUAGCUGCAUAAACUUAGCGACCCUCUGCCUAAGCUCGUUCAGGCUCACAACUGGCUCCGUGCACAAGCUGUCGGCAAACUGUCUCAGUCGUAGGGUUGUGAUCAUGUGAUGCAUGGUCAUGUAUGAACUCAGAUUCUGGAUGUUCAUGGCUAUCUUACCAAACCCAUCUAUGAACUUCCUCAAAGAUUUCCCCUUCUCCUAGCGGAUGUUGACUAGGGUGAUGGAAGUUAGGUGAUGCGGUCAACUAGUAGCGAACUGCGUCUCAAACUUGACACCAGCGUCUCAAAAUAGUCGACGAAGUUUGGGGGAAGCUUCGUAAACCAGGUUACCUAUGAGGUGGGGAACACUCGACACAUGACCGCACUGUUCGAGGUGUACACGUCCAUGUGCUUGUCGGGGUCGGUCGUACCGUCAUAAUAGUCCCUGUUAAAGCCCUUCCACCUAGCUGGUAGAGGUACUCCAAUUAUAGAGUCCGUGAAUGGAUGUCGGGAGGAUAAGACUCUUCGUCAGCCUUUUGGGUGUGGAUCUUAUCGUUUGAUUCCUCAAUUAGGACCGGUGGGGGUGGUGAAGGACCUUCCAACAGGGUUGGCGGGCUUGAUGGAUGGACCCCCUUCCACAAGCUUCCUCUUCAUCUCUUCAUUCUCCUUUCGGAGAGUUGAAUCUCAUCCUCAUCUUUCCACCUAGUCUCCUUGUUCCUUCUCUUUAUUUCAGCAAUUCUUCUAGUAGAGACAUCAAAAGCGUUAUUUGUUAGACAUCUUCUCCUUCACCUUGUUUCUGGUUGAUACCAUCUACCUUCUUCUUUACGCUAAUUCUCUCGACUCCAUAGUGGAUGCUAAUUAUUCUCAAACGGGAUUGAAACCAAGGGAACGAUUCAGACUACUCUUCGAUCCCUUUCACUCAAAACGAACUCCUUCGUUAUCCUGUCUCUUGUCUCUUGGUUUCCGUGAACUCCAAAUUCAGUACCGGUAAAAAAUACUCAGACGACUGACACUUAGUGUUAUUAAUAUUGUAUAAUGACAUAUACUCAACACUUAAUGUUAUUAAUAUUGUAUAAUUGUAUAAUGACGUAUUUAAUUCUUAAAAAUAAACUGAAUCUCGUUAUUUAUAUAAAUAUCACGAACUUGUUCUAAAUAAAGUAUAAAUAGAAACGUUAUCUGCUAAUAUUGUGUAUUUAAUUCUUAAAAUAAACUCAAUCUCGUUAUUUAUAUAAAUAUGAUGAACUUGUUCUAAAUAAAGUAUAAAUAUAAAGUAUAAAUAGAAACGUUAUCUGCUUAUUUAUAUAAAUAUCUUUUCGUGCUUAUUUAUAUAAAUAUAAUAAACUCACUAUAUAAAUAUCAUGAACUGAGUCUCUAGUCUCGUUAUAGAGACUGUAAUCCAGAUAAAGUAUAAAUACAAAUAAAGUAUGUGAUUUUCAUAUUUUCAUAAUGUAAUUUUUAUGACUCAAUUGUAAUCCAAACAACUCACAUUUUCAUUAUGUAAUCCUAAUCCAAAUAAAGCAUAAUCUAAUCCAAAUAAAGUAAUCCAAAUAAAGUAUUUUCAUUAUGUAAUCCAAACAAGUACAAGUAUAAGUGAUGAUGAAGAUACUUGUUCUUGCUUUUUUUAAUAUUUCGUUUCUCGUUUUUUCCACUUUAUUGGAAUCUUUCCAUCCUAUCUGAGAAGGUAUAAAAAGUUUACUAUUAAUAAUGGUUUUUAAUUACUCCAUCCAUGUUUCAUAAUCACUUCAUAUGUUUACUCAUGAGAUUUCACCUUCCAUCAAUAUUUACAAACCUUUCACCUCUUAUUAAUUGGUUACAAUAAAAACCAAACAAACACAUCACAUGAAAACAAAAUGAAAACGUCUCAACAAAAUUUCUACUUCAUUAGAAAAACCAAAACCAAAAAGAAACCUAGGAGCCCCUGGUGAAUUCUGCAGAACCUGCUUCUGGUGUGUCACGUUUCUGCAUCUGAGAUUCAUUAUUAUUAUUAUUAUUCUUUGCUGCUGGUGUGUCACUCUUUGCAAUAUUGCGUGCAUUUGCAUACAUGUCAACUGGUUGAGAGUCAGAGAUCUUUCCUCCUUCAAGGGGAGUGCCAUUAACAUACGCCACCCUCACUGCUUCAUCUUCUGAAAGCCUUGCCUGUGCUGUUCCAUACUUUAUGUCUUCUUUGCUCUUCGCCAUGAAUGCUUGCAACUGCAACUUAUCUCUAGUGGCUCUGAAUGUGAAGAUUUGAGUGAUGAGAUGAUGGGUCAAAUGGGGUGCAUUUAUUGCCCCAAGUGCUGUCAUACGUGGCUUGCUCUUUGCAUGCUUAUGUGACAAGUGUGUGUAAACAAGGUUGAGGAUGCAGUGAAUGGUGACAUGUGGUGGAUGAGGAAGACAACUAGAAUGUUUUAGGGUUUGGAAUAUUACAUCUGCAUGCAGGAACUUUAUAAACACAAAAUAUUCAUAUUAUCAAAAUUAUUUUUAAUAUUCAAAAUGAUUCAUAGAAAAAGUAAAUAAAAAUGAAAUGUAAUUCAAUUAAAAAGUGCAUUUUCAUUUUUUUAACAAUAUAUAACUUUACCACUUCUUAUUGUAAGAAUAAAAGUAAAUAAAAAUAAGAUAUUAUAUAUUUUUUCAGAUAUUUAGGAACGCCCUUUUUAAUUAUCAUAACAAAUACGAAAAUGUUAUAUUUUUUUAAGUUAACAUUCUUGUCAUAAUAUUUUAAAUGUUUAAAUAUAUAUAGUUUAGUCUUGCUUUAUAUUUUUUUUAUAAAAGAUUCCAUACUUACAUUAUAUUUAUAGAUCUUCUCGCCCUUAAUAAUAGGGUUAUUUAUAUCUACAUCGAUAAAAAAAAUUAUAAUAAAAAAUUAAUUAAUUAAAAUCAAGCAUUUUUAAAUUAUUUGGAUUUUUUAUAAUAAUCAAAUAUCGUUAAGUAUAAAUAGUUCUAAGUUAUUAUUAUUUUUAUAUACUCUGCACAGAUGAAAGUUGAGAAUUAGAAAAACAUGGAAUCAGAUUUUUUUUCUUUCUUCACUACAACUACGUUUUAUCGUGUUAUCCUAACAUAAAUAGUUUCUGUUUUUUUUUUCCUGAGGUAAAAAUGGCUGCAAACCCUUUUUCAUCAUCAACCAUCAAUAUGAAAAUAUUUAAAAUAUAGUAAAAAUUAUUAAUGAAUUUCACUUUAUUUUUUCAAUCAAACAACUAAUAUUAUUUAUACUAAUAAUCCAUUCUAUUUAUUAUUUUCUUAAUAAAUUUUAAUUGAUAAGAAAGUGUGUAAUAAGAAUGAAAAAAAAGUGAAAAUAUUGAAUAAUGAGAACACGUAUUUUAAUUAUUCUAUCUUGUUAUCGAUUAUUAGUGUAUCUAUUAAUAUGUGGAUACUCGUUAUUCAUUAAUUAUUGUUGAUAAAUUAUAUUUGAGUAUUUUCUUUAAAACUACCUUAUCCAAAUAAAGUUAUUAGUUAGAGAAAUAUUAAUAAUUAAAGAAUGAUUUAGAAUUUGAUUUCGUGUAUUUAUAUUUUUUAUUUUGAAAUAUAACUUGUUUUUUUUAAAAGACUGGAUUUAUUUGUAUUAAUAUUUUAGGGUGUAAUUUUAUUUGAAUUAUACUUUAAAAUUAAUUUUUAUUAUCUGAAUUUUUAUUUUAAAAACUUGAUUUCAAAUAAUUUUAUUUAAAUAAUAAUAAAAAAUGUUUGGGUAUUAUAAAGAAUAUUUAGAAGUAUUACCAAUAGCAAGACGAGUAACGAGAUGAUUUUUUUUAGAUAGAAUGAACAGUGGAUAGGUUAUUCGUAUUCGCUCUAACCCGUUUGAAAAGAUAAUUGAGAUCAUAAUUAAUUAAUGAAUUAUUUAAAUUUUUUGAGAAAAGUAUUUAAAAAAUUUAUUUAUUUAAAUAAUCAGUAUUUGUAAUGUUUAUUAAAUAUAAUUUUGUUAAAGAGUCACUAAUGAAUAUCAAUUUUUAAAGCUUCUUUUAGAUUAUGUUAAGUUAAUUUUUAAUUAAAAUUCACUCCUUUUUUUUAUUCAAAAUGUUGAUUUAAAAAGCACUUUUUAUUAAUUUAAAGCAAGUUAAAUAGACUUGUAAACUUGUAUAAUGAUUUUUUAACUGAAAUUAACACAUCAUUUACUAAUGUUGUAAGAAGUGUGGCCUUUUUUUAAUCUAAUUUUUUUUAACAAAAUAGUUAACCUGUUUAACAUUUAUUUUAUUUUUAUUCACAAAUGUCAAAAUUGAGACACUUUAAAAAUAAUAAAUCGAAUCAAUUUCAAUUUUUAAUAAUUUUAAAAUUACUAGUCUAACAUACGAAAAUGUAUUAGCUGUUUUUUAGAUUUAGCUUUUAAUACAAAAGAAAAGCAUAUGCAGUGUUUUAAGGGGACCCUAACUUAUUAGAGUAUUCUCACUUCAUAAUUUAUAUUAAUUUAUUUUAAAAAUAACUAUCCUCAUAGUUUUAUUUUCUGCAGAAAGUUCUUUUAACAAGAAAAAAUGACCUUUUCAAAAGAAAAAAAGAAGCUUAAUAAUUGAAGAAUAUUAGAAACCAUUUAAAUUUACCGAACCGAGAAGGUUGAACAUACACCCGUAAAAUACUCCUAAACUCGUAUUAUUUCACAUAAAAAAAAUAUUUUAAAAAUAUUAGCACAAGUUUUCCUAAUAAAAAAAUCAAAUUUAGUGCAGCCCAAUUAAAAAAAAGUCCUAAUUUCCUAAAUCACACCAGACAAUAAUGCAACCCUAAUUCCGGCACCACCGUCGACCUGCCACCCGCGACCACCGCAACCGCACGACCUCCUCUGCACAAUCGUCACCACCGCGCGACCUGCUCCGCUCGAUCGCCACCACCGCCGCACUUGUUCAGAGAAGACGCACGACCUCCGCACUCCAGAGAAGACGCAACACCACCAAAACGAACGUGAAACCGAAACGAAAGGCGAACCCUUAAGACACCGUUUUGGUUAAAACGAAGACCCAGUUGAACUCGCCUAACUCGGAGCAGACUCGCUAGUUUGAUAACCAUGAUGAAGAGUGUGUGACUCUGUUAAGUGUGUAGUUGUAGUAUUUGCUCUGUUUUGCUACCUUUGUUCAGUACUCACUCAUAAAACACUCAAUCCUCCUCCUUGUGGAAGCAGCUACCUUCAGCAAAGGUGGCUCCGUCUGUGCCCACUAACCUCCCAUCUCACUUGGGUCACAGACUCGUCAAGGCAGCAUUGAAUGUCGGUGAUUUCAGGCGUGCCCAACAACUGUUUGAUAAUAUUCUUCAACCAGACCCGACCACUUGUUAUACAUUAAUUUCAGGUCUCACUACUUAUGGACUUCCACAUGAGGCCAUAAGGAUCUAUGCUUCGCUUUGGGCACGUGGGAUCAAACCCCAGAACUCGGUGUUUCUUGCUGUUGCCAAGGCCUCUGGUGCCUCUCGUGAUGUCUUGAGAGUCAAGGAGGUUCAUGACGAUGCCAUACGAUGUGGGAUGAUUUCUGAUGUUUUCUUGGGCAAUGCAUUGAUUCAUGCCUAUGGGAAGUGUAAAUGCACUGAAGGUGCCAGGCGGGUUUUUGAUGAUUUGGUUGUGAAAGAUGUGGUUUCUUGGACCUGCAUGUCUUCAUGCUAUGUCAAUUGUGGAUUGCCUAGACAAGGCCUAGCUGUUUUUCACGAAAUGGGACGGAAUGGGGUGAAGCCAAAUUCAGUGACAGUAUCUAGCAUUUUGCCAGCGUGCUCGGAAUUGAAAGAUUUGAAGUCUGGAAGGGCUAUUCAUGGAUUUGCAAUGAGACAUGAGAUGAUGGAAAAUGUGUUUGUCUGCAGUGCUCUUGUGAGCAUGUAUGCUAGAUGUUUAAGUGUUAAACCGGCUAGACUAGUAUUUGAUUUGAUGCCUCAUCGAGAUGUUGUGUCUUGGAAUGGAGUUUUAACGGCAUACUUCACAAACAAAGAAUAUGAGAAGGGUCUUGCCCUGUUUUCCCAAAUGAGGAGCAAAGGAGUCAAAGCAGAUGAAGCUACAUGGAAUGCUGUUAUUGGGGGCUGCAUGGAAAAUGGGCAAACGGAGGAGGCAGUGGAGAUGCUUAGGAAGAUGCAAAGCAUGGGAUUUAAACCUAAUCAAAUUACAAUUAGUAGUUUCUUACCGGCUUGCUCUAUUUUAGAAAGCUUGAGGAUGGGCAAGGAGGUACAUUGCUAUGUCUUUAGGCAUUGGUUAGUUUGGGACUUAACAACCCUGACAGCGGUGGUAUACAUGUAUGCUAAAUGUGGUGACUUGAAUCUUUCAAGGAAUGUAUUUGGUAUGAUGCACAGAAAAGAUGUUGUUGCUUGGAACACGAUGAUAAUUGCUAAUGCAAUGCAUGGGAAUGGAAAAGAAGUGCUUUUGCUGUUUGAGAGCAUGCUUCAGUCAGGGAUGAGGCCCAAUUCUGUUACUUUUACUGGUGUUCUGUCUGGUUGUAGCCACUCAAGGCUGGUAGAGGAAGGACUCCAGAUCUUUAAUUCAAUGGGCAGGGAUCAUCAAGUAGAACCUGAUGCUAAUCACUAUGCAUGCAUGGUUGAUGUCUUCAGCCGUGCUGGUCGGCUUGAUGAGGCAUACGAGUUUAUACAGAGAAUGCCUAUGGAGCCAACUGCCAGUGCUUGGGGAGCACUUCUUGGUGCUUGUAGAGUUUAUAAGAAUGUGGAGUUGGCAAAAGUUUCAGCCAGUAAAUUAUUUGAGAUUGAACCCAACAACCCUGGAAAUUAUGUUUCAUUAUUCAACAUCCUUGUCACAGCCAAACUGUGGAGUGAAGCUUCAAAAGCCAGAAUAUUGAUGAAAGAGAGAGGAAUUACAAAAACUCCAGGCUGUAGUUGGCUUCAAGUGGGAAAUAGAGUUUACACUUUUGUUGUUGGAGACAAAAAUAACAUGGAGAGUGAUAAAAUCUAUGGCUUUUUGGAUGAGUUAGAUGAGAAAAUGAAAUUGGCCGGAUAUAAGCCUGACACUGAUUAUGUUCUGCAAGAUGUUGACCAAGAGGAAAAAGCUGCGAGCCUUUGCAGCCACAGUGAGAGGCUUGCUGUUGCAUUUGGGAUUCUUAAUUUGAAUGGACAGUCAUCUAUACGGGUUUUUAAGAAUUUGAGAAUUUGUGGUGACUGUCACAGUGUCAUUAAGUACAUUUCUAAGGUUGUUGGCAUGACAAUCAUCGUUAGAGACUCCUUGAGGUUUCAUCACUUCAGAAAUGGAAAUUGUUCUUGUCAAGACUUGUGGUGAUUAUUUGAAUCAGGCUUUAGAAACAAGACCAUGAAAUCUGGCAGAGACAAAGAGUAACAGAAUGAUCGCCGCAUUAGUUCGCAUAUGCAGACCCUCCAUUGUCGUCUUCUCCACACCCUAAACCUUGGCAACAGGUCUUAACUCCCACCCCACUUUCCUCUAAUUUUUUAUUCCGUCAUCUUUUCAUUAAACUUUCUAUCUUUUUGGUGUUUGACGAAGUGGGGCCCGAAAGUGAUUGAAUUGUGUUUUCAUUUCGUGGAUUGUUGUUCUUGUUAUGAUUUUAUUCUAUUACUGUUCUUGUGAAUACAGACAUUUUGAUGAGAAGACAAAUAGGUGGAGGUGGCAGUGUGCCAACAUUGAAGUGCAGAAAAAUGUAUUACGAUCAAUUGGUGCCUUUCUUGAUUCCUUAUCGGGAGAUGCACGUGCAGCAUGUCGUGCUGUUGUUAAGGUGUAUAGUUUGCUUCCUUUUCUUUUUGGGAUUUUUAAGUCUAGUAAGUAGCACUUAUGAACCUGAAUUAGGAGUUUUGAUGCCAGUUCAUUAGACUUUCUAAAUGAAAUGUGCAUAUCUAUACUUGUGAAGAUUCUGAAACUUAUAGAUCAUUAGGCUUGCUCAAUGCCUAUUGGUAACAUUUCAUUGUUCUAUAAGAUGACCACUGUAAUAUAAAGUAUUUCUCCUAACAAAGAUUGGUUUUUAUCUGUCCAGAGAUCCCAAGAUAAUUGUUUAAAAGUGGUUGGUUUGUGUGGUGAAGCUCUUGUUGAGGCCAUAAUUCGUGGAAUGACAGAAAGUAGGCUGACUUCUAAAAAAAUUGGAAACAACCAUGGGUAAGUGGAAGCAUGCAAGUUGGAAACAAGGAAACAAGGAAUUGAUAGAGUCAUCUUCUGAUUGAAAAUAUUCAAGACCAAUUGUUUGAACCUGUCUUGUCAUUGGAAAAACAAAUAUAUAUGGCAAAAGAGGGAUUGAAAGGCAAUUAUCAUGUUGGUAUUAGGAGUUAUCUGUGGGACAUUCUUGGGUGGCUUACAAUUCAUUGUGGAGAAAAUUUAAACCCUUGUACUCGUGGUAGUGAGCUCUGCAUCAACUUACUAAUUACAUGUGCAUGGUAAAUUGUAUUCCUUCCAUUAUCAUUUCUUGAUGAUUUAACAUGUGUAUAAACUUAAAGAUAAAUAACUUAUCCUAUGUCUCUGUUUCUUGCUACUGCUGUUGAUUAUAUUUCUGAAAAUUUUCAGCUGACCUUUUAUUUCACCCGUUGUUGCUUGCCAAAUUCACUAAUUCUAAUUUUUCCUUUCUCUAUAGCUUGAGUUUUGUGGAUACACUUGAAAAAUGGUGCAGAAUUUGGCAAAAGGAUAUUGAUGAUCAUUUUCAAAAGUGAACCAGUAUUAAGGGCUGUUCUAAUGAUGAUUCAUAUUAUCAGAUGUACUAAAGGUGAAAGGCAUGCUAUGUUUGAAAAGCUUACUACAUACUCUAGAUUAUACAUCAUCCCUGGAAAGCUAUGGAUCAUUUGAUAAACUUCAACUGGUUGUUAAUUUAAUUGGGUUUACUUGUUUUUCAUUAAAUAAUAUGCCCAUUUCAGUAUAUUUAUUGAGAGUUCUAUCAAAAGCCUGAUAAGAACCUUGGAGCCCAAGGACUUGUAAACUCUGCACUAAAACUUCUAAUGUGGGACUCAACUCUCACAACACCUUUCAAUUAUAGAUAAAGAUUGAUAUGUUUUUCUUCACAAACAUAUUCUAACUAUCCUUUGAAAACUCACUAAUGGUAUUCUUGAGCCCUUGGUUGGAAGUGACGUGCAAUCAUGUUUGUUAUCAUGACGGUUUGCAUUGUUAUGUUCUUCCAUGUUAACUUCAUUUCAACUCUUAAUUUGUCUAGGAUAUCCUUGGAAAUCAGGUGCAAGAAUUUUUCAUUUCUAAUGAGACACUUUGCAAGCCUCUUUGCUUUAAUUUUUGUUUCCUUCUACACUUGGAUCCUGUCUCCUAUGGUCUCUCUUAAAUAUUAUUCAUUCAUUGUUGCAGUCAUUCACAAGUAAUAAAAGUUGAUAUUAGCUAGCAAGCAUUGAUUAAACUAGUGCAAUGGUUUUAUUAUGAUGAGCUACCUGAUCCUCCCUCUGGAUGCUUGUGGGAUAAUAUGGAUGAUAAAGAAAAGCUAUUUAAUCUACAACCAUAUGUGGAGUUUUAUUGACUUUCUGAGUUUUGGAUUUUUGGAAAAUAUUCAGGAAGCUUGCUGGAAUUGAUGGAAGAGGCCCCAACACCCAAAAGAGCGUCUAGGACCAACCUUGCAUGAAAGGCAACCAAGAGAGCGUCUAGGACCAACCUUGCAUAGAGGGCACCCACAAGUAGCGUCUAGGCCACACAAGAAGUGUCUAGGCCACACAAGGAGCGUCAAAGAGAGUUGACAUCCAAGAAGGGUGACGUCCAAGAAGGCCUAACAAAGUGUAGCUUAGUCUUAUUUGUGGUGUAAAUAGCAUAGCCUUAUGAACCUUUGUUUAAAUUCUGCAAAUUAGGAUUAAGGAGGAGUUAACCUAGAUUAGCUACGGUUUCUAGAAGCUCUCCACUAAUCUAGGACGUCCAUGUGCAAGUUAGGAGGCCAUGUGCACCCAUGUGUCAUGUGCUCCAUGUGCUACUCUUUUGCAUUUCAUUUGGCUUGCAUUUGCUCAUCAUUUAGGUCAUCAUUUCAGGUCCUCCUAUUUUAAGAUUGAAUAGAGUAUUGUUAUGCUGCCAAAUUUGAGUCAUACCUUACUCCUUGCCUAGAAUCUAGGUUUUAAUCUUCACUCCAUCACCUUCAAAGGGGCUGGCCGAACCUCCCUAAAUUCCUACUCUUCAUGCACCUCCAAGACACCCAUACUUCCUAGGAAGGCCUUGCUUCAUCUCCUCCACAAGCUUCCGCAAGUUUCAUCUCCAAAACGCAAAGAAGAGCUCAAAGGAAUGCCAUCAUUUGGUAUCUAGGAAUGCCAUCAUUUGGUAUCUAGAGCUAUGGUUCUUCACAAAUGAGUAUCUCUUUGCAUUUUUCUUUUUAAGUUCUGCUUAUUUCCAAGUUGUUCAUCUUGAUUUUCUAUUUUUAAUAUGCUUGUAAGGAGGGGUGUUAUAAGAUAUUCCUCAUUCUUUCUAGAUUCACACCACCCCUCACUUGGCUUUUCUUUUUCUUUUUCUUUAGCUUCCCUUUCGUCUUCAUUUUUUUUCUUUUGUAUCUUUCUUUCCUUCUUUACUUUAUGGGAAGCAAACAAUUUUUCUACCCUCAUUUCCCAAUCUAAGAAAGCUUCUACAUUUUCUCUUCCUCUCUUGGGUUUUCUUCUAUCUCUUCUAUGUCUUCUAGGGGUUGCUUGAUAAUAAUCAUUUAUUCUAAGGCUUCCCUCCCCAAAAGAAUCAUGAUCUUUAGAGAUAGAUGCAUGAAAAGGUAAUUUUUUUGAAAUGUGAGACUUCUCAUCCUUUGCUUUAGUCAAUUCAUUAGUUUUGGUCUCAUUCUCCAAUUGUUUAGAUGAAAUUGAUUGAAUAUCCUUGGAAAGUUGUUUUAAAAGAGAUUUCAAGGAUUUCACAUCACUUUUAAGAGAUUUUGAGGAGUGAGAAGACAUGACUAAAGUUUUGUGUAUAGAAAUGUUUUACUUUAAGAAAAAAGAGGAGAGUUAAUGAAGGUAGUUUUCCAGGUAAGAGAGGUGAGUCACAAUGGACUACUUAAAUACCAAGUCUUGCCUUAGCCAAAAACUAUCUCUCAAGAUCUUCACACAAAUCUCUCUUUAGGUAAAUCACUUAAAACACAAUGAGGAUGUAGAAAUCAAAUUUUUUAUGCACAAAAACAAAGCAAGUUAUCUAGCAAAUUUUCAAAGCUUUAAACAAGGCAAAAACAAAAGCAAUUAAGCGUAGCUAACUAAAGGCAAUUGGCGUAAUUAAAGUAAUUAACAAAUGCUAAGCUAGAAAGUUUAAGCUAGUCGGCCCUAGGUGAGGCUUCUUGGACACUGGAGCCCUUGAAGACACACUCACCGUCUAAUUGCGUGAUUAACAAGUAAUUAACAAGAGUUAAAUUGCAAAGAAAUUAAAUGGCACUCCCUUUGUUGAUUUUCUAAAUGCACUCCUUUUGUUGUUUCUUCUUUGUUGGGCCUUCCAAGGUGUGUGGUGUAUUUAGUAUGUGUUUGUUGUGGCCCCUUGCCUUUGAUCCUCUUAGAAUUAGGUAAUUAAAUUCUUCAAUCAAGCACCUAUUAAGCAAAGCUAGACUCCCCUCAAGUCAAUUCCCACUCAACAAGUACCGAUUGAAUUUUUAAUCCACCACAAAGCUUAGAGGUCAAAGAAAUAAAGCAAGAAACAAAUUAAUUUGAAAAAACAGUACCACACAAAUGGAAUUAAAUGUGACACAACUUAGAAAGAGUUCAAAUGAAAUUAGACAAGCAAAUAAAAAGGCACUCAAAUAAUGGAUGGCACACACAAAAAGGAAUCCUAAGGAAUAACACUAGAUUUGAUUUAAAAACCAAAAACAACACCACUGAAACAAAAUGUUGUGGUCCAGAAUGCGUGACUUUCGCAGAUUUAUGCUGAGCUGACUCUUUAAUAUUUGCUUCUGAAAAUUGAUACUCAAACGAAUCAAGAUCUUAACAAAUUUUUGGCGUUGGUUUCACUCCAAACGCAUGCACCAUUUAAUUUUAAUAAUUUUUUUAAAAUCAGUGCUCAGAACCGCCAAAUGUAGCGUUAGGAUUGCACACUUUUUUUGUCAGAUUUAUCUUUUUUUUCAACUGAUUCUUUUUUUGUUCUUUUGCUAACACCUCAAUCUAGUGAAAUCCAGAAGCUCAGAAUUUUCUUAUGUUGUAUUUAAUUUUCAUAAGCAAAAUUAGCCAAAACAUAUUGGUGGAAAACAGAGGAUUCUGAACAUCUGGAAACAAAAACAGAAUGAUAUACCAACAAAAACACAAUGGAAUCAGUGUAAUGGAAUUUGUGUGGAUCUAGCACACAAAUAUGAAUUCAAACUAAAAAUUAAAAAGCACCAAAGGAUCAAAACAAAACAGAUUUCAGAUCAAGCAUUCAAACAAAAACAAGAAACAAAUAAACCAAGAAAAGUACUACUAGGAUUUGUUGACAAAUAUGGAAACACAUGACUUAGACAAAACUUAUGGAUUCAUAAAAUGAAAAGACUCAAGAACAUCAUAUGACCCAAAUGAAAUUUCAAACAAGACUCAAAUACCUAAAAAAAAAAAAAAAACAGCAACACAAAAAUAUCAAGAAUCCUAAACAAAAUUGAAAAUAGAUGUUCAAGCACAAUUUUGAACAAACCCAUCGAUUGAAAUGAAUAAACAAGCAUUCAAAUCAUAUUAAAACAAAAAAACAGCAAGACAACUUGGAAUAAAGAUGAAAAACUUGGAAAUAAGAAAAACACAAAAAGAAAAAUGCAAAGAGAUGCUCAUCUUUGAAGAACCAUAGCUCUGAUACCAAAUGAUGGCAUUCCUUUGAGCUCUUCUUUGCGUUUUGGAGAUGAAACUUGCGAAAGCUUGUGGAGGAGAUGAAGCAAGGCCUUCCUAGGAAGUAUGGGUGCCUUGAAGGUGCAUGAGAGUGGGGAAUUGGGGAGGUUUGGCCAGCCCCUUUGAAGGUGAUGGAGUAAGAUUAAAACUUAGAUUCUAGGCAAGGAGUAAGGUAUGACUCAAAUUUGGCAGCAUAACAAUACUCUAUUCAAUCUUGAAAUACGUGAGGUUGGCUCCUCCUUUUAUAGGCUAAAGAGGACCUGAAAUGAUGACCUAAAUGAUGAGCAAAUGCAAGCCAAAUGAAAUGCAAAAGAGUAGCACAUGGCCUCCUAACUUGCACAUGGACGUCCUAGAUUAGUGGAGAGCUUCUAGAAACCGUAGCUAAUCUAGGUUAACUCCUCCUUAAUCCUAAUUUGCAGAAUUUAAACAAAGGUUCAUAAGGCUAUGCUAUUUACACCACAAAUAAGACUAAGCUACACUUUGUUGGGCCUUCUUGGACGUCACCCUUCUUGGAUGUCAACUCUCUUAGACGCUCCUUGUGUGGCCUAGACGCUUCUUGUGGGUGCCCUCUAUGCAAGGUUGGUCCUAGACGCUCUUUUGAGUGCUGGAGGCUCUUCCAUCAGGAAUGUUAUUAUGUCUUGUCUUGAUUUUUCCUGGCGGUUGUUCGUUAAAAUAAUCAAAAUGGCUUAUAAUCUAUCUUUGUGGAAGAUAGUUGAUAUCAUGGCAAAUCUCAUGGUUGAAAUUAGUUAUUUUUUAAAUAAAUUAAUAUAAAUUGUGAAGUGAGAAUACUUUUCUUUUGUAUAUAAUCAAAAGCUAAAUCGAAAAAAAAAUUAAUACAUUUUCGUAUGUUAAACUAAUAAUUUUUAAAAUUAUUAAAAAUUGAAAUUGAUUGGAUUUAUUUUAUUAAAGUGUCUCAAAUUUGAUAUUUCUGAAUAAAAAUAAAAUAAAUUUUAAAAAGGUUAACUAUUUUGUUGAAAAAAAUAAAUUAAAAAAAAAAACACUUCUUACAACAUUAGUAAAUGAUGUGUUAAUUUCGUUAAAAAAUCAUUAUACAAGUUUGCAAGUCUAUUUAACUUGCUUUAAAUUAAUAAAAAAAAUUAAAAUCCACAUUUUGAAUAAAAAAAUAAGUGAAUUUUAUUAAAAUCAACUUAACAUAAUCUAAAAGAAGCUUUAAAAAUUGAUAUUCACUAGUCACUCUUCAGCAAAAUUAUAUUUAAUAAAUAUAAAAAAUUAUUAUUUAAAUAAAUAACUUUUUUAAGUACUUUUGUCCAAAAAAAAAUUGCAUAGUUCACUAAUUAUCAUCACAAGUAGUCUUAAGGGGUUGUAACUAGCUACUUGUUCCAUCCAAAACAAAGGCUGAUCUUCCCUGCACUAUAUCAAUUCAGACUUACACCCAACACACUGAUGUGAAAUGUUUGUAUUGUCCUUAAUGAAUUAAAUUUUUUGUCUUUCAAAUAUUCAUAUCCAUAAAUUAAAUCACAAAAUUUUGGAUAUAUAAAUCAAGAACUAAUAUGUCACUUCUGAAUUUCACCAUCUGAAAGUUUUACCUGGACAACAUAAAUGACCUUCCGGAUAUCAAGAUUCGUAAGCAAACAUAAAUGAGUUCCGAAUCUCAAUCCUCAACACCAUUUACAAUACAACAUUCUGAAUAUGAAAAAUUCAAAACUCAUAACUCACUUCCGAAUAUGACCAUCUGAAAGCUUAAAUGAAAUAUGAAAAAGACCUUUCUAUGCAUUAAAAACAUGAUUAAACAAGUAUUGGACUUGUCUCAAGGUAAAAGUUAAUGAGAGUUUUAAUCUUAAACUUACAAAUUUGAGUAUAACUAUACUGACUUGAGCGUCAAGUGUAUUUACAGGUACUUUCCAUACUACAUAAGAAGAGAGAUCGAAACAAAGAACUGAAUGACCUGAAAAUCGAAGAGCUUGAGUGAAAACAUUGUCUUGUAAAAACACUUGUUAAGGAUUUACCCACAAUUAUCUAGAUUUUUUUCAUUCCUAAUCAUAAUUCAACAAAACUAUUAUUACAAACUAAAAAUUUACAAGCUACAAACUAGAAUACAUUAUUUAAUGUAAAAACCUAAUCACUCAUUAUAAAAUAAUUCAGUGACUUGGAGACUAAUUUAUUCUAUAUUAUUUUGACCUAAACUUGUGUUUGGUUAGGGAGUAUAGAGAGUGAGAUGAGAGAAACAGAUUCAAAUAGCCCAUUCUUUUUUGGCUCCUCCAAUCUUGACGUUUAAAUAUUGUUUCGUAAAUAAAAUAUAUGUUUAAUAUAUUUAUGCUUUGUCGUGAAAGAAAAUAGUUGGUUAACUAAUAAAAAACUAAUUACAUGUAAUUUUUAAAAUAACUAUUAUAACUUAUCAUACAUAUCAAUUACUAUUAGAUGCUUUUGCAAGAGAAAUUAUAAGAAUAUAUUCUUCUUAUUACACUCUUUUUUAUCAAUUAAAAUUUAUUAAGAAAAUUAUAAGUAGAGUGGAGAGAAUGAAUUAUUAGUAUAAAUAAUAUUAGUUGUUUGAUUGAAAAAAUAAAGUGAAAUUUAUUAAUAAUUUUGAUAUAGUUAUAAUCCAUUUAUUUUGUAUUGAUGGUUGAUAAUGAAAAAGGGUUCGUUGGUGGAAUGUGAAAAUAACGCAACCAUUUUUAUCUCAGAAAAAAAAAACAGAAACUAUUUGUGUUAGGAUAACACGAUAAAACGUAGUUGUGGUGCAAACGUAGCUGACGCUGCUGAAUGAAAAUCCUCAGUUGUUGGUACCUUUCUCUCUUUCUCUUUCUCUUUCACACUCACUUUCUCACUUGUUAAUUCUAGCGAAGGAUCAAUCUUCACUCUUCACUGUGAACUCAGUGAAAUUAGUUUCAAGAUCCCUACUAAGUACGAGCAGAACCUAUGCACAAUGUUUCUUAAUUUUUGUUCUAUGUGCGAAACUUGACCAACUAGGACUCAUUCACCAUCGUUAUACAUCAUUUUCCUACUUCAAUCAUGGCUUCACUGCUGAAUACAGUGUCACCAGCUGCAAAUUUAUCCCCCAAAACAAAACGACCCACUUGUGGCGGUUUCUUGCACUCCCAACUUCCGAAUCUCCACACUUUUUCCCUCAACAAGGGUUUUUCUAGGGUUUCGGCUUCGACCCAGAUUGCCAUUGCCCCAAAAGAUACGGUUUUUAAUCUCCCCAAAUGGAGAGGUGGGAGGAAUGACCCUAGGGGUAAAGAGCUGAGGGUCUAUGAUGCAUUUCUCCAUUUAGAGUAUUUGGUAGGUAAGGGCCAAAAGCCAGAGGUGACUCAAGCAACACAGCUUUUGUAUGAUCUUUGCAAGUUUAACAAAGCUAGAAAGGCUGUGAAGGUGAUGGAUAUGAUAGUUGAUUCAGGUAUUAUGCCUGAUGCAGCCUCUUAUACAUACUUGCUCAAUUUUCUGUGCAAGAGAGGCAAUAUUGGGUAUGCACUUCAGUUAGUUGAGAAGAUGGAGGGGCAUGGUUUUCCAACUACUACUGUUACCUACAACACUCUUGUUAAAGGCCUUUGCAUGCAUGGCAACUUGAACCAGAGCUUGCAGCUCUUGGAUAAGUUGACAAAGAAGGGCUUGGUCCCGAAUGCAUUCACAUUUUCUUUCCUUCUGGAAGCGGCGUAUAAGGAAAGGGGAGUGGAUGAUGCCAGGAAGCUUCUUGAUGAGAUAAUUGCCAAGGGUGGAAAGCCUAAUUUGGUCAGUUACAAUGUGCUGUUAACUGGGUUGUGCAAGGAAGAGAGAACUGAAGAUGCUAUCAGGCUUUUCAGGGAAUUGCCUGCAAAAGGGUUCACUCCUAGUGUUGUGAGUUACAACAUUUUGCUGAGGAGUUUGUGCUAUGAAGAGCGGUGGGAGGAAGCGAACGAACUUCUUGCAGAGAUGGAUAAACAGGGCCAGUCUCCCUCGGUGGUUACUUAUAACAUAUUGAUUACUUCACUUUCAUUUCAUGGAAGAACAGAACAAGCUUUCCAGGUUUUGGAUGAAAUGACAAGGAGUGGGUUCAAGGUGAGUGCUACUAGCUAUAAUCCGAUUGUUGCCCGUCUCUGCAAGGAAGGGAAAGUGGAUCUUGUUGUUCAAUGUAUAGACCAAAUGAUUCAACGACGCUGUAAUCCUAAUGAUGGAACGUACUGUGCUGUUGCAAUGCUGUGUGAGCAAGCUAAGGUGCAGGAGGCUUUCUUUAUAAUCCAAAGCUUGGGUAGUAAACAAAGCAACCCUAUGCAUGAUUUUUACAAAAACGUGAUUGCAAGCCUGUGUAGGAAAGGGAACACAUAUGCAGCCUUUCAGAUGUUAUACGAAAUGACAAAGUAUGGAUUUACUCCAGAUUCCUUUACCUAUUCAUCUAUGAUAAGAGGAAUGUGUAGGGAAGGAAUGCUAGAUGAAGCCCUUAAGAUAUUCAGGAUUUUGGAAGAAAAUGACCACAUUCCUAAUAUUGAUAACUACAACGCACUUAUACUUGGAUUUUGCAAAGCUCGGAGAACAGACAUGUCAAUAGAGAUAUUUCUGAUGAUGGUUAACAAAGGAUGUGUGCCGAAUGAGAAUACCUAUACCAUUCUUGUGGAAGGGCUUGCUUUUGAAGAGGAGACAGAUAUAGCUGCAGACCUGUUGAAAGAGUUGUGUGGGAAGGAGGUUCUGAGCCAAAGUACUGUUGAAAGGCUUUGUAUGCAAUUCGACUUCAAGGAAUUAAUAGCAGCAGAGUAGUGACAUAUACCCCCUAACUCAAAGUAAGUAGCCAUAUCUGCCUUCAGAUAUGAAUGGAGUUUUCUCAGCUUGUUUGUCCCUAGAUUGUUGAUUAGGUAAGUAAAACAAUUUCCCAAAUACUUGGAAUUUUGAUUAAAUAUAAUCUCUAGAGAUGAAUAAUGAAAAGGCUCAAGAAGAUAAUACAACGCUGAUGCAUUUUCUCCCUUGCUUUAGAUUUAACCUAUUUUGGCGAUUUGAGUUCUUUGAGUGAUUUGUAGAUUUGUUUCUUGGUUACAAAUUACUUUACAUGGCAUUUUUAUUGCGUUGUGAAUGUGUGCUUACCCUCUCCAGUGAAAACAUUUCAUUUAUUGCAAGCUAUAAAUUCUAAAUCCCAGAUACUACUAACUCACUAUUCAUUACUUACCAUUAUUUCCUUAUGUGCUUUUGAAUUUCCCUUUUGGCAUAUCCUAAUUGAGUAUGCAGGAGUAAGUAGUACAUACAUUGAGUAAGAUCUAGACUCUUAGUUACUAACAUAUCUUUCUUGUGCCCAUUUUCUCUACAUUAAUCGUUUGGAACUUUCAGUUUGUUGAAGGAGUAUUACACAUUGACAUUAUGUUCUUCCCUGGCACUUCAGAUAUCAAUAUAUCAUGAAAAAGGUUAAAGAUUAUGUAAAAUAUAUCUGUGUAAACUCUUCAAGACUGAUACAGAUCAUCGACUUCAGGCAAAACACAAGUUUACUAUUGUUAGAAAUGAUGUUCUGUCUGUGUUUCUUCCAAGGAUUAAAAAUAUUUGAGAAUAUAAACUUGGAUGGAAAUGUAUCGUUUUCAUGUUGAGUUGUGCAGGAAUAGUUCCUGGUAUUACUUAUGCCUGGAAAAGUAACACUUAGAUGGGGUGUUUUUACUACAAAUGAAAGUUUUAGGAUAUCAAGAAUCUGAAAUUGAAAUCAUUUUUACUUUCAUGUGUUUUUUUAAAUGAUAUAUUCAGGAAUCGCAUGGUUCUGAGAAUGUCCUUUUUAUGCAAACAAUUACUUUUGUAAAAGGUGAGAAUAUAACAUUUUUUCAGAAAGAAAAAAUUAUUGCGAUAUAUAUUUAAUAUAAAAGUAUAAUUAUAUAAUAUAUAUUACAAAAACAUUUAAGUAACAUGUGGACUGAUGAUAUCGAAAACAAUUUUUAAAGUACAGUAUUAGUUAAUUGUUUACAAAAUAAUAGUGUUAUUAAAAAUAUGUAAAAAUUACUCUGAUAUUUUUUAAUGAAAACAAGUUUAUAAAUUAAAAGUUAUACUCUUUUAAUGAUAUAGAAACAAUAAUAGAUGAAGAAUAAAAUUCAAAUUAAUUUUCAUAAUAUUAUAAAAAUCUUAUUAGUGUACAAUAGAAGCAUAAUAAGGAAAUAAUUUUUAGCCACUUUAUUUAAAAAAUAAUAUAAUUUGGUAUUUAAAGAGUUCAGUGCUCUCUUAAUCUUCUAUAGAAUCAAUGUAAUCCUUUCCAUUUAAAUCGCACUAGCAACUUUAAAACGGCAUUUGGACCAAAAAAAGUAACAAAUUUUUUUAGUAAAUUAUAAAGGACUAAACUAAACCCCUUAAAAGUAAAGAUACCAAAUUUAAUUUUGUAAAUAAAAACUAAAAAAACGUAAUUGAUCUUAAAAAAAAUAUAAUUAUAUAUAAGUGUAUUUGUAAAUUUCUUUAUAAGAAACUUAGGAUAUUUUAAUUACAAGAAUUAUAUACAUAUAUAGUCAUAGGUUUAAGAUAAGUGUUAUAAAACAUAAGACCCUAAUCAUAAAUAAAAUCCUAGGUUAUAAAAAUAAAAUUUUCUAUUUAAAAACAUCAACAAUCAAAUAAAUGCAAUUCUUUUGAGCUGGUUCUUACAUUAUUGAAAAAUGCAAUUUAUAAUCUAUAUUGCGUAACAACAUGACUAAGCAACUCACUAAAUUUAGUUUUAAUAGAACAAACUCUAAAGAAUUUUAAACAAUUUACAAUUCUACAUAUUUUAUUUUAAACUUAAUUAUCUAUAUGAUACAAUUUAUCUUCCAAUGAAGAUAAUAAUGGUUAUUUCCUUUUAAAGUAAUUUCAAAGUCCCACAUAAGACUACUCUUAUAAUGAAAAUGACCAUUUAAAUAUGAUUACAUGUGUGAAAAAUUAGCCGGUGUAAAGCAUAUAAUACUGGAACCAGGUGCAAAAUUUAAACCAUAUUAAUAAAUACAAUAAUUUGAUAUAUGAAUAAAGAUAAAUAGUAAUGUAUGAAUACAAGUUUAAAAUAUAAUUUUACUUUAAAAAUAAUAAUAAUUUUAUAAAAGAGAAAAGUUAAAUGAACCUGAUAAAAAAGGCAACCUGGUAAGAAAAUCUGAAAAUUAUAGGUCAAUUUUGUUGCCUGCACUGUCAACUCAUGAAGACAGCUCUAUUUUGGCAUCUCUAUAAAAUGAUAAAUUUCAGGUAACUCAUAAAAUAAAAUACUACUAAUAAUAUAUAUAAGCUAUUCGGGUAAACCAGGAAGUAUACAAAAACAGUACAUAAUUAGAUUCCAUAAAAACACUCAUCAUAACUUAACCCACUCAAUAGUCUUAAUGCAUUGAUGCUAAACUGAGUCGUGAGAUACGCCUCCCCUCCCAACUAGAUCUCAUGAUCAUUCGAGCCACAACCCAAAAUGCCAUGAAGAUAGGAAGGAAAGCUCAUCUGACUCCUGAUCAAGCACCUACUUAGAUCUUUGUCUCAUCUUUCGGCGCUUCCUCUUCAACCUCCUCAUGCGCUUCUUCUUCCACUGAUACAUUGGAACAUUACAUUAGUAUGAUACAAAAGGGAAAAACAGAAACUUGUUGCAACAGCCAUAGUAGGUUAAGUACAUAUAUAUCCUGUGCAGAAUGAUACCAAACAAUUUUUUAUAGUACAUACGAAACAACUUGCUGCAAUACCCCUUCAGGAUUUAAAUCCUCUGCAGUCAGAGAAUCAACUUAAAGAAAUAAAUAGGUGAUGAUUUCACACAAUUUAGAAGAGCCAAAUUCCUUCAUUUAUCACUCUCCUCCACAAUGCCAAAUCCCUAACCUUUCCUUUACAAUGUAUUCGGCAUUGGUGAAGUAAAAGGGAGAGUAGGAGAAGAUAGAAAUCUAUUAGUUUUACAUGGUUUUCCUAAGGGCUAAAAUCCCUCCACACCCAUAUUUAGGGAGAAAAGAAGACCUCCAUUAUUAGAAUGUGUUCACAAAAUUUGUUGACAAAACUAUCCUUGAAAUUUUACUUACUCUCCCCUUCAUUAUCGGGAAUUGCCGUAUUACAGUAUAUACUAUUACUUUCUUUCCCCUUCCUUUGCACUAAAAGGAUUCCCCUGGUUUGAAAUUUGAACCAAACAUGUAAAACAAUCAGAUGCUUUUGACAGAAAAUGCAUAAAACAAAAUUCACUAGUCAAUUCAGAGAAUGGGAUUCAAGAAUCAUUGAUUAACCUAAAUAUGUUCCUCAUGAAGACAAUCCCAACGACCUCUUAAUGUCUCACACUACUCAAAAUUCCUGCCAUUUGAGCAAUUAGACAAGCAUCCAGAGGUUGUACCACAAGGGAACCCAAGAAACGAUACCCAUGUAGUGAACAACGCCAAAUCCAGUCGAAUCAAAAUUCAGAGCUAAUCUAAUAAUUUUAAAUGCAAUACUUAAUGCAAUUCACUUUCUACCCAAGAAGGCACUUGCGAAAACCAAAACCAACAAACAAUAUCCCCUUUUCAAUUUCCACAAUCAAACAGUGCAUCGAAUUCCUUCGAAUCAAAUACAACCACAAACUGCAAAUAUCAUACUAGUCUACUUCCAAGGAAUACAUCAGCAAUUCAGAAAGGACAAAAAAAAGUCCAUGCAAAAUCAAUAUUGAACAAAAAAAAAACCACAUCAAACAUCAGACAAUCAAGUGAAACAUCCUAAUUCCCGAGAACAAAGACAAAUUCAUAAUUAUACUCAGAUCCUAAAAGCUCAGAACACGUAAAAUAUAAACAAAAUAAAAUAAUCAUGAUAUAAACAUGAAUAAUGAAAGGAAAUGCGUUUAACCUUAGCUCUCAUCUUGAACAACGAAAACUCUCAGGCUUUUCUCUCAAAGAUGUCGAUUUUCUGCAGAAGAUGAUCCUGAAUGUGAACCUGUGGCGACAAAAACCCUUGUUUCAGUAUUUAUAGCGAUAAGCGCGAAGCCCUAACUCUCUUUAUGGGUCGGGUCGGGUUAUCUAAGGUCAUAAUUGUAAUAAUGAAAAAUAUAUUUGAGGCAAAGUGUCACUUCUUUCCGAUGAUAAAAAUAACUUUUGUUGAAAACUACUUAGAGUUAAAAUAGAAAAUCCUUUCACCAAUAACAAAAACUAAAAAUAAUCAUAACUUUAUAAUUAUUCUAUAACUUCCUUUUUGUUACAUACAAAUUCUUACCAUUGUAUUCUUUUGAGUAACCUUUUUCAAAUUAAAAUAACUAUCAAUAAACAAAACUACCUACAAAAUAAAUAAAAACUAUCAAAAUUAUUUAUUUAUUUUUUAUAAUUUUUUUACAAAAUUUAUUUAUGAUCAAUGAUAUCUUUUAUUAUAAUACUCAUUUUAUACCAUUAUCUAUACUAUUAUAUAAAGAAAAUACAUUAUUUAGUAAUUUUCUUUGAUGUUAUCUUUAAUUGGAUAUUAUACCAUCUAAUAAAUAAAACACAAUUUAUUUAAUGAAAUAAUUGAAUAGUUUAUAAUUUUAAAAUAAUUAAAUAACUUUUUCUUUUAAAAAAUAACGACUAUAUAGUUUUUUAAUACUAUUUUUAUAAAAUUAUAAAUAUUUUUUUAAUUGAAUAUUUUUUUUAAUUAAUUAUUCAUAAAAAUAAUAAAAUUAUUAUAUUUUAAUGUAAUACAAAUGUUAAGUAUUUUUGCUAGCUGUUAUUAUUUAAGUUCAAUCUAAACAGUUAAAAUAUUUAUUAUUGACAAAAUAGUUUUAUUUGCUGUAUAUAUUUAGAUUAAUUUGUAAAAUAUAAUUUGUUUACUUUGCUACUGAAUAAUUAUUCACUCCACUCUCAAAAUUGUGGGACAAUCAUGUGGUGAAAAUUUGUAUUUGACUUUUUCUGUAUGUUUGUUGGACAUUUGUAUAUGAUAGUUAUAUUACCUUAAAAAUAUUAAUAUUUAUAUUUAAGUUAUUUAAUACAUUUAAUUUUUAUAUAUAAAGGGAAUUUCCCACCAAUAUCACUCACCGAAAUUCAUCUGUUAUACUUCAAUUUUUUUUAUGUCAUUUAAAUUUUAUAAGUGUAAAUGUAGUAUUUAUUUUCAUGUUUCUAUUUAUUAAUUUUACUGUUAAAAUUUAUUUUGUGUUAAAACCGAAGGCAGAUUUAGAAAGGACCAAUGAGUUGAUUUAAACUAUAAUAAUUUAUAAUUUAUACUUAUUUUGAUGUUAUUUGACUUUUUUUUUCCUAAUGAUUGUAUAUUUGCUCAGGUGAUGCCACUGAAAGCAACAAAGAGAGAUUGCAAGGGGUUAGUUGUUUUCUAAAACAUAUGAACUUAUCAUUAAUAUGUGUUUUUGAUGUCUCUGUUUUCAUAAUUUUUUGUUUCUCCCUAACAUCUAAAAUUUGAUAUUUGACUGCAGGAGGGUCACAUGGUUACUCUAAAUGUUUAUGACUUGAGCCAACUUUCGAUGUCACUAUUGAAGGCAUAUGGUGAGUGAUGGUGAGUGCUUCUCUUUAUUGUUGAUUAUGGAAAAAUGAAUGUGAAAGGUUGAUUUCAUUAUAUAUUCAUCUCUUUAAGUUUAAACCUUUGUUAAUGAGUCUUAUUUUGACAAAUGAGUAAUUUUGUUUGUACCUGAUGUAAAUCACUCACAUAUUGAUGUUGUAUUUGUUUUACAGAUAUGAAACAUGUUCAAGAUGUGCAAAUGAUUUGCACCUUAGAAGAAAGUGUCUAAUGUGUCAAGCAUCAAUGAUAGAAGUGAUAUGUGUUUAUUUUAUAUACAAUAGUUUUAUAGUAUAUAUUUUAUUGCUACAAUUCAUUAUAAUCCUAAUAUAUAGAGAUUUCCAGUAUUUAUAUAAAUGUUAUGGAAAUUAUUAUAGUGAUAUUAUAGUCAAAUUACAAUUAUAACAUUUAAAUAAUAAAAUAUUAUAAUUGAUAUAUUUAUAAACAUUAUGAAAAAGAAUAUAAAUGAUUUAAUUCACUUUAAUAAAAAAAUAUUAUACCGUAUUUAUUUUUCUUAAAAAAUUAAUAAUUAAUAUAUAUAAAUAUUAUUGAUAAUUAUUUUUAUAAAUAUUAAAAAUCUGAAAAAGCGUACAUAUUAUAAAUAGUUUUGUAUAUCUUUUUCAUUAAUAACUAUAUUUAUAUAUUACGUUAAUAUAAUUAUUUGUACAGAAAGUAAUUAUCUUAAAAUUUAUAUAUUUAUAAUUAAUUAUUUUAAAAAUACAAUUUGUUUUUAAAAUAAAUAUUUUCUUUAUUUCCCUCCAAUAGGUUUAUCCUAACAAAUGAACAUCAAAAUACUGUUUAAAAAAAUCAAGUUUAGAAAAGUAAAUAAUUAUGUUAUUUGUUAUUUUUUUAAUCUUUAAUUUCAAUGAUUAACUAAUUAUUAUUAUUAACGGAAACACAUAUGUUGACAUUGUCUAAUUUUACUAUAAAUUUAUGUAUAUGCAUAUUUUAAUAUUUGACAUGUUUGUAUAUUCUAAUUUUUAAUAUACCAUGCAUGUAUAUUUGUAUUUUUUUAUAAGAAAUUAUUUAAAAAUAUGGAUACAUGCUGUAAUAUUAAAAAAUAAAAUUCAUAAAUAUUGUCAAAUACUAUAAAAGAUGUAGACUAACAGGGAAAAUGAAAGAUUGAAUAUCAAUCUUUAUUUGAUAUCUUAGAAUUUAUUACUGAAAAACUAGUGUAAACUACUGUUUUCUUUUAUGUUAUAAUUUUGUAUGACAUUUGUUAUAAUUUUGUAUGACAUUUGUAAAUUUAUUAUAUAUAACUAUUAUGUUGGAUAUGUUUCUUUCACAGCAUAUCGUGUAUUUAAAUAAUUUAUGUGUCUUCUCAUAUGUAUUUUUAUUUAUUAAAAUGAACUAUAAAUUUAUAAUCUUAAUAUAAGUGUGCGAAUAAUGACAUUUUUUAUUCGAAUUUUAAUAUUAAACAUAAAUAUAUACAAAUAAUAAAAAUAAAAAAUGCGGAUACAGAGACGCGAUAGUGUUGUUCCUGCUAGUAUAUAUAAUAUGAAUCAUACUUUUUAUUACACAAAAAAUAUUAAAUAUCAAUUAAUUUAAAAUAAUUACUCAUUUUAUUGACUAAUUUAUAUAUUAUUUAUAAACUAAAAAAUUAUUAGUAUCUAAAAUAAUUUUUAUGAUUAAUAUAAAUUUAUACUAUAAUUAGAUAUUAUAUUUUUAGUAACUAGUAAUUAUAAAACAUAAUUAUUAAAAAACAAUUUUUUUUAAUCUCUCAUUAAGAUGUAAUUAGAAACAAUGUUUUAGUCACUUUUAAUUUAUUUUAUAGACUAAUUUUUGUUCAUAAAAAUAAUAAAAUUAAAACCUAUUUUUUGUUUCUAAUUAUCAUAUCAUUAUAUACUUCAAAUUUUUAUCACUAUUAUCUAGAUUUAGAUACUCAUUAUAGAUAACUAGAUUUUACAAAAAAUGUAAAUAAAUUUUGUUGUCUCAAUUUCAAAUUCAAUUUUUUGUUUGUUUCAUUUUCUAAUUGUAUAUUUUUUUCUCUUCAGCUUCUAAUUUCUUUUUAUACUUUUUUCUACUCCCAACUUAUCUUAACAUCUUUCAGCUUGAAAUCAACUUGCAAUUAGUUCAUCCUCUCACACAAACAUACACUUAUCUUUUUCUCGGUUUUUUCUAACUUCACUUUCUUAUGUAUUCCAUUAUGAUUCCAAUUCUCGCUCUCCUCUAUCUAGUUUGUUGGUUCUCAUUUCUUUUUGUGAAUGAGCAUAGCCAUAGAGUAUCAAUGAUGAGUAGGAUGAACACUCUAGCUACAUCUCAUGUUUCUCUUAGAACAUUAAGAUCCCUAAUGGAUAUAUAUCAUCGUGCAUUCAAUACAUUAUGUAUGCGUAACAUUCUCGUGCUUUUCACAUCUCCUUAUGGUUACUUGAUGACUAUUUUAGAGUAAGUAUACCCAGUCAGAAGUAAUAACUUGUUCCUAAAAACAGAUAUCGAACUCAUAAGGAAUUGUUCUAAAAUCUCAAAUAUAAUAUUCACUAACUAUGAAAAUACGUGUCAAAGAUUGUUUGAAAGGGUGUUUGUAUAAUGAAUUUGUAAGAAAUUAAUUAAAAUCAAAGUAAAUGAUUUGGAUGAGUCAAAUGGGAAAAUUGGGAUUGGGGUUUAUCAUUCUCACUCAUUUGUAUUUUCAAUAAAUAAAAACAUAUAACAUUCCAUCUUGAUUGACAUUUAUGUACAUAUAAAAAUUAUCCAUAUCGAUUUCUCGCAUACAAAAUUAUUAAAAAUGUCUCCUAAAUAUCAAUUCCUCGCAUAUUUAUAAAAACCUCUUAUCAUUAUGAACAAAUGUUAUAAAAUUAUUAACAUUUCAAAUUUAUUUCUAACAAAUACGUUAAGCAUUAUCAUUUAGUUCAGAUACUUACAAGUACUCUCCAGUCAAAUCUAAGGAUCAAAUUCAUGAAUAAAGAUUCAUACUUUAAUAAUAAAAUUUACCAAUCAUCAAUGAAGAACAUAAUAUUAUAAAUAAAUAUCACCUCAAUACAUAAGAGUUUGAACAGAUUAGUAUCAAUCCCAAAGAAAAUAAUUAGUCACUCAUAUUGACCAUUACAAGCAUGGAAAUAUUCAUCUAAUCCAUGAAAUAAUGGGAUUCAAAUGUGUUUAAGAAAACAUAAGGUAUUUAAUUGAUUGAUUUGAAUUUGUGGCAAGCAUACGAUAAUAACAAUUAUGAGUAAUGUUUGUUAAGUGUUAUGUAUUUUCUUUUGUUCUAAAUUCUUAUUUCCUUGUUCACUAUGAUCUAGUUCAUUGUGUGUGUCUACAUAUAUGUGAAAUAACAUGGUGAGUAGUUUGUUGUAUAUUCUUCUAAUCCUUGAAAUAUUGGGAUUCAAAUGUGUAAUACUAUCAAGAAUUGGAUGCCCUAAAAUAUAUAGUGACCCUUUUGUAUGUAUUAUUAUGUCAAGGUUAAGUAUAUAAAACCUAUGGGUCAAGUUUGUAUACACAAUUAAGUCAUUUAUUUUUAGUAAUAAGCCUUAACAUUCCACAUAAACUACAACAUAAAUGUUUAUUAUGUCUAAUGCAAAAGGGAAUUCAAAACCCUAAUUGGAAAGGCAAAAAGGGAGAACACACAAUUAACUCAUUCAUCCAUACGACCACAGAAACAUCCCAUGCGCAUUAAAGCUUAUAAACACAUUAAAGAGUCUUGAUUUGAGAGAUGUGGAACUUGGAUACUUGAGGUGAUGAAAAUUUCAAGUGCAACUACAUUUUGCACUCUUUAGUCUCACAUCACCUAAAACAUUGAGCGUAAGUAGCCUCUUUAUUUAUAAAUAAAGCCCCCUUCCCUUCUAACUUUUUUUUGAAUUGGAAUGAGAAUUGAUGUUGCAUUUUUGCAUGUGUUCUUGUUCUUCAAAGUCUUGAAAAUAAGACUAUUCUUCUCCUAGGUUUUCCACUAAGGGAUCUUCCUAGGAGGUGAGUGUCUCUCUAGUUUCUUCUAAGAAACUUGGAGAAAUUGAAAGUUCUUUUGUUAAGUCUUUCCCUGCCGCUUAAAGGAUGCUUCCAUCAAGCAACAAAUUGGAUCAAUGAAAUUCCUAUAUAUGAGCGGGCACUUACAUGAGAUGAAGGCAAAUAAUGGGGUCAUUUGAUGACUAAAUUAGUUGAAUCCAUCAAUCUAGUCCUUGAAAAAAAUGAUUCUUUUGAUAUCUUCCAUGAUAUUUGCUACAUAUGUAAGUUUAGCAAAUUUUUCACAUAAAGAGGAAGAGAAUGAUUAAUGUUGGUCAUGUCUAUUCUGAAGUUUCAUAAAAGGCACUAGAAGAUGCUCAUUCAAAACCAAACACUCAUAAAGUGCUUGAAUUUGACAAAAGCAACACAAAGUUCUUGGUUGAGGAGAUGAUCAAUGCAACAGAGGUUCAAUCAACUAGAAAAAUUUUCAUUAGACUAGACGAAAGAUUAUGCAAUUGUGACAAGUUCGAGAAAUUUACCUCCCAUGUUCUCAUGUGCUUGUUACAUGCAAACCUGUCCACAACGAUUCCAACAUGUACAUUAAUCAUGUAUACAUGUUGGAUGAAGUUAAUAAAGUCUAUUUGGGAGCUCAAACACAAAGUUUAUCACAUAAAGACUCACAAGUUCAUCCCAAUCCAACAGUCAGAAGAAGUUUCAAAGGUAUAAAAAACCAUCAAGAAUUAAGACUCAAUUGUUAAAUACCAAAACACACAAGAAAUCAUUAUUCCAACAAUUUUGAUUUUCUAGACUCAACUACUUAUAAUAAGUUUAUGUCAUUGACAUAAAAAAAACAUAAACAUAAUUUUAAUUCAAAUCCAAAUUUAAAACUCUUUAGGUCUUAUUUUUCCUUUAUUUCAUUAUAUUUAAAUCCUUAUUAUAGUAUCAAUUUACAAUUUUUUUGAAAAAUAACAAUGAAUGUUUUAAUCUCUUUAAUCAUAUUUAUUAAACUUUUAUCCACAUUUUCAUAUAUUAUAAAUAUAAUUAUGGAAUAAUUUUUUUAUUGUUAAUUUAUCAUUAAUUUUAUAGAUAUGAACUUUUAUUUAUUAUUUACAAAUUUUUUAACUAUUUAUUUUUUCAUUUUAAUUACUUAUUUUAUCCAUUUCAAAGUUUUCUUCAUUUUCUGUUUUUUUAACUGAAAAAAAUAUUAAUAUUACAGACUUUAUACCUUACCUAUUACAUUUUGGGAGCUACCAAAUUUAUUUAAUUACUUAUAAAAUAAAUAAAUAUUUAUUUAUUUUUCUCAUCUUUCUGGUUUCUACGAAAUACAGAGUUUGUAAAAGAAGGGGAGUUUGUGGCGGUGUUCAAACUUCCACAGCUGAACUGACACCUUCUCUCUGCAACACACACAACAAGAUUCAAUUUCUUCUUCCACUU